rnacentral:lncRNA from 1 species
CUUGAAGUCCAUCCCAACGGACUUGCUACAGUACUCCAACUUAUGUUGUGGCACAACCUUAGUCAACAUAUAUGAAGUAUUCUUGUUGGUGUGAAUUUUUCUCAACUGCAAAAGCUUCUUUGACACAACAUCUCGUAUCCAAUGAUAACGUAGAUCAAUGUGUUUAGUGCGAGGGUGAUAAACUGAAUUUUUACUCAAGUGAAUAGCACUUUGACUAUCACAAUGCACCACAUACCUUUCUUGCUUCACACCCAACUCCUGAAUGAACCUUUGCAGCCAUAUCAUUUCCUUGCUUGCUUCGUUUGCCGCUAUGUACUCGGACUCAGUGGUGGAUAAGACAACACUUCUGUAACUUGGACUGCCAUGAUACAACUUGUAACAUCCCAGACCCAAUUUUACCUAUUUAUUAGGUAGUCCACGAGUUACUGAGGAAUUUAACCGUGUUCGGUUAUUUGGUAAUUUAAUGCUCGAGUUUAUUUUCGAAUUUUUUUUCUCAAAAUGUCAAAUCCCUCUGUUAAGGUCUUGAUGUCGUAGUUUGUGUUGGCACAAGUUCUCCGGUGUUUUCGGAUUAUUUGUCGGAGCUUUGAGUUAUUUUUCUUUGAUUUAUUUAAGGUUGGGUAAAAGGAAUAAAUUUUUCUUUUUAAUUUGGGCCAUAGGAUUUAGGGUUUAAAUCUUGGCCGUUAGAUUCGGCUUAAAAAGGUUAAGAGGGGGUUGACCCAGUCAAAGAGACCACACUCGGUUUGACCCGAGCCUAGACUUCCCUCUUCCUCUCCGCCUGCCUCUGGCGUCCUCCGCACGACGCCGCCGUCUCCGGCCAUCCCUGGCGACGAGACCAUCUCCAAUCUCUUCCUCUCCUUCUCUUCUAUCUAACCCGGUCCACAUAUCUCGAUUUUAGUCCGAUUCAAGGUCAAAUCGAGGGAGAGAAGCCUCGGCUGUUUCCGGCGAGUCCUCGAGAUUUUCGGCCACAGCUUGACGAGUAAAUGGUAGGGUUUUGUUCCUCUCCUCUUCUUCUCCAAUUUCAUGUCUUCAAUCGUUUAAAUCGAGCCCUAACCCCUCUUCUGUGUUUUUCUAGGUUUCGGGUUCUUAGCUCCGACGUUAUGUUCUUGCCCUUCCGGUGAACUUCCCGAGCUCCUAUGAGACCUGCAAACCUCGAGAGAAGCCCAGACGUCUUUUGGUGGAGCUUUGGAGCUGCAUCGAUCCGGGUUCAAGUGGAGGUAAGGAGCUCGGUUGAGGUUGAGGUUCGACAAGGAGGAGUUUCCUUCUUCAAUUGGUUCGUGUUUUGGAGAACAAAAGGUAAUCUCGUCUCCUUGAGCCUCUGGAUUAUUGUUGCUAUGUUGUGGAGGUUUUUCCUUGUUAGAUUGGUUGCUGAAAGUGUUGUUGUGCUCUUGAAUGUCGAGAACUUGGUGUUUUAGGAAUUACGGGGAGGCUAUGGCCAAUUUCCGACAAGUGGCCGGAAUCCGAUGAAUAUUUCGGCAAGUCGAUGGAAUCCGGCGACCCAUUCCGGCGAGGCAGUGUUCCAGCAGAAUCUGUGAAGGUAGCUUGUCGAUUGUUUCCUUGUCGUUUAAGUUGUAGUAUACGGUUUAGGAAAACCUGCCAUAUUUGGAAAAUUUGGAAAAUUUCUAUUUUGGGAAACUUUCCAUUUAUAGAAACCCGUUUGGGUGCCCUUAGUGAAUUUUGGGGUGAAGUUGUGUAGAGAGGAAAUGAAGGAAAUUGUUGGUAUUGUAUGUGGGCAUGCUUGAACGUAGGGAACCAUAAAAUAAUUUUGGAAGUAUUUUUGGUUUUAUUUGUGUCAUAUUUAGAGGAGUUUAAUGAAGUGAUGUGUGGAAUUUUUGGAGGAGUUUUGGAUAGGUUUGGGAUUUAUCAAAGUUUGGUAUUUUGGCGGUUAUUUAAGGUAGAAUCCGGCCGUUGGAUUAAAGUUGUUUAAUCUGUAGAGGUUUUUUUUUAGAGCUGCCGAUAUUUGUGGUGAAGUUUGGAUCGUAUCGUUUUAAGAAUGACGAAGUUGGGCAAGGAUGAGCGUGGUUACGGCUCAUAUUUAAUUUGGCCUAUUUUGUAUAAGUAUUUCUCUUUAGUUGGGAAUUUAAUUUUUAUAUGGAAAUAGGACGUGGGGAUGCUCAAGCAGAAGAGAUCUCGGAUUGACGUCAGGCUUAGGCCUAAAGUUGUGAGUGAACUUUUGUUUUAAAUAAUAUGCAUGCUAUGGUUCAUAGUUGAACAGUAAAUUGUGAUUAGAGCAUUUGACGUCAUUUUAAUUUUGACGAUUUUAUUUCUCUUGGAGAGUUACCAACUGAAAAUGAGAUUUUCGGUGGAUAUAAAUAUGUAUUUAUGAGAGAGUAUGUAUAUAAAAACUAGCUAGCCAUAUGUGUCUGUCCACCUUAAUGGCGUAGCAUAUAGCCGUAUUAUGGUGUGACGUGAGCGUUGGACGCGAGCGUAGUAGCCCUAUAUAGACCCAUGAAUUUAUAUAGGGAGUAUGGACGUGUGUAAAUACAUACAUAUAUUUUAGAGCCUGAGAGGCUCGAUAUUUUUUUUUAUGAGAUGAAAGUUUUAUCACUUGUAGCAUGCAUUCGAUUUUUCCUUGGAAAUUGAUUUGGGGAAACAUAAAUAUUCUAUUUAUUAAUUUAUUUUUAUCCACUCACUCUAACGUGUUUCAAAUGUUUUCCCCUGCGCCAUUCGUUUUAAAAUGCACAGUUUGCAGGAUUGCAUAGUUGAGGUCGGGCGUACAUGGAGUUGAGGCAUAGUCAAUAGUAUAGCUUCCGCUGAUUUCUAUAUUUCUAGUUCCUUUCCUCUCAAUUAGAAGUUGCUCUGAGCUGUAUUGUUAGUUAUGAAAUUAUUGUUAGAAUAGUACCUAUUAUUAGGAAGGGUUGUCCAUUUUCAAGGGAGGUGAUACUAAUUUUUCAGUAAACUUUCCUUCGAGGUGGUCCCCGCAGGAUUUACUUCGGGUUUCAGGGUGAAAUUCGGGGUGGGUCUUGACACAGCUCCCCCACAAAAUGUAAAUAAGUACGCAGAAGUGGACUUUCUGUUAUCAAAGUCCCCAGCUAAAUCUGCAUCUGUGAAACCCUCCAAAACGGGUUCGAAUCCACCAAAAGACAAGCACAACUUUGAGGUGCCCCUCAAAUAUUUGAGUAACCACUUAACAGCUUCCUAAUGCUCUCUGCCAGAGUUAGAUAAAUAUCUACUAACAACUCCAAUUACAUGAGCAAUAUCUGGACGAGUACAUACCAUGACAUACAUAAGACUACCAACAACUGAUGAGUAAGGGAUACCUGCCAUCUUGUCUUUCUCUUCUUGUGUAGUUGGGCAUAAUAAUCUGCUUAACUUGAAGUGAUUACAUAGAGGUGAGCUCACUGACUUAGCUUCUUUCAUGUUGAACCUUUCAAGCACCCAUUCAACAUAUCUCUCCUGUGACAACCAUAAUUUAUUUGCCUUCCUGUCACAGGUAAUCUCCAUGCCCGAAAUCUGCUUAGCUGGACCUAAGUCUUUCAUAUCAAAAGACUUUGAUAAAUCUGCUUUCAACUUGCGGAUCAUAGAAACGUCAUGCCCUACUAUCAACAUAAAACAACAAAAUUAUGAAUUUACCUCCAGUGAACCGCUGAAUGUACACACAUGGGUCUGCAUUAGUUCUUUUGUAUCCAUGACCCACCAUGAAUGAGUCAAACUUCUUGUGCCAUUGCCUUGGCGCUUGCUUCAGCCCAUACAAACUUUUCUUUAGCUUGCAAACCAUGUGCUCCUUGCCCUCGACCUCAAAACCUUCUGGUUGCUCCAUGUAUAUUUCUUCCUCCAAAUCACCAUGUAGGAAUGUCGUUUUUACAUCUAACUGCUCCACCUCAAGAUCCAUGCUAGCUGCCAUGCCCAAAAUAACUCUGAUAGAUGUCAUUUUGACAACUGGUGAGAAGAUCUCAUCAAAAUCUACUUCUUCCUUCUGCCUGAAACCUUUGACAACCAAGCGAGCCUUGAACUUUGUCAACUAUUCAUUCUCGUCCCUCUUCAACUUGAACACCCAUUUGUUUUUGAGUGCUUUUCUGCCUUUAGGAAGCUUCACCAACUUGUAGGUGCCAUUUUUCAACAAGAACUCCAUCUCAGACUUCAUAGCUAACAUCCACUUGUCGCCGUCUGCAUGAGUCUUCGCCUCCUCAAAGCAUUUAGGCUCUCCAACACCAGUCAACAGAGUGUAUUUGGAAUAUGGAUUAUCUCCAUCAUUGGUGAGCAAAAUAUAUUAAGAAGAAGGAUACUUAGUACUUGGCUUCGGUACUCUAUGAGAUCUUUAAACUGGUACUUGGGCAUUUUUUUGUUGCUGCUCUUGAUCCUGAUCCUUCUGAACCUCCCCUUGAUCAGGCUCCCCAUGAUCAUGAUCCUUCUGAACCUGAUUCUCCUGGUUAUCAUUUGCAGGACCUGCAGCUUCUGCUUCUAUCGUAUUAGGGACGUCUUCAUUAACCAUUUCUUGAGAUUUGUUAGACUCUUCUUGGAGCGGGGACGAGUCAUAAGUGAGGCGCUCUGCGUUUUCUAGUAUGUUCUUGUCAAAAUCCGCAACAGUCUGAUUCUGAAUAACUUCUUGGUUAUUGGAUUCCACAACCGGUAGCCCAUCUCUUCAUUACCGUACCCAAGAAAGAUGCACGGCAUGGCCUUGUCAUCUAGCUUCGAUCUUUUCUCCUUUGGAACAUGUGCAAAUGCUUUGCACCCAAAUACCUUCAAGUGAUCGAGAAUAUGAAGCGCUUCUACCGGUUCACACAUUCUCUAGAGUCUCCAAGCCCAACGGUACACAUGGUGUUCGGUUGAUGAGGUAACAUGCGGUUGUCACUGCUGUGCCCCAAAACUCUUUUGCCAGGUUAACAGUCUUUAGCAUGCUUCUCACUUUCUCCAAGAUGGUGCGGUUCAUCCUCUAUGCUACACUAUUAUGUUGUGGGGUGUCAGGAACUGUCUUUAUGUGUCUAAUGCCAUGCUUCGAACAAUAACCUCUGAACUCGUUUGAAGUGUACUCUCCACCAUUAUCACUGUGGAGACACUUGAGGGUUCGUUCCGACUCCCUCUCAACCAUGGCAUAGAACUCCUUGAAGGUUUGGAACACCUGGUCUUUUGAUUUCAACACACACACCUAACCCUUUCAUGAAGCAUCAUCAAUAAAAGUGACAAAAUAUUUGCUAUGACCUAGUGAAUCAACUUCCAUAGGAUCACAUACAUCCGAGUGUACUAGGUCUAAAACAUUCUCUUUCUUAAUAAAUGUAUUAGCAAAACUAACCUUAUGCUGCUUACCAAAUAAACAAUGAUCACAAGAUUCAAGUGAGGUAUCUUUGGCAAAGAGAAUAAGAGACUUCUUUGCCAGAACUUGCAAUCCCUUCUCACUUACAUGGCCUAACCGCUUGUGCCAUAGACUUGGAGAAGAGUCAUCCGUGACAUUCAACUCCCCUUUGCAUAUCUUGCCAUAUGUCUUGUAGAGGGUGCAACACAACUUCCCUCUAGCCACCACUAGUGAUCCUCUGAUAAGCCUUCACUUUUGAUCUCCUCCGUGAUGAUGAAAACCUUCUCGAUCAAGCACGCCAGUUGACAUCAAAUUGAGACAUAGGCCCGGAACAUGUUGAACAUCUUUCAACAUCAGCUUGUUGCCCAAAUCGGUCUCAGAGCAGACAUUUCCAAUUCCUCCAAUCUUGGAGUAGCCUUCGUUGCCCAUCUUUACAAUCCCAAAUUCACCACUUUUGUAUGUCGAGAAAAACUCUUUAUUUGGAGUGGCAUGGAAAUAAGCUCCAGAAUUAAAAACUCAUGCAACACCGGGAGUAUUGUCAACAUGUAGGCAUUCCCUUUUAAGACAAAGGAACUCAUGCACAUUAUUGCACACGGUAGCGGUUGUGUUCUUUGUGUCAUCCUUCUGUUGAUGAGUAUUGCCGUCUCGCACCUCCCUUGGAUCCUUUUUCAACUUGUUGCAAUUUUUCUUCAUGUGCCUAAAGAUGCCACAAUGAUGGCAUUUUCCGUUGAAUCUCGUCCUGGAUCGGCUCACACCCCUUCCAUGACCUCUAGGUCCUCUACUCUUGCUCCUACCUCUGUUCUCCGCCACAAAGACUUGGCUAUUGUCGGAGCUAGAGGAUUUUCUCCUUGUCUGUUCAUUCAACAUGUUACUUUUAACAUUAUCCAUAGUUAAUUUACCAUCAGGAGCAGAGUUACUUACAGUGAUGACAAAGAUCUCCCAAUUAUCCGGCAACGACCCCAACAACUGCAAUGCUUGUAAUUCAUCAUCGAUCGUCAUCCCCAUGGUCGUCAAUUAAUUGAUUGUACUUUGGAAGUUAUUUAGAUACUUGGUGACCCUCACGCCUUCACAAUACUUCAUGUGAACAAACUCUUUAAUUAGAAAGGCUUUCUUGGCGGCGGUCUUCUUCUCGAAUAACGACUCCAACUUUGUCCACAACUCAUGCGCAUCGGUCUCAUUUGCCACAUGGUAGAAUGCACUAUCGUCCAUCCACUCCCGGAUAUGGCCAAUUGCCUUACGAUUCAUCUUCGUUCAAUUAGCAUCUGAAGUCCCUUCCGGCUUAGCCUCAACUCCUUCGAUGGGCUCAUGCAAAUCUUUGCAAUAGAGUAUGUCCUCCAUUCGUGGCUUCCAUGUAAUCCAAUUUGAGUGGUUUAGUCGAACCAUUGUACUCCUUGAACCUUCUAUUUUAACGCCUACGCCCUACGAACCAAGGGCUCUGAUAACACUGUUUGGAAAAAUAAUAUAAUGGAAGUAACAACUCAAACCACACAAAUGAUAAAUAUGCAAAGAUGUAAAGAUAGAGGAAAAGGAACACCAAAUAUAACGUGGUUCGGCGAUGUGUCUACGUCCACGGGGUAACAACAACAAGAACUUCCAUUAUGAAAUAAUGGGUACACAAGAGAUACACAACUUCAAGAACACUACUUGAAGGAAACCCUCUCUCACACUUGUUUUGCUACCAACUACUCUACACUCUCAACUUGGAGUGGACACUCUUCUCUACUUGGAAGAUGGAUGUUUCUCUCUUGGAAGAGAUGCUUGAGAUGGAUGAGAUGCUUGGAAUGAGCAAAUGACUCUCCUUUUAUAGGCUAAAGACGAACCAUCUAGACCUCUAAUUAGUGCUCUCCCAAUAAAUGGUGCUUCAUGAAUCUUCCUGUAACUCAUGCCUUGACCAUAACUCCAAAACCAUCCAUGUUCCUUGUGUAACUCAUGUAACCUUAUGUAACUCAUGUAACUCAUGUAACUUACGUAACUCAUGAAACCUUUCAUAUUAUUUUCAUUACUAUUUUAUUUAUUUUGGUCUGGAUAUUAUAACAUUUGUCUUAUGCCGUUUCCAUUGGAAUCUGCAUUACUUUGAGUUCGUCAUUUCAUAGUUGUUCAUUGUGUUAGAUUUAAGCGAAAUAAAGAGUUUUUAGCAAACUAAAGGUUUUACACCUCAAAAUAUUUUUACGUUCCGGUUGUGUUUCUUAAAUAUUUUCUUAAAUUAACUGCCUUGCAUUUCUCUUGUUUUUAUUUAGAGACUCGAGACACUGUGACGUGCCUAAACUGAGGAGGUGCAAUUUCGGGCGUGACACACAACACCUAACAAAAGAUUAUAACUAAAGACAAAUAACUCUAUCCUCACAAUACAUAUCCUCACUCCAAAGAGAAGACACUGACAUGUCAAUGCAUCCAACAACGAUAGCAAAAUUGAGUAGAUGGUCGAUGUAAUACCCUAGAUUUUCAUAUCAUUUUCCUUGUAUUAUUUCCGGAAUUAAUGAAUGAUUAUUUGUGGAAAUUAUUAUUGGUUUAUGCGAAGUUGAAGUUUUGAGAGUUUAUUUUAAGGUGCCUUGACUUUUAAGAGGCCAAAAGUUGACUUUAUUUUUCGUAAGUUAUUUCCGAAAACUUCCUUCAUGAAAGUUGUAGAAUUUGGCGAUACGAGUUCGUAGACAUGCGGCACGCUUGAAACGGAUGUUGUAUGAGAAAGUUAUGGUCAAAGGAAGUUAGUUUCUAGUUUUGGAAAAAGUAUAAGUAGAAAAAUGUGUGGGAAUUAUUUUUGGAAACCCUAUAAUUGCAGCAGCCAGUUCUGGUUUCUCUCUCCUCUCUCCCGACCCUCCCACACUCUCUUUCUUCUCCGGUCGAGUUCUCCCUCAUCCAGCCACCAAAUUGGACUCCGCCGGUUCCGUUGGAUCCGUACCGAUGUCCUCUCCAUUUCUGGAGCAGUCCCGCUCGCCGUCUCGCCGCCUAGAAGCCACCACGAAGCAGCAGAGCUGCUGCUGUUCCGCAGGAAAGUCGGCGAUUUUGAUGGCGAUUUCGGCCAGGUUUAGGUUUGGUUUUUGAAUUCGGGUUGGUGCUUCGAGCCGUUUUCCAGCCGUUUCCGGCCAAAUUGGUUCAACUGUCAGGUGAUUUGUGAAGUUGUGAUUUGGCUUGCUUUUGUUGUCUUGUGGAAAUUGCAGCGGGAUAUUUAGGUGAGUAAAUCUCACCAAGGUUGACUUUUGAACCAAAUUUUAUUAUGGUCAUGUGAUGAUGAUAAUGAUUAUGAUGUUGAAUUUAAUAUUUUGCUAUUAUUUGUUUUUAAAAAUAUAUGAGCUUGAUCGAAAUGAAAAAAAAAAAAAGGUCGCUCCCAAAAAUUUUAGUGCUGUCGCUCCCAAAACCCUAAAGAGCCGUCGCUCCUAAAAAUUUCUGAUCCAACCUCGUCCGGUGGUGCCCGAACGCCUUGGCGAGCCUCUUGGCCUCGUCCUUGCCUUGGGGUCUGCUACCGGACGAGAUCUGCAAUUUGCUUGCCGGAAGAGAUCUAGAGGGAUGCUUCUCGACUCAUAGAUUAGCGGAUGGUUGGGCAUGGUCCAUGGUUUUUCUCUCAAAGGGGGUGGCUUCUGUGGUGGUGGAUGGCUUACGUCUAGGGCAUUGGCGAGUUUCACGCCUUUGUGUGCCGGUGUGGGUGGGUUCCAAAAGAACUUGGCUGGGGCUAGGGCUGGGCACAAAUCCCGUAAAUCCAGGUCCCGUCCCGGUCCCGUCUCGAUCCAGGCGGGAUUUGAAACUAAAAACACCGGUCCCGUCCCGUCCCAUUAGAGAAACAAUGGGACGGGACGCGGGAUUGAAAUUUUGAGUCCCGUCAUGCCCGUCCCGUCCCGUCUAACUUUUAAAAUUCAUAACUAAUUGUAGAAAAAUUAUUUUUGAGAGAUCCCAACUCUCAAAUGAUCUUUAAGAUGUCAUCUAUAACUUUCAUGAAGACACUAAACUCAUAUAACGAACCAAUUUGUACAGUUUUCGAAAAGAAGCCAACUGGUUCAAAUCUCAGAAUUUACUGAUAUAAACCCUAAACUUUAAGAAACCAUAACUUAAUCUAGAAAAAUAGUUUUCACGUGAUUCAAAUUCUGGAAUGAACCUUAAGAUGUCUACUACAGAUCUUAUGAAGACACCAAGAUGAAAUUUCAAAUGCAACGGUAUGAUUUCCAGAAGAAACGAAACUGAUGCAGGAUGGCUGGGAUUGGGCUCGUCCCGUCUAACUUUCAAAAUUCAUACUAAUUAUAGAAAACUCAUUUUUGAGAGAUUCCAACUCUCAAAUAAUCUUUAGGAUGUCUUCUGUAACUUUCAUGAGAACACUAAACUCACAUAACCAACCAAUUUGUACAGGUUUUGAAAAGAAGCCAACUGGUUCAGAAUCACAUAAUUGACAUGCAGAAUUUAUAGAUGCAGACCCUAAACUUAAAAAAUUCAUAACUUAAUCGAGAAAAUCAUUUUCAAGUGAUUCAAAUUCUGGAAUGGACAUUAAGAUGUCUACUACAAAUCUUAUGAAGACACCUAGAUGAAAUUUCAAAUGUAACUGUACGAUUUCUAGAAGAAAAGAAACUGAUGCAGGAUGGCCGGGAUUGGGCCCGUCCCAUCCCGAUCCCGUCCCGUCCCAUCCGGGAUUAGGCCCGGCGGGAUCGAGUCUGAAAAAUGUAAAGCCCGUCCCGAUCCCGUCCCAUGUGUAACAACCGGGACGGGACGUGAGAUGACCUCAAUCCCGUCCCAUCCCGUCCCAUGCCCACCCCUAGCUGGGGCGGUGUUUUGCAGGUGUGAACUUAUGGUGGCUUGAGCGCAAGGUGGCGACGGCGUGUCUUGGCUGGCUUUGGGUCACGACAUGGCAUGACGACAACGACCGGAAGGUAGGACAAUACACUGGCAUGAGAGCUGCAAACUGUGGAGAUGGUAGUGGGCUGAUUUCUUGCUGGGCUUUUAUUGUGAGCAUCUUCUUUUGGAUCUUCUUUUAGGCCUCAAAUUAUGGUAAGAGUAUUUUACUUCCUUCCCUAGUCUAAGUUUUUAGUUAAUCUAAGAACAGUAAGCUCCUUCUUAGGAGACCUAGCUUUGUUUAGUUUUCAAAUAUUUCUUUUUUGUUGUCUAGAAAUAAGUGAACGAAAUCUUUGUAAUGAAUGAUGCUAGCAUGCCACGUCCUUAACUUGCCCAAACGUUUGGCAAUGGAAGGCAUGUAUCCGUGCCAUUCUAGCUUGAGUAUCAAUGAAUUUUCCGUAUGGCUUUUACGUCAAAAAAUGAGCUUGAUCGCCAACGGCUCAUAGGUAAGAUAAAACAAGUUUUCCUUAUAUGUUAUUUUUGAGGUUCAUGUGUUCAUAAUUUUAUUGAUUAUUGAUAGAUUAUUCUUGUGGAAUAUCUAUGUGGAAGGAUAUAAUUUAUGAUGUGAUCUUGUGUUGUUGAAGAUGAUGUUGUGAUAUUAUGAUUGUUGGAUAAAUAGCCAAACCGGGUUUCAAGCCUUUAAGCGGGUGCUUGGUUACGGUUAAGAUGCUAUUUAUUAUUUUUAUGUUUUGAUAUUGGACAGUCAAACCGGGUUCCAAGCAUUUGGCCGGGUGAUUUGUUACAGUUAGGAAUAGAGCUCUAGUCUGUCAGUCGAUGUAGGUCAUGGGAGAUACCUUAUGGUAUCUGGGACCCAUGAGUACACAAUUUGUUGUUGUAGGUCAUGAGGGAUAUUUAUUAAUACCUGGGACUCAUGGGUACAUGUUAUUUGAAAAAGUGUUGGAAUUGUGGAUUUAAUUAUUGAUCUAAAUUGCUCUUGUGAUAUAAUUGGAUGUUAGAGGUGUUGUGUUAUUUUGAGAAUUACUCAUACGGGCUUUUUAGCUUACCGGGUUUGUUGUUUACAACCCGGUGCACCAAUUCUUGGUGUAGGGGUUAGACCUGCAGGGUUGAGGUGGAGGCUUAGUGGCAGAGUUUUUGUUGGGUUUUGCUGUUCACUGUAUAUUUUUAUAUUUUGGGUAGACAGUAUUAAACUCAUGUGAGUGUUUUCAUUUUCUUGACUUUCAAGUUUAUGUAAACAAGGAAAUGUAAUAUUUAACUCAGUGUUGAGUUGCGUGACAUUUACAUUUCCACAUUGAAUUUAGUUCUCCUUGAAAUUUAUUUUGAAACAGGUUUUGGGAUUUUAAUAUUUUAAGUGAUAUCAUGCCAAAAUUUUUGAAAAUUAUCCUUCGAAAAUUUGGGGUGUGACAGUCGAGCUAAUUGACCAAUGUAGAUAGCAAUGACUGGAACAUGAUCUAGCCACAAUAGAGAACUAAACUGAUGAGGGCUAGGUGCAGUUUCGGGCGUGACACACAACACCUAACAAAAAAUUAUAACUAAAGACAAAUAACUCUAUCCUCACAAUACAUAUCCUCACUCCAAAAAGAAGAGACUGACAUGUCAAUGCAUCCAACAACGACAGCGAAAUUGAGUAGAUGGUCGAGCUAAUUGACCAAUGUAGGUAGCAAUGACUAGAACAUGAUCUAGCCACAAUAGAGAACUAUAUUGUAUUAUACAAUUAGUGCGUCACACUAAAUUAGUUUUCCUCAAUUAUCUCUAUAUUUUAUUUUCUUUUUUUCAUUUAAUUUGUUGUUUACUAUAAUGACCUCUAUUUUAUUUGUUGAGAAACUUUUAGAUGCUACUGGAGGAUCACAUGGCAAUAUGACGUGGAUCUACACUUCAAUCAAAUAUUGACACGUGGAUUUAUUACAACUAAAAUAUAAACUAAGGUUUUCUAUUUUUUGUGAAAUGACCUUCAUGGGUCUUUGUUGAGUUUGGACUAGGGUUUGGGGUUUGGGGUUUGGGGUUAGGGUUUAGGUUUAGGGGUUAGGGUUUAGGGGUUAGGGUUUAGGGUGUAGGGUUUAUGGUUUAGGGUUUAAAAAGCAACAACAAACCUAAAAUUGUCUUUGACAAAAUAGCUGAUGUAAUUUUUUCUUAAUAAAAUCUAUGUGUCAAUAUUUGAUUAGAAUGUAGGACCACAUCAUACUACCACGUGGUUCUCUCGUAACGCUGAAAAAUUUCUCGCGUUUGUUUUAGUUGACUCAUUAAGGGUAAUUAUGACAGUUCAUAAUUUGAUGAAUUUCGUGAUUGCCUGACUUUAUUAAAGCAGAGAUGAAUAUAUAUUAUUAUUUUUUUCUGUAAAUAACCGAUUGAUCGAAAUGAAUGGUGAUUCAUCCGAAAUUUUAAAAAACUGUUUUUAUUAGCGAAAAUUCUUCUACGCUCCAUUAGUAUAUUUAUUAAAUGCACUAUGUUCUAACGAUUUUUAACCAACUUUUAGAGGAUCAUAGCAGAGGUACCGAAUUUUCAGAACUCAAACACGAGAUCCGGGAUGUUGUUACCAAACGUGACCGACAUAGAGUAGGAUUGUAAUUACCAUUUAUUAUGUUACCUUAUAAUCUGUGUCAACUCACUAGUUAGAGAGAAGAGGACCAAUUCCGAGUAUUCCGUUCCCCACUAUAUUUAGGAAUCCGUAUCGUGUGUACUUUUGUUUCUAUAUAUUACUCCAUCGUCUAUCAUCUUCAUCCCAUAUCCCAAAACCAGAUUCAGAUUUCAAUUCCAGCCGAAACUAUUGGGCGCUAGUUUUGAAUUUCAAAAACUCGCACUGUUGACGGACCCAGUUUUAUCCGAAAACCCAGUACACAUUACCCACUCACUCACAGUCACCCUUAUAUAUAUAACACACCUCCUUUUUCCCAAACCCUAAAUCUAGCACAAAACCCUAAACAGAACAAAUUGAAUCUUGGCGAUGGUGGGGAGAAAGAGAGGUAGGGGCGGAGGCCGAGGCGGCAAGCGGCCGAGGAAAGAAGAGAACGGCGGCGAGGGUGUUUUGGGAAUUGAGAAUGAGGAAGUGAAACAAGUAGCUGUGGAGGAGAAGCCGAAGCCGGGCAGAGGCAGGAAGCGGCGGGGGCAGAAAGAAGAGGAAGAAGACUGCGGCGGAGGACAGAGGCGUUAUACACUGAGGGAGAGGGCGUUGAAGGCGGAGACUCGGAAGAAGAGGCAGAGAAAGGUAGCGGCGGCGGCGAAGGAGGAGAGGCCUGACGUGUCGACUAUGUGCCAUCAGUGUCAGAGGAAUGAUAAGGGGGAAGUGGUGCGGUGCACGGGUUGUUGGAAAAGAAGAGAGAGGAAGAGAUAUUGUCUCCAUUGUAUUCAGACUUGGUAUCCCAACGCCUCGGUGAAAUCAUUUGCUGAGGCUUGCCCCGUGUGCCGUGGCAACUGCAACUGCAAAUCCUGCCUUCGUUUGGAUGUGCCUGUCAGGUGUUUGGACAAUGUGGACCCGAAAAUCGAUGAUGAGGAGACUAAGUUGGAGCACUGUAAGUAUUUGGUUCAUAGCCUGCUUCCUUAUUUGAAGAGGAUCAAAGAUGAGCAGGUCAGUGAGAUGGUUGUGGAAGCCAAGAGGCAAGGCUUAUCUCAUGUUUCGCAGCUCCAAGUUCAAAAGUCUAAUUGCCUUGAGGAUGAGCGUAUGUUUUGCAAUCACUGCAAUACUUCGAUUUUCGAUUUUCAUAGGACCUGUCCUGACUGUGAGUAUGAUCUGUGCCUUGUUUGCUGCCGGGAGAUUCGAGAUGGCAAGUGGAAGAAGAGAGAGGGGGAAGCGGGGCAUAAGUAUGUUGAUUUGGGGCGUGAGUAUUUGCAUGGAGAGGGAGAGUUCAACAGCUUGCUAAAAAAGAACAGAGAAAAUGUCAGAACGGGAAGAAGAGAACAGAAGAAGCGGAAUGUUGAUGUGGAAGUGAAGCCGGACAAGUUAGAAUCUGCUGAAGAGGAAGAUGAGAAAUUUGUCAACUUGGGGGAGCAUUUGGAUGGAGAGGGAGAGCUGAAGAGGAAUGAUGAUGUGGGAGUGGAGCAGGACGAUUCUGAAUCUGCUGAAGUGGCCACAUUUGAGUGGAGAGCAAGUGAAGAUGGAAGCAUCCUCUGCCCCCCAAAGCACAUGAAAGGUUGUGGUAAGCAUACUUUAGAAUUGAGAUGCAAUUUUUCUCAGAAUCACGUCAUAGAGUUGGUGGAGAAAGCAGGAAAAAUAGAUGAAAGUUACAAUCUUUUGCAUGCUAGUAGUGAGACUCCUGCACAGAAGUGUUCAUGUGUUAAACCUGUGGAUGAUGCUGUUAGCAUAAGUAGCAGUAGCUGUAAGAUAAGGAAAGCAGCAUAUAGAGAUGGUUCUGAUGAUAACUACUUGUUCUGUCCAAGGGUUGGACAAAUCCAAGAUGAGGAUUUUGGCCAUUUUCAGUGGCACUGGAUGAGGGGUGAGCCUGUAAUUGUGAGUAAUGCGCUUGAAAAUGGAUCAGGUCUAAGCUGGGAACCAUCUGUCAUGUGGCGGGCAUUUAGACAGAUAAAGAAUCUCAACCAUGAUAGGGAAUUGGCAGUCGAUGCCAUUGAUUGCUUGGAUUGGAAUUUCAUCGAAAUCAACAACUGCGACUUCUUUACUGGAUAUUCCAAAGGCCGUUUUGAUAAAUUGGAUUGGCCUGAGAUUCUGAAGCUCAAAGACUUUCCUCCAUCUACUGAGUUUGACAAUCGUCUUCCUCGGCAUGGUAAGGAAUUUCUAUGUUGUCUGCCUUUCAAGGAGUACACGCACCCCAAGGGAAGUCUGAACCUUGCUAUGUUCUUGCCAAAGGAGUCAGUAAAGCCGGAUAUGGGUCCGAAAACAUAUAUUGCCUAUGGUGUUGUGCAGGAGCUUGGACGGGGAGAUUCUGUAACCAAGCUUCACUGUGAUAUGUCUGAUGCGGUCAAUAUUUUGACACAUAUAGCUGAAGUGACCCUUGCUCCUGAAAAACUUGCAACUAUAGAUGAGUUGAAGAAAAAACACAGGGAGCAAGACCGAAGGGAGAUGUUUGGAAGUUGUGGCACAAUUGCUGAAAAUGGUAGUGUGCCUCAGGAAGAUUCAGCUGAAGUAUACGAAGAUGGGGGUGCAUUAUGGGACAUUUUCCGAUGCCAGGAUGUUCCACAGCUGGAGAAGUACAUCCAGAAGCACAUUAAUGAAUUCAGGCACUUGCACUGUAAUCCAUUGAAGAGUGUUACUCAUGCUAUACAUGAUCAGACUGUAUAUCUCACUGCGGAGCACAAGAGGAAGCUCAAGGAGGAAUUCGGAAUUCAGCCAUGGACAUUUGUCCAGAAACUUGGCGACGCUGUUUUCAUUCCUGCAGGCUGUCCUCAUCAGGUGAGGAAUUUGAAGUCAUGUAUCAAAGUUGCACUGGACUUCGUUUCCCCUGAGAAUGUGGGGGAGUGCUUUCGUUUGACGGAAGAGUUUCGCACCCUUCCAACAAACCACAGGGCUAGUGAGGAUAAGCUGGAGGUUAAGAAAAUGAUUGUGCAUACUCUUUGUAAUGCUGUGAUGGAGAUUACUGGUGAGAAAAAGUCUGAGGAUGAUGUGAAGCCUAAGAAGAGAAGGUGAGGCGCAAGGGAUAAGGCUCUAAGUAAGUUCUAACAAAAUGUGGUAUGAAGCAAUUAGUAGUGACUUAAUCUUGAAUUAGUAGUGCUGUAUACCAUAGGAAUUGGUAUUUGAUUUUGUAACAUUAACUCAUGGUUUUUUUUUCUCCAAGAUCAAAUCACAGUUGAUCGUUGUAGUUCAUGAGUAUGAGAAAUGGGAUUACUUUAUGCUUUCAUCCAUUCUUUCUUAUUUGAUUUUAUAAUAGUGUUCCAUACUGACAAGUACUUCAUCUGAGUAUGAGAACUGUGAUUACAUGCCAUUUUUAUAUUUGUUGAAGCCUAACAAAUGUGCUCCAACUUUCACAGCCUAAGCCUCUGGUUACUGUAAUAUCCUUAUGCAGCUCACCAAAAUCUACUCCCGCAAUCAGCAGAAGGCUAAGCAUCUCCUUGUUAAUUUGUUGUAACAAACAGAAGAGCUAGAGACAGUCCAGCAGUAAACAACAGAAGAAGGGAGGGCAGAGGCCUUUGGUGUUCCAAGAAUUUUGGCCUCACAAUCACUAGCCAAUAUGCUUUUCUCUUUUAGUUUUCUUCUAAGGUACUGCUAAUCUGCUAUUGUUUCCCUUAUUUCCUACUAUGGAUCCUUAAGCUUGAAAUUCUACAGACUUACAAAAAUAUGCCGUGUAUACUUGAUUGAGGUUCUGAAAACAAAUAAAGAAUAUAUCCAGUUCUAGUCAAAUUGAUGUUAUUUGUGAACCAUAAGAAUUUAUCUCUGGUAGACUGUUUUGGUUGUAGAGCUGUAUGAUCUUUUAUACCUCACCUACUGCAUAGAUAAGUUGGUACACAUCAGUGGAAGCCAAAAAUGGAUGUGUUUGAGUGAUUGAGAGAGGUUAUACUUGAUUUGAUGCGUAUGUUAUCAGCCAUUCAGUCCUCUUCUUGUUCAUUUUUUGAGUGACUCAAAUCAUUAUCGAAACAACCUAUCGGCUGCCCAUUCUGAAGGGUUUUCACGUGCAGUGGCUCACCUUUCUGAAAUAAUAGUUAUACUGAUAGAAAAUAAUUGCUACAAAAAACAUAUUUUAAGAAAUCAGAAGGGGAGCAUGUUCUUGUCUUUGUUAAACACUUAGACAGGUUCCCCUAUAGUUAAGGUACUUUGCUUGCUAUUUAUUUUGAGUACUGUUUAGGCUACCACAGUUGAUGUGCUUAUAAAUAAACAAUUGUGGCUAUGUGACUGUGCGCACAUUGUAUGUUUUGUUUUAAGUUGGUAGCUUAAUGUCUUGAGAAAUUAUGUUCCUUAUUUUUUGGUGAACUAUUGUCAUUGUACAGGGGUGAGUGCCUAAAACAAAAUUAUCCAUGAUAUAAGGCUACUACGCUCGCGUCUAACGCUCACAUCACAUCAUAAUGUCGUUAUAUACUACGCCAUUAAGGUGGACAGACACAUAUGACUAGCUAGCAUUUAUAUACAUACUCUUCUCAUAAAUAUAUAUUUAUAUUCACCGAAAAAUCUCAUUUUUGGUAACUCUUCAAAAGAAAUAAAAUCGUUAAAAUAAAAUGACGUCAAAUGCUCCAACAAAAGAAAUUGUACAACAAUAAACCAUUGUAUUUACCGGCAGCCAUAAAAUAACCCUCUACAGUUUUAGCAACAAUAAUCCAACGGCCAGAUUCUACCCAAUUAACCAUCAAAAUUACCAAUCUUUGACAAAAUCCCAAAUCUAUCCAAAACUCCUUCAAAAAUUCCAAACUUCACAUCAAAAGACUCCCCUUAAUAUAACGCAUUUAAAACCAUGAAAAUCCCCCUAACAACGGCGGCCGGCGGCCUAUUCCGACGACCUCCAAUGCUUACCAAAUUAUUUUAGGGCAAGGCUACUGGGUUGCAGACCUUCAAAAUUAUAUAAGGCUUGCCCAGAUUGGUGGCCGGAAGAGGAAGUUCCGGCGACGGAACACCAUGGACGACCGGAGCUCUCGGGCGCGAUAUCUCCCUCACGGCGGCGCUAGAGAGGCUGCCACCGGUCCAGGAAGGAAGAUGAGGUGAUGACCGACCAUUUGGGACCGGUGCGGCGGUCGAAGCUGGCUAGACGACGACGGACGAGCUCGGGAAGUGUCUGACAGAGAGAGAGCUCGGGAGGAAAGAGAGAAAAAAGAAGAGAAGAAAAGAGUUGGACCUCCCAACCGGUUCCUAACCCAUACUAAUACAAACCCAACUCCAAAAUAAUACCCUAAUAAAAAUUACAUUUUUACUAGCUAAAAUUUACCCUUUUCACCGUCUUCAAAUAUUUCUCUUACGAAUAAUUUCUCCGAAAUAAUUGUCCCUCAAAACACCUCUAGGAACCUUUGAAACUAUAAACUCAAUGACGAAGAUGGUAAAACUCUUAUUAACAUCAAGCUAGUAAAUAAGGUAAAAAUUUAAGAGUCGGGAUGUGACACCUUUUCUAUGUGAUCUACUUUCUACAAGCCAAUAUCUCUUUUAAGCUUCUGUUCCAGCCAAAUCAUGUAUUUUUCAAUCAAUAUGUCCUGUUAUAUUCAAGUGGUGUCAAUAUGACAAUUCUGUUACAAAUCUGUCCCCCAAGCCAAAGAGCCAACGCUAAUCUUAAUAUACAAUAUAUGAUGGAAAAAUGAUCCAAACAAUGUCUCACCUUUUGAAUUAGCAAAACUUUGGUAUCUGACCUUUAUAAAACUUCAAAACAGUAUCUCACGUUCUUACCUCGACUGAAGUUUGGUAUCUAUAACUGUUAGCUCCAUUAAAAAGACUGACAACAUCCAUUUUUAUUCAUAAAAUGAUCAAUAUACCCUUGAGUUUUAGUUUUAGUUUUUGUUAUUCUUUUUAUAUAAUAAAAAGAGAAAUUCGUCAUAACGGUACCUCAUCUUUUCUUCCUUAUAAACUUUGGUAUUUUAAGUUUUGAUGACAUCAGAAUGGUACCUCAAGUAUUGAAAUAUGAAGAGACAAAAAACACCUAUGAAAAAUAGUCUGAUGAAAGUUACCCUAUCAGAGGUUACGGCUAAAAGUACUAAAAUUGGGUCGGGAUGAAAACUUGAGGUACUGUCUGUUGUUUUCAAAACUUGAUGUACCAAAGCUUAUAAACAAGAAAAGAUGAGGUACCGUUAUGACAAAUUUCUUUUAUUAUUAUAUAAAAAGUAUAACAAAAAAAAAAACAAAAACUCAAGGGUAAAUUGGUCAUUUUAUGAAUAAAAAUGGAUGUCGUCAGUCUUUUUAACGGAGCUAACGGUUCUAGAUACCAAACUUCGAUCGAGGUAAGAACAUGUGAUACUGUUUUAAAGUUUUCUAAAGGUGAGAUACUAAAACUUUGCUUCUUUAAAAGGUGAGACACUGUUUAGACAAUUUUCCCAUAUAUGAUUUGUAUUCAUAAUUGUUUAGUUCUCCCGCCAGCUCUAGCUAUUCCUCCCAUUUUCAUUACCAUGUCAGAAAAAAAAAAAAUCUCAUGUCAUAUACACUCACUGCAGCAACUAUUCUACUGUAGAACCUGAAUCUCAACAUCAAUCACAUCAUCCUAUCCUAUGCCUAACUAAGCACACCAUUACUCCAAGCCUAAUGUCAAACCAAUGUCACUACUGCGAAUCUUUCUCAAACCAAAAUAAUCAGUACUCUUAAAGUUUUAUCCCUGUAGCAAGCUGAAUCCCUAUAACAACAAUAGUCGAGUUCAUGUAUUUCAUUUUACAUUUUAAGCAAUUUGUGUUCUCUACCAUAGAAAAGUUAUAAUCCUCAAGCAACAAAAAGUUGAUAUCCACCAAUUCAAUCAUCUACCCACCAAAUUUCAAGCAGCAAACUCUACCAACUCAAACCCAGGCCAAAGCUAACAUUUACCAUGUUUACCGUGAUGGUGAACUUUCAUGUUUAUCUUCAGGACCCUGCUUAAUAAACCUGAUUUUUCUAAAUUCAUUUCCAAACUCUGGAAUUUGAGAGAUUCAACUCUAUCUCAUAUUCUCCUUUUCAAGCUUUCAACACCCCCUGCACCUAUCUCUAGUAGUCAGUUAUCACCGCGACAAUAUUACAUAUACUGUCAUGCACAUUGCUCUUAAACUAAGUGCAUAUGCAGUAAGUCCACCAAGGAAAGAUACACUAUUAUGCAAAGUGCACAUGCUAAAUAUCAAGAAAAAAGCUUUUUUGCCUUCUCAAAGCAUUCCUUUAUACACUCCAAGAACUCACAAGUCUACAAGUCGCUGUUGGAACUGCAUAUAUACUACUGCAAAGCAUGGUUUCUGCAAUAAGGUCAUGAGAAGAAUGAAAACAAGGUUGUAUACUUACAGACCAAGGAGUUGCUCCCAGACAAUCAAUCUCGAGCAAGGGGUCGAUUUGAGAUGACCUAUAGCUUGGUCUGAUAUUGUAUUCCAAUACAUCUGGGGGCUAAGGAUGUUGUUGCAGUGAUCACCGCAGUUAGUAAAUACCAUGCCUACUUUGAAGCUUCUUGCUCUUCAAUUGAAAGCUUCAUGCCUCAGACAUGCCUAUAUCGAAUCAAGCUUUAUAAAUGCAAAUUCAUUUGCAAUCCUACAAUAAAAGCCAAUGGAAAGUCGUAGAUGUGAGCAAUCUGUUCAAGGUUCCAUAAUACAACAAGCAAUUUUCUUAUUCAAAACCCAUGCCCACUUGCUAUGUUCAUAAAUCAAGCCUACCCAUACUAGAUAUCAAGCUCUAUUGCAGUUUUUCAAACAUCUGAAGCCUACCCAUUCAAAAACCAAAGCAUAAAUUGUCACUGCAAUAUUUAUACUUAGCUAUUCUUACCUCCUGGAAUUCAGCCUAUGAAGACAAACUUCCCCAGUUCAUCAACCUUGCCAUUUAGAUAGAAAAGCAUAUACUCUCCAGAUGAUUUCCUGAUCUUAAACCCAUACUUCGUUGGGAAAAGGAGAAGUUGGCCUUGCCUUCUCAUAUUCUACAGCAACAGAAAAAUAGAAGGCCCGAAACAAUUAUGUUACAAGCUUGUGCUCAUGCAUUCUCUUAUUCAUUUAAUAUAUUAGGAGAAAUUUUAUCACUUAUUCAUGCAUAUGCUACCAACUCAUAUGCUAAAUCAUAAAAUAAGACAAGCUAAUACAUACUCCAAGCUCCACGCCAAGCUAAUAAACACAAUGCCAAGCGGAUUCACGACCAAAGAGACAUGCCAAGCCUUACGCAAACUCAUGUCAAGCACUUACUAACCAACAAUGUGACUUGGAUACAAUUCACGCAAGCGAACGUAUCGUUGUCAAGAUAGGAAAGUAAAAAUGCCCAAGUUAUCGUACCACGGGGAUUAGUGGCUAACCCACAAUCGUAGGCUAAUCGGAACAAAAGUCACUAAGCAAACAAAGAAAAAGAAGAAAAAUGCUACUCUAAAGCACCAAGCCUUACCAAUGCUUGACCUCGGUUAUCACCAAAGCCUAAUCAAAACUAGAAGCCUAGUGAUGGUUAUCUACAAUGAGUCGAAAUAUAAAUGGGAGAUGGAAUGAGGAGUUAACUAAAUUGACGACAAACAAAAUGAGAAAUAAACUACUAACUAAUGAACUAGAGAAUGUUGAGAACAUGGGAGUGUUGGGUGAUCCACACUAACUCAUAUGCAAACAUCGAAACCAAUUUCACAAAUACAUAUCCUAUUGUGCUAAGUCCCGUAUCUAAUAUCGGUUAAGGCUACUAGACCAAUUAUCCUUUCGGUGUAUCGAUUAUGCCGGUUAAGGCCACAAUCAACUCUCUAACUUAGGCAUUACGCCGGUUAAGGCCGCAAUAUCUAAAUUAGAGGCCUAGAGUGCAAGAUAAUAGAGAGCCAAGCAAGCUUAGCUACAAUUAAGCUAACUAAUGGUUACCACACUUCAAAUCCUAGAUGCACAAGACUAAUAAGUUGUCAAUUUAUCAAUCUAUCCAUCAAAUUGUCCACAACAUUAUCUCAAAGGGUGACAAAGCCUAGAAAAAUUCUUCUAAGGACCAACACAUUUGGAUUCAAAACAUACACAAUGGAAAUUGCAUUUAUAUCAAUCAAAGUACCAACAUUAUACAAAAUGAGUUUAGAGCUUCAAUACCCUAACUUCCAUAAUAGAAUCACUCACUACCCAUAAACAAAUACAUCAUCAAAUACAUAAGAAGUUAAGAGAAGGGUCAGAGAAGAGAGGAACACAAGCUAGAUUCACAAAUUGCUACAAGCAACUAUGAACCUACUUGAAAUUAAGCUCCCUCUCUUUACCAAUCUUGAAUUUCCCUUAUGGUGAUGAAGCUUUGAUGCUUGUAGGUGAGCUCUUCUUGAAUUCUCAAAAGAAAACUAACUAAAAUGAAGAGAUGAAGGGAUGGAAUGGGAAAUGGGAUUGGUGGUCACUCACGGGAAAGGGCAGAGCCCUUCCCUUCACUGUGUGCGGCUACUCUCUCUUCUCCUCAGUGUGCCGCUGCCUUCCUCCCCAGAAUGAAUGAGAGAACGAUGUAUAUACGUGUAUAAUUGAGCUAGGGUGCACGGUUGUGUGGCUGGGAUAAGGGUAGAGGUGCCACAUGGCAGCUAGCAAUUGGUCAAAAGUGAGAGAAAACGGGAUGGCAGGUGAUGGAGGGAUGAUGCUGAUUUGCAUCCCUACUUAAUUAACCAAUAAAGCUUAAUUAACCAAGUUGAUGGUAAAUUAAUCACUUAAUUGAUUAAUUAUUAUAAUCUUCAACUUCUAAGCUUCGACCACAUUGAGAAUUUCGACAUUUUCUCAAAGACUCCAUUUUGCUCUAAUGUUGCACCAAUUUCUUCCGAAAUCCACAUUUUCAUUUAUUUCCUACAAAUAAAUAAAAUUGGAUUAAUUACAUUAUAAUUAACUUAAAGAUUAGCUAAAUUGUAGUGUUAAAGUAGUAAUUACGUGUAUAUAAAUACACGUAAUCACAAUGCCAAGCUCCUCUUUGUCAAGGUCAUGCAUCUAUUCGAGACAAUUUGGGAGUCAUACCAAACUUAUUCCUAUAAUCAUGUGCAUUUCAAACUCCACGCACACUCCCUUGGUCCAUUAAAUAAAUAACUAAAGCAACCUCAAGCCGAAACCAUUCAUGCACAAGCCUAGCAAAUGUCUAAGCAUGGUUGCCACAAGCUCAAGAAAAUUCAAGUCUAGCAAAAGCAAACUCUCGUUCUACGCAUGCCAAGCAUAAAAUCAAGUAUAUAUUAGCCAAGCAAAUUAAGAAAAUAUAUAUAUCUUUUAUACAUCAUGCAAAACAAAUGAUCAAGCAUAUCUAUUAAUCCUAAUACAAUCCAUUAGAUACUUUAUACGCUCUUUUGUUCUCAUCUCGCACAUCCCAUUUUACUCUAACCAUGAAGGCAUUCCACUCAUACCCUUGCGUAUUCCAUUCCAACUAUCUUUUGCUAAAAUUCCCAAAAUCUUAUAGUCGCUAAGCCAAGCAUUCAUUCUUGACAAAACACAAGGCUCUUAACCUCACUAGUCAUUCUUUCUUCCAAAUCUACUAUUACUUUACUCUAGAUCAUUAUCGGUCCUAUUUCUACUUACACUAGUAGAAAAAAAGGCUUAAGCGACGAACACUUUCACAUUUCGUCGCUUAAGUAAAUCCUAAGCGAUGACAACAAAUAUCGUUGCCGAAUAUACAUGUUUUGUCGCUACAAUUUUCUUCGGUGACGAGAUUUUUUUGUCGCCUAAGUUUCGUCGCCACAAGUCCCUCACUACUAGAAAAUAGCACUUAGGCGAUGAAAUUAAAAAAUUCCGUCUCCUAAGUGGUACUUAAGUGACGGAAAUUUCUACUUAGGAGACGAAACAGUUUCCGUCUCCUAAGUUGUUCUUAGGAGACGAAAUAUUUAUUUUUACUUAGACGACGAUAUUUUAAAAAAAUAAAAAUUAAAAAAUUUAUAUGAAUCACUUAGGAGACGGAAUUACAUUCCGUAGCCUAAGUAGAACUUAGGAGAUGGAAAUAUUUACUUAGGCGACGAAAUUUUUUCUAAACAAAAAAAAACAAAAAAUCAUGAAUCACUUAGACGACGGAAAUAGAACAUUCCGUCGCUUAAGUUCUAAAAAUUUGAGCGCCCAUCUUCCCGCGNNNNNNNNNNNNNNNNNNNNCUCUCUCUCUCUCUCUCUCUCUCUCUCUCUCUCUCUCGACCAUCACUCUCAUGCCAGCCUCUCUAUUAUCCAUUCUCACCGCUCUUUCCUCCGCUGCCACCUUCAACUGCACCACCCCCACCAACGCCACCUCCAACUGCCACACACUCAUCGACUUCGUCCCCACAAACGCCACCACUUUCAACGUCGUCAAGACCCUCUUCAACAUCACCCGGCCAUCUCCGCACCCUCCACCUCCGCCUUCUCACCGACCCACCACCGGUGAUGUAGAACAGAUGGCGAUAGAGAUUGAGGAGCAGAUCGAUCGAAACAAGUCUAAACCCGGUCCAGAUUUGGCGUUCGGUGUCUGAUUGAUCAUUAUGAUACCUUUCUGGAAGCGGAACGGCCCAACGAACCAUCCGAGUCUGUAUGGGCUUUUUAGGCCAUCCGAGUCCGUUUAGGCUUCCAAAAUACGUAAUUAAUUGUUUUCAGUAAUUACUUUUAAUAGUUUGUUUUUGAUUUGGUGGUGGUGGUGUAUUUGGGGCAAAUUGUUGACAUGAAAUUGAAAGGGAGAUACUGUAUUGAAGUUUAGUGACCCCCAGUAGAACUUUACUGGGGGGCAGUAAAGUUCCACUGGGUUUACUAGGGGGCAAUGAAUUUGUUUAUUAGGGUAAGAAUUUAUAUAUGUUAUGUAUAAUUGACAUGAAAUUGAAAGGGAGAUACAAUAUUGAAUUUUACUGACCCCCAGUAAAGUUCUUUACUGACCCCCAGUAGAACUUUACUGGGGGCAGUAAACUUCUACUGGGUUCACUAGAGGCCAAUAAAGUUGUUUAUUAGGGUAAGAAUUGGUAUAUGUUGUGUCACUACGGGAAAUCUUGUCCUAGACGACGGAACAAAUUCGUCGCCUAAGACUCACUAUUCGUCUUCUAGAAACUUCACCGACGACUAAUCCGUCGUCUAAGUGUCGUGAGGUAGACACUUAGGUGACGGAAAAUAAGUUAGCCGUCGAGUAUGAUUUUUCCUAGCCGACGGAUCAUUUCUUGCCUUGUCGACAAACUUAAUCGUCGAUAUGUAUCUUUAUAGACGGAAACUUCUUGUCGGAAAGAUACUUAGCCGACAAAUACGAAAUUUUUCUUAGCCGACGAAAUAGGCGUCGGUAUCUGUCCGCCGACGAAUAAUGAUAUGUUCUUAGGCGACGGAAAAUUCGUCGGUAUAGAUUUAUGCUGACGAAUUAUGAAGAGUUCUUAGUCGACGAUUUUCUUUGUAUUCGUCGGGUAGGUUAUUUAUCUUAGGCGACGGAUGCUUCUGUUUCCGUCGCCUAAGUUAUUUAUUUAGGUAAAAAAAAAAGUUGAAUUUUUGUUUUUUAACUUUAUUCACUGUUCAAAAAUUACAAAUCAGUAACAAUAAUCAAACAUGUACAGAUACAGAUAUACCAGAAGCAUUGGAUUUGGAAAACAUAUUCAUAUAUUGAUCAUGAUCGAUAACUAGAUCGAUGGAGAAAUAUUUAAUGAACUAGUUAGGUAGAAAAUUGUUCAUACAUAUACAAUCUAGCUAAACUAUGAAUGAAGUACUACAAAAUCAAUAAUUGAACAAUUCUAUGUUGUCGCCUAGAUCAUCAUUGUUUUGUGGAGAAACAUGUGGAGGAGAAACAACUAGAGGAGGAGGAGGAAUCUGUGGAAGAGGUGGAGGUGGCAUACCUAGGCGCUCAUAUAUGGCUGCAAAUUGGGACUGCACAGCGCUAUACAUGGACUCGGCACGCAGGGCACGCUGAUGGGCCUCUUGAUAUUGUUGUUGGGCACGCUUCUCUGAUUCCUUCAGUCUCUGCUCAUAGCGCUCCUGCAUCUCUUAGAGUUGCUGCUCAUCAACUCUAGGAGGACGACUACGUGAAGUGGAACCAUUUGAAGAUUGGCUCAAGUCUCGCUCGCCUCCUCGUCCCAUCCCUCAGAUCUCCUUUCCUUUCCGAGUUUUCAGCACCGUACCUAACACCUCAAUUUGUUGGGACUGAACACUCUCCAUAAUCUCCUCCUCCGUCGCGUCAGGAUGUUGUUUCUUGAACGCAUCCUUUCGUUUAUUGACCUCAUCAACCAUAUCAUUCUGCAUGCAUUUUAAAAUACAUCAAUUAAUAAACAAGUUUGCUCAACACAUGUAUUAGCACCUAAAACAGUAACAGUUGAAGCUAGGAAUCAGUUGAAAAAAAAAAAUAUUUUGUAGCAGUAAGCAGGGGUGCCUGCAUGCCCGCCCCAGGGUGCCUGCAUGCGCGCCCCAGGGUGCCUGCAUGCGAGCCCCAGGGUGCCAGCAGCGCGCCCUGGGGUGCACCCUGAAACGUGUAUAAUCCAAGUAUUUUUCUUAUGAACUUGAUAUUAAUUAAUUGAUGCAUGUAUAUUAAGAUAUAUGGAUCGAGGUCAUCGAUCUAUCAAUUUUCUUUUUAAUUAAGCACAAGGAAUUCGAAGAAAAAUAGAAGCCUCUAUUUUGAUUAGAAGAGUAGUUGCACGCAUGUAGGUAUAUAUAACUACGUGUUCAUACAUAAAAGACAAUACAAGAGCCUAGCUCUCAGAAAAUAAACCAGUUUGGAUUAUUUCAUUUUACACAUACAUAAUCAACCUUUCAUUUUCGAGCUAAUUAACCAAAAGCGUCUCCAAGAUUACCGCUCACCAAGAUUAAGAAACCUCCCCCUGCUUUGAUCCCAAUCCCCUCUAAGACAUAGAUGCGAACAAUAAAAUAGUAAAAGGAAAGACACUUACAUAUUUCUUGGUCGUAUCUUCAUCACCGGCCCUGACAUAGGUCUUCUUAAAACCUUUGAUAAUUGGAAGCUGCUCCCCUUGUAUUCUGAGUUCCUCCAUUGUGUAGAUGAUAGGAGAAGACCCCAUGUGGUGAUGCAUAGUCUUCUCCCCACGGUUCCGCUUGUUUGCCAAGGAGUGUCUCUAAUAUAUACACGAAAAAAUAUUAAAUAGAUUAGUAAAAUACAAGGGAAACAAUGAAGGUAAUUUUAAAAUAAAAUAAAAAAAUGAAGGUAAUUUAAAAAAUCACCUUGAACGCAUCUGACUCGAAGUGCUGGCAUAGAAACUCCCACUGGUCCUCUCUCCCAAUGAAAUCUGAAGGCAUGCUAGAGGGCCCUUCCUUCAAAUAAUCUUUGUGACACUGGUACUUCCAGUCCUUGUACCUCUCUUGUGCCCUCUUCAGUAUCCAAUCGAACAUUGGCUCAUCAUUUUCAUCCCACUCAUACUUCGGCAAAGUAACAAAUAAAAAAAAAUUCAAAGAGUUAAGCACUGAAAAAAAAAAAAUGUAAUUAAGUAAAUAUACUUUUCAAACUAUUUUCUGUUACUUACUGACAAUGCAUUUCACACCUUCCACUUCUCCACCUGAUCAACGUCGUAGAAUGUCCUUGCCCUCAUUCCCACCAGACUCCGUAUGACGGAAUCGAUAUCAUGCGCCACCAAGCUGUUUAUCCCCCUCACGCUAGGGCCUUUUACACGAGGGCAAUACUGCAGCUUGAUCUUCUCCCCGUUUGUGCAACGAUAUCCUCCGCCUUCUUUCCAGAACAGAAACCCCGCUUCUUUUUCGGGGCCGGAGCUACAAUUAAUAUAUAUACAGAACAUUAGGAUAAGCAGCCGGGGGUGCUUGCAUGCGCGCCCCAGGGUGCCUGCAUGCCCACCCUGGGGCGCGCUGCUGGCACCUCGGUGCGCGCUGCUGGCACACCAGUGCGCGCAUGCAGACACCUUGGGGCGCGUUGCAGGCACCUGGGGCGCGCAACUUAAAUACAACUAUAAGAGGAAUUAGGGUAUUUACCUGUUAGGUUUCUAACUUUCAAACGAGCGCUGCCGACAAUGCGUCUUGCAGAUUCGGGUGUCGGUGUAGAUGAUGGAGAUCCCGUUGAAGUAGUGUCAACGGGAACGAGCCGCACGAUCAAGGGGGGACCCGCUGGUGGUACUGUGUCAGCUGGCAUGGGGGAAGGGUGGCUGCUACUGCUAGUUGAGCCGACGCUCUGCCGUAUAGACUCCAUCAAAUGACCGGCCUUAGUGGCUCGGUCCUUCCUCUUCCCCACGAUCACCAUCUUGCAAUUGAAUAACACACAAUUGUCAAAAUGUAAUCUAAUGAAUUGAUUUAAUCUAAUGCUAAUGCCUAAUGACUACACACUUAGUCAGUUGCACAACAAAAUUAUCCAAGCAUUUUCAUCCAAGCAUUUAACUGGUUUGGUGGAGACCCUUUCUAAAUUGAUCAUGUUCUGCAAUUUGGUAGCAUAUAGAACUGAGCUGAACAACAACUGAAAAUGCAUCUAAGCAGCAAAAUCAAGAUAAGACUUUCUAGGCCACAACUGAAAUGCUCCUCAUUGCAUUGAAACAAUUUUAGGCCACAAGCUAGCUAACAUUACCUUCACCAUUCAUCAACCUUAGUGCUAAGUUAUUAUUCACAUCAACAAUUUCACAAAUUGCAACAAGAGUAAAACAUGAAUCUCCUACCUUGUAUGAAAGACAACAGCAUUGGAGAAAGAGUGCUAUGCUAAAUCUAGUAAAUCUAGUACUCCUACCAUUCCAUCUGGUUCAAUUUAUAAUCAAAAACCUUAUGCUAACUACCUAUAUACCUUUUAUUCUAGCAACCAGAACAUAUCCUCCACAACUGCCAAUGGCAAGUUCAUCCCAAAUCCUAUCAUUCCGUAUUAACAAUGAGAUAGUUUCAGUCUACACAAGUAAUAUUGACCAGAUGCAACCAACAUAUCAAACCCAGAAUUCAUUAUAUGCAAACUUCUAUCAAUUUAUUCGUCUGUAACAAUUUAGAAGCUAUAAACUGGUUACAUAACAAAUUAACCAAAUAUUACCUUUUCCUGAGACAAGGCUUCGGUUUUGGACUUGGGAGUGAAGAGGGGAAGUUUGAAGUUAGGGUUUUCCGGCUGAGAGGAAGAAGAAAUUGGGUUUGCUGGGUGGCGAGAUCGGAGACAGAAGGAUUGUGUAGCGAUAUCGGAGGAGGUGGGUGGCGUCGAUGCGGUCGCCGAUCGGUGGAUGGCGGGGUCUCCGAUGGGUGGAGGCGGUGAAUUCUGGUCGGGUCGCGCAGCUCUGGGAGGACCUCAGUCGGGUUUUAGGGAUCGGUUUAUGUGAGAUUGUUUUUAUGAGUUUGGAUUUGAGGACCUCUGUUAUGCUGUCUCAGAUUAGGAGUUUGUAUUUUUCUUAGCCGACGGAACAAGAUUACUUCCGUCGGCUUAGUAAAACUAAGGCGACGACCACUAAAUUUCCGUCGCCUAAGUCUUAACCGACGGAAUAUUUUGUCGGCUAAGAAAUUUAUUCGUCGCCUAAAAAAUUAAAUUUUGGCCCAAAAAAAAUGGCGCAAAAUUCUCCCCGCCUAAUAUUUCGGUAUCCUAGGCGACGGAAAUAACCACGUUCCGUCGCCUUAGUAAUACUAAACCGACGAAAUAGUCAAGUUCAGUCGCCUUGUAAUUACUAAGGCGACGAAUUAUUAAAUUCCAUCGCCUAAGUUACAUAAAAAUUUAUUCAUAUAUAAAAACGCAUACGUACAUAUGCAUUUUAAAAAUUACACGUACGUACAUACAAUAAUUCAAAUUCAUCAAGCAUGCACGCAUAUACGUAAGUACGUAGAAAUUAAUUAAUAAAAUAGCCGGCCUUCAUGAAUGAUAUAUAUAUAUAUAUAUAUAUAUAUAUAUCUAAGCAUCAAGUUAAUUUGAAAAUACAUAUCCGAAGUUAUGCUAAAUUAAUUAAUAUAAGUAGAUUAGACCGAUCGAAAUCCACAAUAAUAUGGAACAAGUACAAUAUUAAUCGUACGCAUGAUAAUCUGAGUCGUCCGAAUCAUCAUCCUCCUCAGUUUGGUUAGAAUACUCAUCAUCCUCUAUGUAUUCGUCAUCUAUGAAGCCGUCGUCAUCAUGAUUGGGGCCGGGGUUGCGACGUUGUAGCGAGUUCAGUUCAGAUGGUGUAAUUGGAAGGUAACCUGUGAUAGCCGAAACGUGUUGGUUGUUGACACGAAUAUCCUCAGUAUCGGGGACUACAUGUGGAGAUUCCUCUUGAUAUGGUUCAUUCGGUUGAUCAAUUGUUGGUUCACUAGGCCCACUCUCAUCAUCCCCUCCCAGCGUAGCUGCACUCCAAAUAUUUCUAUGUGACAUCACCUGCACCACUCUCCAACCCUCACCCAUAGCCGGAUCAUCAAGAUAAAACACUUGUUUCACCAUGGUGGCAAGAAUAAACAGCUCAUUCUCAUACCAUACACUGUUUGAGUCCACUGAUAACAAGCCACGAUCCAGAAUUGUACUCCUCCGUCUGGUUGUGUCAGUAUUGAACCAUUUGCACUUGAACAACACGACAGGCAUACCCUUGCCGUAGAUUAGUUCGAUGACACUGACAUAAACCCCAUAGUAGUUGAAACCCAAACCCUCAACCAUGACUCCAUUGUUUUGGGUGACAUGGCCUUCAUCUCGUUCUGACGUCACAAACUUAACACCGUUCACAAAACAUCCAGCACGAACUCUGUGGUUUUGGGGUCCUCUAGCCAACAAGUGCAACUCCGGGUCGUAAGAAGCAGGAAAAUGUUGUAGAAUGUGCAUCAUCUGUAACAAUUUUAAAAGCAACGUACGUUGUUAUAUUAUGUAACAUCAAAAAACAAAAUAUAUAUAUUUAAUUUAUGUAACUCCAAAUAUAUAUAUAUAUAUAUAUAGAUAGAGGAGGUACCCAAAUAGGGAAGUAAUCAGGAAAAUCUCUCUUGUGUAUGGCUUCGUUACACUACCAGAAGAAAGGCUUUAGUCGACGAAAAAAAAAAACCAGGCCGACGAAGCAUUUUUUCGUCGGCUAAGUAAAAUUUUCGUCGGCUAUGGUAAACUUUAGCCGACGAAAAAAAAAAGUCGUCGGCUAAAUAAUUUAUUUCGUCAGCUAAAGUUCACAGACUAUGGCCGACGAAAUAUUUAAAAGUUUAGCCGACGAAAUUAACAUGUCGUCGGCUAAAGUGCUUUAUAUUUGCAGAUCUGGACAACAGCAGCUCAUCUGGGAAAAAAAACUGGAGAAGAAAAAACGGGAGAAAAAGUUUGGGUGUUGUUGAAAUCUGUCCAUAAUUAGUUUGUGGAGCUAUAUAUAGGUACGUAUAUGUAUAUAUAUGUUGAUUAAUUGAGUUUUAUUUGAGUUGAUCGAUUUUAAGUGUGAUUGAGUUUAUUGAUUUUGAGUGUGAUUGAGUUGAUUGAUUUUGAGUACGUUUGAUGUAUAUAUAUAUAUAUAUAUAUAUGUUGAUCGAUUUGGUUGUAUGAUUUAAAUUGAUAAUAUAUAUGAAUUAAUUUGUUGUUAAUAAAUAGUAGAUAUGUAUAUAUGUUAAUUAAUUAUAUAUNUGUGAUAUGGUAUGAAGUUGUUGAUGAUAUAUAUGAGUUGAUGAUGUAUUUUGUUGAUGAUGUUGAUAUAUAAUAUUGUUAUGNNNNNNNNNNNNNNNNNNNNUUAUAAGUAGUAGAUAUUAUAUAUAUAUGUUAAUUAAUUUAUAAUAUUGUGUUGAUGGUAUAUAUGUCAAUGAUGUAUUUUGUGAUGAUGUAGAUAUAUAUAUAUAUAUAUAUAUAAUAUUGUUAUGUAAUUAUUAAGUAUAUAUAUAUAUGUGUGUGUUAAUUAAUUUGUUAUUAAUUAGUUGUAGUACAUAGAAUAUAUACUAAAUGAAUUGAGAUUUUAUAUAUGGCAUGAAAUUUCAUUAAUAAUUAGCUAGCGUUAUACAUAUAUAUUUUGUUAUAUUUUCAAGAUAUGGAUAAGAGUUGGAUUUCGCUUCCAAAAUGGGAUAAAAGAUACGGUGCAGGAGUUAUGAGUUUUAUAGAAUAUGCGCUGGCUAAUGCUAACAGGAAUACAAUUUUCUAUUGCCCAUGCACGAAAUGUCAGUGUCGCAGCGAUAUGCAUCGAUUUCCCAUUGACAAAGUAUGACAACACCUGAGGAGUAACGAGUUUUGGGAGAAGUACACAUGUUGGUUAUAUCACGGUGAAACAUCAUCAGGGGGUCCGCAUGAUCAUGGCCAAUUUUCUGAGACGGGCAGUACAUCCAACGAUCCAACAACGGCAUUCAUCAACGACAUGUUUCCUUAUGAGAGCGGUGUAUGCGCUCAAGGACAAUAUAUGCCUGACCCGGUGCAACCCUUCCCUAGAGCUGUCAACACUGCUGGUAUUGAAAAGUACAACAAACUGCUUGCUUUCCAAUAGACCCCUGUGUACCCCGGUUGUCAGAAGACCGUUCUUGAAAGUGUGAUGGACGUAAUGAAGAUUAAAGUUGAGACAAAAUCGACCGUGAAGGCUGUUGAUAAUUAUCUACAGUACAUUGCUUCGAUGCUGCCCCACGGUCAUCGUCUUCCUACCACUCAUCGUAAGGUCCGAUGUAUCCUGAAAGAUCUUGGGCUUUCCUACAUCAAGAUCCAUGCAUGCAUAUAUGACUGCGUUCUCUUCUGGGGUAAAGAUCUAGAAGGGAAUGACCUUGGUGGGCUUGACGCAUGUCUGGUAUGUCACACUGACAGGUAUAAGCUGACUCCUGCAGGCAAUAGGAAACCUGUGAAGGUACUUCGGUAUUUCCCGUUGAGGGAUAGGCUUGAGCGGUUGUACAUGUCUUCACACACGGCCAAAGCUAUGAGAUGACACGUUGAUAGGGAAUUGCAUGACGAAGAUACNNNNNNNNNNNNNNNNNNNNNNNNNNNNNNNNNNNNNNNNNNNNNNNNNNNNNNNNNNNNNNNNNNNNNNNNNNNNNNNNNNNNNNNNNNNNNNNNNNNNNNNNNNNNNNNNNNNNNNNNNNNNNNNNNNNNNNNNNNNNNNNNNNNNNNNNNNNNNNNNNNNNNNNNNNNNNNNNNNNNNNNNNNNNNNNNNNNNNNNNNNNNNNNNNNNNNNNNNNNNNNNNNNNNNNNNNNNNNNNNNNNNNNNNNNNNNNNNNNNNNNNNNNNNNNNNNNNNNNNNNNNNNNNNNNNNNNNNNNNNNNNNNNNNNNNNNNNNNNNNNNNNNNNNNNNNNNNNNNNNNNNNNNNNNNNNNNNNNNNNNNNNNNNNNNNNNNNNNNNNNNNNNNNNNNNNNNNNNNNNNNNNNNNNNNNNNNNNNNNNNNNNNNNNNNNNNNNNNNNNNNNNNNNNNNNNNNNNNNNNNNNNNNNNNNNNNNNNNNNNNNNNNNNNNNNNNNNNNNNNNNNNNNNNNNNNNNNNNNNNNNNNNNNNNNNNNNNNNNNNNNNNNNNNNNNNNNNNNNNNNNNNNNNNNNNNNNNNNNNNNNNNNNNNNNNNNNNNNNNNNNNNNNNNNNNNNNNNNNNNNNNNNNNNNNNNNNNNNNNNNNNNNNNNNNNNNNNNNNNNNNNNNNNNNNNNNNNNNNNNNNNNNNNNNNNNNNNNNNNNNNNNNNNNNNNNNNNNNNNNNNNNNNNNNNNNNNNNNNNNNNNNNNNNNNNNNNNNNNNNNNNNNNNNNNNNNNNNNNNNNNNNNNNNNNNNNNNNNNNNNNNNNNNNNNNNNNNNNNNNNNNNNNNNNNNNNNNNNNNNNNNNNNNNNNNNNNNNNNNNNNNNNNNNNNNNNNNNNNNNNNNNNNNNNNNNNNNNNNNNNNNNNNNNNNNNNNNNNNNNNNNNNNNNNNNNNNNNNNNNNNNNNNNNNNNNNNNNNNNNNNNNNNNNNNNNNNNNNNNNNNNNNNNNNNNNNNNNNNNNNNNNNNNNNNNNNNNNNNNNNNNNNNNNNNNNNNNNNNNNNNNNNNNNNNNNNNNNNNNNNNNNNNNNNNNNNNNNNNNNNNNNNNNNNNNNNNNNNNNNNNNNNNNNNUUAUGUGGCUAAUAAAUCCGCGCCUGAAGGAUGUAUAGCUGAAACAUAUAUUGUGCACGAGUGCGUCACCUACAUGAAGUUGUAUUUAGGAGCGUUGAAGGAAACAGACGAACCCAUGCCGGUAGAUGUACCGAAGUUCAAUCUUUCCAUACUCUCCAGUGAUGUUGAAGUUUAUGGAAUUUCGCCAGACUCCUACAAGUUGCAACCAUAUGAGCUAGUCAUUGCCCACUGGUGGGUAUUGAUUAACUGUCCAGAAGUUGAAUACUGGAAAGACAUCCAUCUAUAUUGUCCAGACAUUCAUGGUGAUCUCGAGUACCACAACAGGGAGUUCGCAAACUAUUUUGGCGGCUGGGUACGUAAUUCAAUAUUUAUGUAUGUAUUUAUGUUUAUUGCAUAAUUAUCUAUAUUUAGAAUGUUAAAUUGUUGGUUGCAGAUGAACCAUAUUCAAUUUGAUGGUCACCCAAAUUAGUCGCACGAACUAAGACUUCUAGCGAUGAAGCCGAUAAUGUCAAGAGUUUAUCCGAUGUGCAAGGUGAAUGACGUGCAAUUUAUAUGUGAACAGAGAGACAGCAGACAGAGAACACAGAAUUCUGGGGUGAUGGCGCAUGGUGGGCGGAAUGGAGUUGAUUAUUACGGUGUUCUUGAUUCAGUGGUGGAACUCGUUUACGGUGAAGGCAUGACAGUGCACCUCUUCAAGUGUAGAUGGUUUGAUACUAGCCCGCAGAGCAUGAAGACCGAUUAGUACGGAAUAUUAUCGGUGAACACUGCUACAAGUUCUUACGAAGAUGACCCGUUCGUUUUUGCCACAUCGGUAAAACAAGUGUUUUAUCUUGAUGACCUUGCUAAGGGUGACGCGUGGAAAGUAGUCAACCUUGUGCACCCUCGAAACAUUUACCGGGCGGCCACACUUGGAGAGGCCGAAGACCAGGAAGAAGAUGUUGCGUAUCAAGAGCCUAACGCAAUAGGUAUUCCUAACUCCUCUACCGUUCGCCUUAAUAAUUUUAAAGCGGGUCGUUCGGUGCGAAUUCGUGAUGAAGAGCCAAGGCUUAUUGAUGUUGAUCCAAAUCAAGAAACAAACGAAGACUCUGGCGAUGAGGAAAUACAUAGAUUACCAGAAAUUAAUUCUGACACCGAAGAAAGACUCAUCAGAUGAUUCCGAUUACGAGUCUUAGUUUUAAUUUAGAGGACGUAAUACAUUAAUUUGUAAUAAAAAAGAUUGUAUUACCUUAAUUUAUAGUUUACAUAUGUUGAAUUCAUAUUUCUGUUAUUUUAUAUGAAUUUUGGUGAUAUAUGAACAAGAAAUUAGUAUGGUUUAAACCUUCUGUUUUAGGGUUUGUAUUUUUUACUUAAGCCGACGAAAUACAACAUAAUUCGUCGGCCUAAACCAUCUUAGCCGACGAAUUAUAUUAGAAGUCGUCGGCUAAAAGAACUUAAAGCCGACGAAUUGAAAUGGAAGUCGUCGGCUAAAAGAUCUUAUAGCCGACGAAUUGCAAUGAAAGUCGUCGGCUAAAACCAUCUUAGCCGACGAUGUAUAUUAGAAGUCGUCGGCUAAAACCAUCUUAGCCGACGAAGUAUAUUAGAAGUCGUCGGCUAAAACCAUCUUAGCCGACGAAUACCCUAAUAUUUUGUCGGCUUUAUUAAUUGUUAUAUUUUUUUUAUUACAUACUAUAGCCGACGAAUGAAUUAGGGUAUUCGUCGGCUAAACCCUAAACUUUUUCUGUUACAUACUAUAGCCCUAUCUUUGGUGGUUAUUUUACGUAAAAUUUUUAUACGACUUGUUGUGUCUCAUCGAUUUGAAAAUAUUUUCAGUUGAAGGUCCGGCCAAAAUACGAAAUUUAGACGGUCCAACGACCUUUUCCCUGCAUUUAAGGGUUUGACUUACGGGAUUGACCGUCCGGAUCGAGCACUUAACCUUGUCAGAUCAAGUUGAAUUUUUUCCCAUACAUGUAUCUUUUCAUGAUGGUCAGAUCUGACCGUCGGAUUUCAUUUUCUCAAAUUUGAUCAUCACAAUCACAACAUGCCUACUAAUGUUGUAUAACUUGUUUACCAAGUGUUAAGUAAAUGUUCCGUUUCAAAAACAAACUAUACGUAGAACCUUCAAACGUAAAAAAGUCGUGAAAUAAGACAUGACCAGAAUGGUGAAAUACGUCUACGGUUGAAAAAUCACUGUAUUCUGGUAAAGUCUCGGUGCCGAUAGUUGCGGUCAAUGCAAUUUUCCAUUCUUUCUCCCUAUGGGUAGCCCUAUCUUCGGUGGUUAUUUUGCGUAAAAUUUUUAUAGGACUUGUUGCGUCUCAUCGGUUUGAAACUAUUUUAAGUUGAAGGUCCGUCCAAAAUACGUAAUUUAGACAGUCCAAUUAAUGACAUUUUCCGUGCGUUUAGGGGUUUGACUUAACGGAUUGACCGUCCGGAUCGAGCCCUUAACCUUGUCGGAUCAAGUUGAAUUUUUUCCCAUACAUGUAUUUUAUCAUGGUGGUCAGAUCUGACGGUCGGAUUUUCGUUCUCAAGUUUGAUCAUCACAAUCACAAUCACAGUUUGACGAAUGUAUAAAAAGUUAUAAAGCCGACGAAUUUCAAAGGUUAUAGCUGACGAAUUUAUUGUUUAGUCGACGAAUUUCAUAGGUUUAGCCGACGAAUUUCAAAGGGUUAGCCGACGAAUUUUAUCUUAGCCGACGAGAUUAUUAUUUUAGCCGACGAAAUUAUUAUCUUUAGCCGACGAAAUUAUUAUUUCGUCGGUUAAAGUUUUCGGGUAUAACCCAGCUCUCGACUGGUUAAUUGUAAGCCCUAGCCUCCACCUCCUCUCCCUCUCCGAAUUUCCCCUCCUCCGCCUCCGAUCCCUCUCCCGGUCGCCGCCCUCUCCCUCUCCCUCUCCCGGUCUCCGCCUCGUCUCCCUCUCCCUCUCCCUCUCCCGGUCUCUGCCUCCACUCCCUCUCCCUCUUCGGCUGGCCUCCUCCUCCUGCUCCGGCCGGCCUUGUCCUCCUGCUUCGGCCGGCCUCCUCCUCCUCCUGCUCCGGCCGGCCGGCCUCCUCUUGCUCCGGCCUCCUCCUCCUGCUGCUCCGGCCUCCUCCUGCUGCUGCUCCGGUCCUCCCUCCUCCUCCUCGAGUACAUUUCUGAGCUUUAGUUUUAUUUUGUGUUUGCUUUUAUUUUCCGGUCAAUUGCAAUGUUGUGGUGUUGUUAGGAAGUGUAUAUUUGUAUUUAGGAAGUGUAUAUUGUUAUUUAAUAAGUGUAUAUUUGUAUUUAGUAUUUAGGAAAUGUAUAUAUUUGUUUUGUAUUUUGUGUUUGCUUUGAUUUUCCGGUCAAUUGCAAUGUUGUGGUGUUGUUAGGAAGUGUAUAUUUUUAUUUAUGAAGUGUAUAUGUGUAAAUUUUAGGAAGUGAAAAUUUGUAUUUAGGAAGUGUAUAUAUUUUUUACAUUUUUUAAAUGAGUUUGCAUUUUUUGAUUUUGUGGCCUUGAUUCAAAUUAAUAUUUUAAACAGGAUGAGCGGUAAUAUUAGAUCGACGAAGGGUUUGAAGGGCCAAAGGUCCGUAUCGUCUGAGGGAACCUCUAGCAACCCUCAGACGUCGUUUCAGGGCCUUAUGACAGCUAGACAUGCGAGCCUUCUGCAGACGGCGCAGAGGCAGCCGGAGGUGCCCCCUUCAUCGAGGCAGCGGGGCUUCCCCUCAUUUCUCGAGGCAGUUGUUUGCUUAGCCUCAGACGGAGGUGUCUGCACCCCGUAUGCCUGAGAUACACCGGGCGCCCACUCCAGGUCCUACUUCUUCGGAUAGUGGGUCUUCUGGGGUACAGAUGCCGCCGCCUCACCUAUUCCUUCCGCGAUUGAUACCGGCCAUACCUGCAGUCGAUGACUCAGGGACGCCAAUUUAUCCACUGCCCCCGCCAGUGGCUCCAUCAGCGGCGUACCGGUUCGUGCCUUUUGAUACGCCUCUUAUUUCUGCGAGGGUAUCUUCAUCGGAGACGGAAUCCGUCGCGUCCGCCGCAUCGCCCUCAGGUAAUGAAAGAUGAAUGAUUUGUUUUCUUAUAAUUCUCUGAUUUUAAUAAUCAAUUUGGUUUAUCAUGUGAUAGGCACCGUCGGAGCGAAGCCGGCAAAAAAGAAGAGAGGCCCCGUCACAGGGAAGGCUCUCGAGAAGAUCGUCGGUACCUCAGGGAGGAUUGUCAUCGGUAUUAACGGGGAUGGCGACAUAGUAUCGGGCGGGAAGUCGAGGACGUACUCCGGCCGCGUGGGAGCGCUCAUUAGGGAUAGAGUCCAUAUGUUGUGGUCAGACUGGGGCGAGGUCCCGCAGGAGGUUAAGGACAUGGUCCACAACGCGAUGUCGGUGAGUUUACAAAAUGCCUUAAUAAUAUUAUGUAUUAUAGUUUAGAUUUCUCGAAAAACUAAACUAAUAAACGGUUAAAUGCAGGUGUGGUUUGAGGUUCCCAAGCCCUUGAAGAGCAGCUGGGCGGACUUUGUGCAUGGGGGAAGGUACGUUGGGAAGUUAAUGAAAAAACAAAAUUGUAUGUCAUAUUAAUAAUAUUUCUAAUAUUUUUGUUGUAUAUGUAGGUACAAGGAGUGGAAGAAUGACUUGCGGACCCAUUGGACUACGCACGAGAACGCACGUUCUGCUACCCCUGCUGAGUUCCAGUACAGAGAGUACGAGUGGCGUUGGCUUCUGACAUCAGAAUUCAACAACCCUCGUAAACAGGUAUUUAAAUAAAUUAAUUAGUUAAUUUGUCAUUAAGUACGUGCGUUUUUAAAUAUUUUACUAAUAGUUUUGUUUUUUCUUUGAAGGCGGUUUCCCGGGCGAACGCUUAGAACCGGCAACGCAACACAAUGAACCAUCAUGCCGGUUCUAGACCGUUCGCUGUCUUCAUGGACGAGGCGGCCAGGGAACAUCCAGAGGUCAACCAGUACGUCUAUACGUACGAGAAGACAUAUCUUGACUCCCAGGAGGAUAUAGUAAGUAAUCUUUCCUUUUUACGGAAUUUUUAAUUUUACUUAUAUAUAUGUCAAAAUGUUAAUUAAUAAUUUUUUUCCUAUCCAAUUAGGCAAAGGUGAGGGAGGCUAGUGACGAGGUGAUGAGUGCUAUAGUGAGGGAGACAUGGCCGGACACGCAGGAGGAAGACAUGUCCGAAGCCAUUUCCUGGAUCGACACUUUAGAUCCGAGGGUUGGGGCGAGGAUCAUGGGCACAGCCUUUCCACCGCGAGAAAACAACUUCUACUGCCGGGGUCUAGGAAAGAAGGGCCAGGGGGUCUUGAAGACCACUCCAGGAUUUCAACGAAAGGCAGCCUCGACCAGCAGCAGGACGACUCAGCUAGAGUCGGAAGUUGAGAGACUACGGGAACAGCAAGCCGCUCAGGCUGCCGUUCAUGCUGCUCAGGCUGCCGCUCAUGCCGCCCAGAUCGCCGAAUACAGAGCCUAUACUAUAGCCCUAAAGGCCGCCCAGCAGGCCCAGCAUCAGCAGAUGUUCCAGUACUUCUAGGAUUUUACAGUUGCCCAGCUUCAGGGACUUUCAUCUCCGCCCAUACCUGCGCCUAUACAGUUACCUCUGCCGCUGCAAUCUCCUCACCAGCAGGCCCCAGAAUCGGAUAUUGAUUUAGACCAUCUAGAUUUUGUGUAGUUGAUACCUUAUAUAGUUUUAUGUGCUUCUUGUUGGUUAUAUAUAUGGAAUUGUUUUGGUGUAUUUUGCAGCUUGCUUGGAAUGGUAAUUUAGAAAUUUCGCGUAUUUUUUUUUUUACUGGAAUGGAGUUAUAGCCGACGAAACAUGCCACAAUUCGUCGGCUAUAGUAUUUUUAAUUUUUUUUCCAUAGGGUUUAGCCGAUGAAUUAUGGCAUGUUUCGUCGGCUAAACCCUAUUAAAGCCGACAAAACAGACUCUAUUUCGUCGGCUAUAGUUAUUUUUUAAUUAUAUACUUUAGCCGACGAAUAUCACUGUUCUGUCGGCUAAAGUCUGGAAGUAUAGCCGACGACACAGGACGUCGUCGGCUAAAGUCUGGAACAAUAGCCGACGAAAGAUAGUGUUUGUUUCGUCGGCUUAAAUGCAUGAACAAAAGCCGACGACAAACUAGUUCGUUGGCUAAAGUCUGGACAAUAGCCGACGACAGUCUCUAGGUUCGUCGGCUAAAGCCAUCGCCGACGACCCUUUCCCGACGACAUUAUAGCCGACGAAGGCUCGUCGGCUAAGACCUUAGCCAACGAAUUAGGAUAACAGGCCGACGAAAAUUUUUCGUCGGCUAAAGUGUUUGUCCUGGUAGUGAAUUACCAUUCUGCCUUAGUAAAUGGGACUUCAAGUACCGCUCGGCUUCUUCGCAAUGUUGAAGGACACACCAAUGAGCCUCUUUGAUCUCAGCAUCACUUAAUCUUUCAGAAUUACUUAGCCUGCCAUACGGUUGAACAUCGUUGGAAACAACUGAUAAAUUGAAUUGUUGGCUACUACCUGCUCUAGAUGAUUCCCCUACUGUGUCUUCAUCAUUAAGACAUGCGCUGCAGUAAGUUACACACUCAGCCUGAAUGUAUGCCACUGUGAUCGACCCUUCAGGGAAACGUUUGUUUUUGUUAUUCUUCUUGAAAUCCCCUAGUUGCCUGCAAAACAGAUAUAUAUUUAUUCUCUUACAUACAAUAAAUAUUUUUUAAAAAUUAUCUUAAUUUGAAAGGAUCGAUGAUUAAUUAAUUAGAAUAAAUAUGAGUGCAUACCUCUCAUUUGGAUAGCACUAGGUAUACUGUACCGGACUAGUAAGCAACACUUGUUCGGGAAGGUGGAUCAUGAGGUGAAUCAUGAUGUCAAAGAAAGUUGGGGGAAAGAUCCUUUCCAGCUUGCACAUGAUGUACACAAUGUUUUCUUGCAAUGACCGAACAUCAGACUUUUUAAACUCUUUAGCUUAUAUCCUCUGAAAGAACUUUGACAAAGCCACGAACGUGUCAACCCCUUCACUCUGUAAAUACGGUCUAAUCACCACGGGAAGAAGACAUUGCAGCAAAACAUGACAGUCAUGAGUCUUCAACCCACUAAUCUUAUUUCCCCCCAUCUUAACACAUCGAGCGAUAUUCCCUACAUACCCGUGAGGAUACUUAACGUCAUGAAGCCACUGAAACACUUCUGCCUUCUUUUGAGGAUGGAUUGUGUAACCUGCUUUCGGUAUUAUGACUUUUUUUGUUUUUUGUUUUUUUGCUCUCUACUAGCCAAAGCUGGGGGCGUAUACCCAUCAUCUUAAGAUCAACACGGGCUUUGGGGGUGUCUUUGUUCUUAUGUUUGAGAUUCAGAAUUGUUCCAAGAAAGUUGUCACAAACAUUUUUCUCUAUGUGCAUGACGUCCAAGUUGUGUCUGAUUUUCAAGGUCGACCAGUAAGGCAAUUCAAAGAAUACACUUUUGUGUGUCCAAUACUUAAACUCAUCAGGUGUGGGAGGAUUCAAGUCAGUUACUUCUUUACUCGUGCUCAAAUAUCCAAACCAGUGCUGGUUAAGCCUCUCCAAAAUCCACUCACCAGAUCUCCCUGGGGGUUUCAGAUUAUGCUCCUCAGUCCCAUCAAAUGCCUCAGCAUCUCACCGCCACUCGUGGCGACUAGAAUUGACGUCAUCUAUGCAUACCGGGCAAGCCUUGUACCCCUUAGUUUGUUGGCCAGACAACAUCCCGUAAGCUGGAAAAUCACUGAUUGUCUAAAUAACAGCUGCUUUCAUCAUGAAUGAAGUUUGACCAUGCCUGUCAAAAGUAGGGAGUCCAUUUUCCCAUAACUCCUGUAGCUCGUCAAUUAAUGGUCUCAUGUACACAUCCAAGCACUUUCCUGGAGAACACGGCCCUGGAACCAUAAGCGUAAGAAAAUUAUACUCCUUCCUCAUACACAUGUUGGGAGGUAGAUUGUACAGAAAUACUAUCACAGGCUAAAUGUUGUAAGACAAAUUCAUGUUUCCUGUAGGAUUGAAUCCGUCUGUUGCAAGUCCAAGUCUGACAUUUCGACAAUCUCCAGCAAAUUCGGGAAAAAAAUGGUCAAAGUGCUGCCAAGCCUCCUCGUCUGCGGGGUGUGUGAGAUUAUCCGAAUCUAUCCUCUCCUCUCCCUAGUGCCUUGCCUGGUGCCAUCUCAUAUGCUUAGCUGUAUAUGAAGACAUGUACAGACGUUGCAGACGAGGACCUAACGGGAAGUAACGAAGAACCUUCCUAGGAAUGGGCUUUUUCUUCUUAGAUAAAGUGGAAACUUCAUACCUUGGCUCAUAGCAGUGUGGGCACUCAACUUCAUCCUUGUUGUCUUUGUAAUACAAGAAGCAGUUAUUGACGCAAGAGUCUAUCUUUUUGUGAUGAAGACCGAGGCCAGCCAACAUCCUUGUUACCUGGUCGAAAUUUUCUGGACAACUGUUACCUUUGGGAAGCACUUUCUUCAUAAGUGCAAUAUCAUCAUCAAAACAUGUCUUAGUCUUUCCCCGCUUGUUUUUUAUCUGCAUUUGCUCCAUGGCGAUACCCAACACAGUAUGCUCACUGCCAGGAUACAAUGGGGUUUGUACUUCCCGUACAAGUCUGUUAUACUUAUCAUAAUCACUGCUGUAGUCAACGUGGGAGACAUUAGGGAAGGUGUCAGGGGCGUUGUCAUAAACAACAUUUUCCUAAUAUCCUGAGGCGGCGAACGGGAAGGCAUCGUUUAAGAGGUUCAUCACAGCAGGGUCCCCGUAACUGGCAUUAGAAGAUCUUGCCUGCUGAUUAUGUUGUGCUUGAAUUUCUGCAAGUGUAGGCAUUUGAACUAGAUUUUCGCCGUGCCAUGUCCAUGUGGUAUAAUUAGGACAAAUACCGUUUAGUGCCAGGUGAGAAUACAUGUCUUCAUAUGUUACUGGUUUCCGAUUGAGACAUUUGUUACACGGACAUAUGUGAAUAACUUUGUCUGGAGGACUAUGUAGACGCACGAACUCAAGAAAAUCAAAAAUGCUUUUCAUAUAAAGAGGGGACCCUCUCCCUAAUUGCAUCCAGCUCUUGUCUAUGUUGUACACUAUAAUAAUAGGAAACAAAAAUAUAGUUGUCAAAAAAUCGUUAAUAAUAAACUGGAAAUAUAUAUAUAUAUAAAUAUAUACUUAACUAUUAUAUAUAUAUAAGAUAUAUUAAUGUACGUUGUUCACACCUAUAAUCUUCACCUUAUGCCUCCGGUUAGGGCCCUAAUCCCGUUUGAGAGCACAUGACAUUAUGAUUUCGUUUGUUGUUGGGGCGUUUCAAAUUCACGUAUGUGAGAAAAUUUCGGCAGCAUCUCCCUACAGUUCCCCAAGUGCAUAAAUAUCUAUAUACCUAAUAUGCACUCGAGGAACAAUAAAAGAAGAUCCUGUCGAAAUAUAUAUACUCACAACCGAAAACGAAACGCACCAACAAUAAACGAAAUCUCAAUGUCAUAUAUGCUCCCAAACUGUCCAAAUAUGGGACAAUUCGAAAACCAUUUUGUUAGACACAGUCGUAACAUAAUGGUUCUCGAACGGGAUUUCUAAGGGUAACAUUAAUAUAUAUUGAUGAAUUUAAUGCAUAAGAAUAUUAUAAUUCUUAAUUACAUAAUUCAUCAUUUAAUUUUUUAUCAUUAAUUUCAAUACACAAAUAAUUUACAUGAAAACAAUAAUUUAAUAAACAUAUUAUUCACAUAUAUAUAAUAUAUUAUUAAUCAUACGAACAAAUUAAAAGUAAUAUAUAUAUAUAUAUAUACACUACUAAAAAUUAUACGUACGUACACGUACACACAAAAGUUAGAUAUACUUAUAUAUAUAUACAAAUUAAAAACAUAAUAUAUAUUCUACACACAUAUUAUACGUACAAACAUAUUAUACACACAUAUAUACAAACAUAUUAUACGUAUAUACACAUAUUAUAUGUACAAACAUAUUAUAAACACAACAUAUACGUACAAACAUAUUCAACAUGUAUAUAUACACGUACUAUCAAAUGUUACAAGCAUUUAUCAUGCAUGCAUCAAGCAAUCCAAUAAUUAGACCGGCAAAAUUGGACCGCCGGACAAAGUCGCCGGAAAUUCACCGGAAAAGAUAUAUGCAUAAAUGAAAAAAUUAAGUAGAUCAAUAAGCAAUUAGAAGAGAAUCGAAGCUAGCUACGUACCUCUUGAAGCUAGAUCGACCAGCAAAAUAUUCUUGAAGAAGAGGGAAAGGAUCGGAGCAUAUAGAUACCUCUUACUAUUAGCUAGUUUUCUGCGUAUUCUUAGCAGAGGAAGCUUUGUUGCGUUCUCUUCUGGACAGAAAGGGGUUAUAUUUAAAAUAUGUAAUUACUUAGCCGACGGAAUAUUCCGUCGCCUAAGACUACAGGCGUCGACAAAAAUAUUCGUUCUGGCUUGUGUCAGUCAAUAAUUCACUUUCUUAGUCGACAGAACAGUUCGUCGCCUUGGAAGAAAUAUUCGUCUCUUAAGAAGUACUUAGCCGACGGAACACAUUUCGUCGCCCAGGAAUAACUUAACCGACGGAAAAUUAUUCGUCGCCUAAGAUUGUUUUUCUAAGCCGACAAAACUUAGAUGACGAUUGAUUUUUUGUCGAAUAAGAAAAUCUUAGUCGAUGAAAGUUAUUUUCCGUCGCCUAAGUAUAUCUUAGGCGACUGAUAAGGUGUCCUAAACGACGAUUGAAUUUCCGUCGAUGAAGUAUUUCUUAGGCGACAGAAUUUUUUAUUUACGUCGGCUAAGUGUUUAUUUCCUGUAGUGUGUGUUGUGCCCCUGAAAUUGAAAGAGAGUUAUUUUUUGCAAGUUUAUUGAGGGGCAGUAGAAGUUUAAUGCCCCCUAGUAAACUUUACUGCGGUGGCGUGUUUUUUUUUUUUAAAUUCUUUUUCAGCCUUUAGCGACGGAAUUCAACUAUUCCGUCUCCUAAGUGAAUAAAUUUUUUUUAUUAUAAAAUAAAAUCCGUCGCCUAAGUUCUUAGGAGACGAAAGUAUUCCGUCUCCUAAGAACCAUUUAAGCGACGGAAUUUCAGGUUCUGUCGCCUAAGUGUCUAUCUCACAACACUUAGGCGACGAAUCUUAACCGACGGAUGUUCAGUCUCCUAAGUACUUAGGAGACGAAAUCUGUCACUUAGGAGACGAAAUAAUUCUGUCUCCUAAGUGCUUUUUUCCAGUAGUGCCUCUAAGGCGACAACACAAAUUUCGUUGCAAAAUAUUUAUGUAGCGACGAAAAUGUUAAAACUUAAGCGACAAAAAUAUUUGUCCCAUAAUAUACUUCACCUAACCGACAAAUUGACUUUUUGUCGUCUUAGUUUUAAAUUAAAGCGACAGAACUUAUUGACUUUAGCAACGAAAUAUUUUCGUCGCUUAAGUGAAAUCUUCUUUAAACUAUUUGAGAGUAAGUGUGUAGAAAAAAAAUAAAACUAGGUCACAAAUGGGUAGGUAAUAGCGUUUUCGUAUGAUAUGUGACGUUGAUCUAGGGUUGACCACGUCUAUCGAGACCUAAACAUUAUCAAAAAUUGGUGAAUUUUCUACCAUAGUUGUAGUUUACUAUACUGAUCACAUCCUAUUUCACGAGAUUUUUUAAAAUUUUGUUUUUAGUUUUUGAAAUCAUAACGUGCCUACUAUAGCUUUGUGAACUAACUAUACAAAUAGAACAAAAUUUUCAAAAAUCUUAUGACAUAGGAUGUAAUCGGUAUAGUGAAAUAUGAUUAGGGUUAAAAAAUCACGUAUUUCCGGUAAUGUUAAGGCCAUGAUUAUAACGCCCCGAACCUUAAUUGAUCCGUUUACCAUCAGUUGGAUCGUAAAUGACUUCAUUUUUACUUUUACCCUUUCCAAACUAUUUAAGGCUCCAAAAGUUGACUUUUUCUUUCGUUCAAAAUUUGGGAAAACUUCCUCCUUGAAAGUUGUAGAAGACGUUAAUACGAAUUUGUGGACAUGCUAUACGUUAAAAUCGGAGUUUGUACGUGAAAGUUAUGGUGUAAAAUGUAAAGUUACUGUUUUAGUCGGGGGUAUAAAAAAGAAACUUACCAUUUGAGGUAAGGUAGAAAAUCAGAAACUUACCUUCUCCUUCUCUCUCCUCUUCUCACGUCUCUCUCCUCUGCGGGAUUCUAGUCCUCCGUCCGCCGCCGUCCGACCGAGUUAGGCGGCAAGGUGGGUAUCAAAUCGAAGCUUGGACCAUCCUCCAUCAAUCUGGGUAGGUUGCCGGACCUAUCUCGCCGCCUAGAAGGAGAAACCAGGCCGAGAAGAUGCGGCUGUGCGUGGUGGAGUUUCGUCGGAAACUUCCUCUUCCGGCCACCAUCGUCAGAGAUCCUUGUACCAACUUGAAGCACUCCUUUCGGGUAGCAAACCCUCAAAAGGAUUCAACCUAUUUCGAUCUAGGAUACGAGGAGAUCUCGCUUGAGUGGCGAUUCGGGUAUCGUUGGGCUUAUGCCUAAAUUUGUGAGCGGACACUUUGUUUUUAAAGGAAUAUGCAUGCAUGAUUUAUUUUGGAAAUUAUCGUUCUAUUUUCCGAGCUUAUAUUAUAAUUUCGGUUUUAUAAUAUGGUUUUGAGAUUUAUUUGAGUUUGAGGCAUUUGUUAAGUGAUGGUCAUGAUUUAUGGAUUUGAGCUCGGGCUAUUAAUUUAGUAUUUGAGUUUUUAUAUUCCUUAUGAUUUCUGAAUUUAAUUAUUAUUGUUUUGUUUGUUGACUUUGAGAUUUAUAAAAAAUUUCCAAAAAUGAGAUUUUCGGUAGUUCUCUAUUAUAAUUUUAUCAUUUAUUUGUGGAAUAUCGAUCUUGACCUUGAGAAUAUUUUAGCGAGUAUUUGAGAUUGAGAUAUUAAUUACGAUUUUUACUUGAUGAUUAAAUCUAGCUUAUAAUUAUGGAUUUGAGAAUAUAUUUUGACAUGUGAAACACGUCAUUGAGUUUUAUUUUAAUUUCUUAUGAUAAUUUCUAAGUACGGUUGGGAACUGUACCCUUCGCAUGAUCUUGGGGAAGCUUUAUGGAUUUUAGUGUUUUCGUAUGUUUUUAGUCACCAUACUAGGGUCGUUCUUAUUCAUUACUAGCUAGCCUUUAUUAGCGGUCCUUACCAUAGGUGAGUCGAGCGCUUAGCGUGGGACGCUACUAGAGCCUGGGAGGCUUCGACCCGAGCCUGGGAUGCUCCGACCCGAGCCUGGGAUGCUCUUCUUACAUGGUGACAUCUCUUCCCCUUGUUUUAUUUUCUCAGUAUGCAUUUGAUUAACCAGCGGGGCUGGUUUAUCUCUUCUUAUGAGAUUUAUGUAUUUGAUUAACCAGCUGGACUGGUUUGUCCAUUCUUACGAGAUUCUGAAUUUAAAGUUUUAAAGAUGAUCAAAGUUGCGUGUAGCUAAGUUAUUAAAGUUUAAACGUGAGAAAAUAUUUAAAUUACGUUCUUGUCAAAUUAUUUAAUUUAUUUUUGUCCACUCACUCUAACAUUUUAAAUUACUUUCCCCUGGGCCCUUUGGUUUCAAAUACCCAGUUUGUAGGCUAAGUUUAUUUGAGGUCCAUCGUACAUGAAGUCGAGGCAUAGUUAAAGGCUGCUUCUACUUAUUCUUUAUUCAUUGUUUUUCAUUCAUUAUAGAUAUGCUUUGAUAAUCCAGUGAGUAAAUUAUUAAAUGUCUUUGUUGUUAGUUGUGUGAUUCUUUUAGAUUAGUAAUUGAUAUUUUGGGAGAUGUGAUGAGCUUGGGGGAGCAGGAAGGCUCCAGGAGUACAAGGUUGGAGUAUGAUUUUAGAAGUGUUUUGCAGGUUGGUUUUGAUCAGGUAGGGUUGGCCAUUUUCAAAGGAGGUUAUGUCGAAAUUUUUGGUAAAAUCUCUCUUGAGGUGGACCCCGCAAGGUUUACUCCAAAUUUCAGGGUGAAAUUCGGGAUGGGUCUUGAGAGUUGGUAUCAGAGCACUAGGUUAUUCGAUUACUUUCUCUUUGUAUUACUACCUCAUAUACUUAGUCAUACUUAGUGUCUAUAGAGUGAUGGUCCGACCGCGGCGGAUCCAUUAGCAUUAUAUGCUUUAAAUACUAUAUGUUGAUUAGACUUGUGAGGUAGUUGUUCUUGUCUUAUUUAUGGAUAGUAUUGUGCCAUAAAUGUCUGCAUAUUCAAGACUAUGUCUCCGUACGCCGACCUCAUAGGGUAUCUUGGUUAUUUUCCGAGUAAUGGAAAGGUACGUGAUUGCACCUUUCUUUUGUUCCUUUUUGUGGUUGCGAGAUUUUGAGUUGAUUACAGGGCCACCCCGAAUUUUACCCUGAAACCCGAAAUAAAUCCUAUGGGGUCCACCUCUAAAGAAAAUUUACCGAAAAUUCGACAUAAUCUACCUUGAAAAUGGACAACCCUUAGCUGCAAAAUUCUAGAUAAACACUUCUAUUAUAAAUCAUCCAUCCUCAAGUCCUGGAGCCUUCCUGCUCCCCAAGUUCACCACAACAUGCCCUAGUUAACUAACAAACAAAUCUCAAAGGUUAUCAGAGCAAUUCUAAUAAAGAAUGAAAACAUAGAUAAGUGAGCCAGCGAAAGUUGUGUUAUUGACUAUGCCUCAACUCCGUGUACUCCCGAUCUCUUCUAAGCUAACCUGCAAUCUGGGCAUUUGAAACCGAAGAGCCCAGAGAAAAGUAAUUUAAAACGUUAGCGUGAGUGGACGAAAAAUAAAUAAGUAAAAGGACAUAGGAUAAGAAAACAAAACUUUAAUACUUUCCCACUUUCUGAUAAGCAAUAAAUCUGUUGCACGCAAGUGUUGAUAACGCCUUCAAAAGAAAAUCCCGAGAAAAUGGACUAGCCUCGCUAAUCGAAAUAUCGACAAAGAUAAUUAAUAACUUUCAUAGAAGAAGGUAGCAAAAUAAUGGACUAGCCCCGCUAGUCAAAACAACAACAAGGAUUCAUAAAGACUGUCGUAAAAAGGAAUGUAAAAAAGAUGGACUAGCCCCGCUGGUCAAAACAACAACAAUAAAUAAAGAGCACAAAUAUAGUCAUACAAGUGAGCCUCCCAGGCUCGGGUGCCUCCUAGGCAAAAGUACUCCCAUACUCCUGAUAACUUCACGUUAUGACUACAAAGAGGGUACCGGGCUUGAGUGAUGUCGUCGACUACAUCACAUCACCCGAAGGUGGAAAGGGCUUGAGUAACCCCACUUAAAACAUGGAAGUCAGAUCACCUCGAAAGGCGGAACAACAUGCUAGCAUGAAUAUCAUAAAUAAUCCAACAAGUAUGGCACAAUAAGGGAAAAUAUAAAUUCAUAUGAGUUUUCCCAAAACUUAUAAAUCGAGCAUAAGUACGAUUCCCAACUGUACUCGGAAAAUUCCAAAGCAAGGAAAUUAAUUAAAUUCAAUAACGUAUCCCACACGCUAAAUUGCUUAAGAGAAUAAAUAACUCAAAUAAGCAACAUGUUUCAAAAACUAGAGAAAACUCAAAUCCUUCAUGUAAUCUCAAAUAUGAAAAUCAUAAAGAAUAAUAUUCUCAAAUACCAAAUCUCUUACCCCAAGCUCAAAUCCAUAAGUUCAUUAUAGAAAACAUAAUCAAUCAAUCAAUCUCAAAUAAAUUCCAUAACCAAUUCAAAAGCUGAAAUUAUAAUUUAAGCUUAGAAAUAUAAUGGACAACUUAUAAAAAAUCAUGCAUGCAUAUUAAUUAAAAACCAAAAUGUUCACUCACAACUUUAGGCCUAAACUUGACGUAGAUCCGAAGUCUCUUCAACUCGACCCUCCUCACGUCCUGUUCAAAAUAUAUAAUUAAAUCCCCAACUAAAACUCAACACUUGAACAAAAAUAGGCAAAAUUAAAAGUGAGCCUUAUACACGCUCAUCCUUGCCCAACGUCGCUAUUCUUAAGUCGAUACGACCCGAACUUCACCACAAACACUGGCAGCCUUAUAAUAACCUUUUACAGUCUAAAAAAUAUCAAUCCAACGGCCGGAUUCUACCCCAAAUUAACCGCCAAAUUCUCUAAUCUUUGAAAAAUCCCAAACCUAUCCAAAACUUCUCAAAAAAUUCCAAACUUCACAUCAUUAGACUCCCCUCAAUAUAACAAAUUUAAAACCCUGAAAAACCACCUAACAGCGGAGGCGCCACCGUUUGCUCUACCGGCAGCCUACUCCGGCGACCUCCAAUGCCUACCAAAAUUUAACACAAUCUUCCUCUUAACCCCCUCUACAACUUUCUUAACUAGCAUAAACUCUAAUUUCAAGCCUAACUAGGUCAAUCGAACCAAAACAAAAAAUGAAACCCUAGAAUUUCUAACACCCGAUUCUCCUUACCUAGAUCAAGAGGGAGUGAAUCCUUUUGAGGGAUUGAUGCACGGGAGGAGAGCUUCCAAUUGAGCUAAGCAGCUUCGGCUAUGGCGGUCGGAGGAGGGAGUUCCGGCGACGGAACACCACGGAACAGUCGGAGCUAUCGAGAGCGAUUUCUCUCUCACGGUGGCGCUAUAGCGGCCAAAGGAGGGAGCUCCGGCGACGGAACACCAUAGAACAGUCGGUGCUUUCGGGAGGCUCCCACCAGUCCAGGAAGAAGGAGGGGACGAUGGCCGACCGUUUGGGACCGGUGCGGCGGUCGGACAUGGCCGAACGACGGCGGACGAGUGCGGGAAACUUCCGGCAGGGAGAGAGGGCUCAAGAAAGAGGAGAGAGAGUGAGAAGAAAUUGUUUGGGCUUUUUACUCCAAACUAACCCGGUCCACCACCUAAAAACCCACCAAAAAUAAAACACCCCAAAAAUAUACCCUAAUAAAAAUUAUAUUUUUACUAGCUGAAAUUUACCCUUUUUACCGUCUUAAAAUAUUUCGUCUACGAAUAAUUUCUCCGAAAUAAUCGUCCCUCAAAACACCUCUAGGGACCUUUGAAACUAUAAACUCAUUAACGAAGACGAUAAAACUCUUAUUAAUACCAAGCUAGUAAUUAGAAUAAAAAAAUUUAAGAGUCGAGAUGUGACAGUUGAGUAACGAGUUGGAAGGUCACAUGUAUUUGCAGUGUUCUUUUUCCUUAUUUAAUGAGUUGUUGGCUUAUAUUUGAGUGGCAAGUUGAGCCUUUUUGUGGGUAUUUAUGAUAGAGAGGACAUGUUUGUGAACAAAGGAUUAGGCAAAUUCUAGAUAAGAUUGGUAUUGGAAUAAGAGAUAUCAUAAGGGUGUUAAGUAAGUGUUGUCUUGCUUUGAGAUAAAUAGUUGAGUGGUAUUGCUUGAGUUAAUUAAUUAUGGACUUUAUUGGAUGCGUUAAAUGAGGCUGUUAAAGUUUGGUUUAUGCAUUGAAGUUGGGUUUUUGAAAUUGUUACUGGUCGAUUUACGUUUGGUAUCUGUAAUGUGGGAUUCGCCCUCCUACUUCUGUUGAGUGUUUUAGAUGGAUUGUAAGUGUAAAGGGAUUUGAAAUGUAAUAGUAAAGAGGAUGUGAGAUGGUUGUGGUUGCUCCGACUUUACGGCAACAGAUGGAGAAUUUAAUACAUGAUGUUGUUGGGUUUUAUAAUGUUUCGUAAGACAAUUGUGUGGAGAUGUUGGAGUCUCUCUUAAACUUUAUUUUGUUGACCGGAGACUGAACUUGGGGAAUGAAUUGGAGAAGAGGGAAAGUGCAGCUUUUGUGUGUAGGUGUCAGUUUUGUCAAUAAGGAAAAAGAGUUAUAGAACAAUUCAGAAUAUGGAGACCGAAAUUGUAGAGAUUGAUCGGAGCGUGGAUGAGUGUCCAUAUUUAUUUUAAGCGACAUUGUUUUGGGUUAGUUGAUACAAGCUAGUCUUGGACAAAAUAGUGUUUGGAAGCGACUUGUUCCAGCUUUUAGGUCUUUAGACUAUGGCAGGAGAUUACUGAUGAAUUUCUAUCGUCUAAAGGUAAUUUCAAUGUUCGAUAUCUUUAGUCAUUGGUGUUAGCAAGGUUGAAUUUGUAAGUUUGAAGUGGUGGUUGGUUAGGAAAUCGUGGUAUCGGGUCGAGUGAUUGUUAAGGAGAGAAGAGUGUCGGGAUAAAUUUGGAGUAGUAGUAUGUGUUUGACGAUACACAAGGAUAGAGCAGUAUAGUUGGAGUUGUUGAUCCUGAAAUAAUUGUUCUUUGCUUUAGCUAUUGUUGUUAGCUGAUGUGGAUAAUUCCUAAGAGGAUGAGUGAGAUGUGGAUCUUAAGGUAGUCUAUCCCAUGAUUGUAGCUUCUUAUUAGAGUAUUGCAGUGGUGAAUAUGACUAGUUGGGACUUGAAGUAGUUGUUAAUACUCUAUCAUAUUCGAGCAAUCUCGUGUUCCCACUUGAGCAUUACGCAGACGAUGUUGUGGUUGACGCACAGUCUUAAGAUGGAGCAUGUGACCGUCAAUUGACCAUUGCUCGAGGGUUAGCCCAUGAAUCGAGGAGUAUUUAUCUUUGGCAUCUAGCAACUUCGGCGACUUGAGCGUUGGACUCCAGUCUUGCGCUCGCAUCUUCUUUGGACAUGAUGGACCUGCGUGAUCAAACUAGUUCGAUCUAGCAAUCAAAUAGAAGAAAGGAAAUCACUUUACAUUAGAUGGGGGCAUCAUGAGCGGACUACCUAGUGUUGUUUGAUAGACUGCCAACAUCAGCUGUCUCGACACUCGAUUCGGUCAAUUUUGAGUUUGUAUUUUGUUUGUUAAUACGGUUAUCCGAUGGGUAACUUAGAUGAUUUGACUUUAGAGUUGAUGCGAGAAUUUCUGUACUUUGACAACUAUUAUUUUAUAUGAUUUACUUAUGGGACUUCGACAUUCGUUAACAACAACGAGAAAUUCAUGGGCAAAGCUCUACUCAGGAAACACGAAUAGGUUUUCGUGAUCCUUGGCUUCUUUAGCAACACAUAAUUAUGUGGAAGAAGUACAACUUAACGACGAUUUUUCUUAACAUUAUGCGUAAUGGCGGGGCCGUUACCCGAAAUUUCUUGUUCAUCAACUUGAGUUGAUAUACGCAAUCGCUAUUAUACAUGAUAAUAUGUGAGAUGGAAGUAAUCAAAUAGUGAACUUCCAAUGGUGAUCCUCAGAUUUCAUCGACUCGCGUGAGAUUCACUAUUUCGAUUUUUCCUCCGUUCGACAGACUAGUAUUAUUAAGGCGAAGGUGAUAAUUGCAGACACAUGUGUUGUGGUAAAGCAACAUGAAUUGUCGCAGCAAAUAGUGAACAACUCAUCUCUUCUUGUUCGUGGAAUAGGUAUUGUAACCUAAAGACUGGACUACAUGCACGUUAGAAUGAACUUGGUUCGUAGGAGCAGAUACUCUUAACUUCUAAGGUAUCGUCAUAUGCCAAGUCAUCAUGUUUUUCCUCAUAUUUGGAGGUGCCAGUUUUGGGUACGUUGAUCGGUUAUGAGGGUAAUAUUUUUCGUGUGCUUGUAAGUUGUUUGUUGGUGGCGACUGUUAAAUUAUUAAUGAGGGAUGUGAUUCCGUCGGUUAUUAUUGGUUGUUGAAAUUAUGAAACUACUUGGUGACUGAGGAUUUAGGCAUCUACCUACUCUUGCAUCAUAUAGCUUAAAACAAAACCCUAAAGGUCGCGAGUCUCUAAUAUUUUGAUAUAAGCAACAAUUCUUAUAGAAAUUAAAAACUCAACACCAAUCCAAUAAAUAAGUAAUCAUCCAACUAAAAACAUCAAAUAGUCAUGUUAAGGAUCCAUUAUGGCCCUAACAAAAGAUUUAGCUACCAAAAGUCAUAACAAACACAAUAAUAACAAUGAAAAACAUAAAAAGACUAAAAGGGAAAAAGGGAUGAAUAUUGGUAAUGACGGUUGCCUUAAGUAUGUCUCGUCCCAGAAGCUCCUUCUCUAUGAAAUUUGGGGCUCUUUAUAUAAGGGAGAUUUCCUGCCCAUCUUUGGCUUCAAGUUUCCUUGUAAGACUUGAAUUCAGACUUCUUUCUUGAUAUAGAAUGGGAAAACCUUGAGAUAUCUCUUGUAGAACUAGGAAUACAUGUACUUCUUGAAUCCUCAUAUGCAUUAUUGUCCUUGAAGCAUUAGAGUUGAUGAUCUUGUGCCAUGGAACUUGAGUUCUCCACAAAUUCUUGCAAAUCCGAGCAUAUUUUCUGAUCUGACCUAUCUUCAUUAAAACUAUCAUAACUCGGUCUAGAAGUAUCGAAAUUGAGAUCCGUAAACUUCUACAGAAAGUAGACAUCUGUAGCUUUCCAAUGAAAUAAGGCUUAUAUUCUGAUUUGAUCUGAGUAAUUCCGGGUAAUUUGGAGAAGUUGGAUGUUCUGCAUAGGUAGAUUCUGAGACUUGGGAUUGUAGUGGCCUUUCAAUCCUUAUUUGCGCAUUUUAGCUCAUUUUCUUCUCUCUACGACACAAACCUAUAAGAACACUAAAAUAACAUAAAUAAGUCAUAAAGAAGAGAACUAAACACAAAUCUCAAACAUAAGAGACUUAGAAAUAUAGGAUAAUAUCAGCAUAUCACAAGGCUUGACAGUCCGUUGGCAUAGAGGGUAAGUUGUGUAGGACACAUUAAAUGACUUUCUUGUGAUGCGUAUUCAUACGUGAUCGUAUUGUGGUGAGACCACUUUUGAUCCGUGUAGGACCUGGGAUCGGAGGUCAUUGUUGUAUGGAUAUGAUUUGAGAUACAAGAGAUAUUCAGUGUAAGGGUUUGGUAACAUUGAUCGCUUUAGCAUAAUCUGGCGACAAGGGAGAUAUUCACCAAUUAGCAUGACGAUUGAGGCGAAAGAUCGAGUUUUGUCUUGAUUAAUUGGUGACGAAAGUAAGAUGGUGUUGUGAAUUACGAAAUUUAUUGACCAUUUCGACUUGACGAAAGUCGAAGUUGUACGUGUGACUUGGGGUUGAGUAUCAUAAGUAGCUAUAAUUGGGCAAGCCACACAAUUAGUGGAAGGUAAGUCAAGGAGCAAGGUGUAUUAUGUGAGUGGUGUCAUGUGGAACAUUGACGGAGUAUUUCAGUUUACCCUAAGUUUGAGAUUUGUUAAAGCAUAUGCACUGUCACACCCCAAUUUUUGAAAGAUAAUUUUCAAAAUUUUUGGCAUGAUAUAUCUUAAAAUAUUACUAUCCCAAAACCUGCUUCAUUCAAAACUUCAAUGAAACUAAAAUUCAAUGCGGAAAUGUAAAUGUCGCACAACUCAGCACUGAGUUAAUUUCUACAUUUUCUUGUUUACAUAAACUUGAAAAUCAAGAAAAUGAACACACUCACAUGAGUUUUAACAAUGUCUACCCCAAAAAUAAAAUAUACAGUGAACAACAAAUCCCAACAAAAACCCUGCCACUAAACCUCCGUCUCAACCCUGCUGAUCCUCACCUGCAGGUCUAACCCCUACACCAAGAAUUGGUGCAUCGGGUUGUAAACAACAAACCCGGUAAGCUAAAAAGCUUGUACGAGUAAAUUCUCAAAAUAACACAAUAGCAAUUUAGAUCAGUAAUUAAAUCUGCAAUUCCAACACUAUUUCAAAUAACAUGUACCCAUGAGUCUUAGGUAUUAAUAAAUACCCCUAAUGACCUACAACAACAACUUGUGUACCCAUAGGUCCCAGAUACCAUAAGGUAUCUCCCAUGACCUACACUGACAGACGGACUAGAGCUCUAUUCCUAACCGCAACCAAUCACCCGGCCAAAGGUUUGGAACCCGGUUUGACUAUCCAAUAUCAAAACACAAAAUGAUAAAUAACAUCUUAACCGCAACCAAUCACCCGAUUAAAAGCUUGGAACCCGGUUUGGCUAUUUAUCCAACAAUCACAAUAUCACAACAUCAUCAUCAACAACACAAGAUCACAUCAUAAAUUAUAUCCUUCACAUAGAUAUAUUUACAUUAACAAAUAUAGAUAUUCACAAAGAUAAUCUAUCAAUAAUCAUUAAAAUUAUGGUCACAUGAACCUCAAAAAUAGCAUAUAAGGAAAAAUUGUUUUAUCUUACCUAUGAGCCGUUGGCGAUCAAGCUCAUCUAUUUUUUUUAAAACAAUUAAAAGCAUAUUAUUAAAUCCAACAUCAUCAUCAUCACAUGACCAUAAUAAAAUUUGGUUCAAAAAUGAACCUUGGUGAGAUUUUACUCACCUCAAUAUUCCGCUGCGUUUCCGCAAGGCACAAAAAUAAAGCUAACCACAACCUCACAAAACACCUAAAAUUACACAAAUAAAAACCUUAGUAAAUUCUCAACAAGGAACAAAUACCCUUAACCUAAAGGUUGCCCAAAGAAGGGCAAUCCUUCCUCCAAGACCUCCCAAGGUCAUUGGACACUCAACCAACAAACCAUACUACCUCCAAGAACAAGUUUUCAAAGUUUAUGACCUAAGAAACACCAAGAACAACAUAGCACCUAAACUACCAAAACCAAAACACCACUUAGCCUUCACACACAACAACACAUUAGUAGCUAACAAGGACUAGCUAACACGGCAACCAAAGCCCCCACAUUGCCCGGACGUGCCCCUACGCGCCGCCACGAGUGAGCCCCACGCGCCACCACCAAACUCAAUAUUUGAGAAAACUCAAAACAUCAAAGUUGUAGAUUGAAAGGAGGGAAACAUCUUUUAUAGCUAAUAGUUGAGCCAGUUUGGCCGGAAUCGGCUGGAAAACGCCCCAAAAUCGAAACCCAAACCUGCAAAUCCGGGCUCAAAACCUCAAAAACUUGCUUCAAUCUAUGCCUAGCCAUAACUAGAAGGAGGAGAGGAUCAAAACGCACCUAAGGUUGCCCCUUGUUGCCGCUGUAUAUGGCGGUUCCGACCGGUAGCACAGCAGCGCCCUUUGCCGGCCAAAAGCUUCGUUUCCAACGUGCUACACCGAGCAGCAGCUGCUCAGACUUGAAGAGGGCACCUGUGGGAGUCGAAUGGAACCGGCGGCGGUCCAAUCGGUGUCCGGAUGACGGAGAUAGCUCCAGUCAAAGUUUGGUGUGCGGGUGAGCUCGGGAGCGGGAGAGAGAAAAGAGAGAGAACUGACUUAGGGUUCCCCAAAAUUAACUCCCACACACAUUUUUCUACUUAAACACUUUCCAAACCCGCAAAUUAACUUCUUCUGACCAUAACUUUCUCAUACGACAUCCGUUUCAGGCGUGCCACAUAUCUACGAACUCGUAUCGACAAACUCUACAACUUUCAAGAAGGAAGUUUUCGAAGAUAACUUACGGAAAAUAAAGUCAACUUUUAGCCUCUUAAAAGUCAAAGCACCUUAAAAUUUACUCCCGAAACUUCAACUUCGCACAAACUAAGAAAUUUCCAUAAAUAAUCCUUCAUUAAUAUGGGAAUAAUACAAGGAAAAUUUAUAUGAAAAUAUAGGGUAUUACAUGCACGCCUCGGGUUUGGCAGAUAUGUUACGACGUGCCAAUGUAAGCGGAAAAAGGAUUCGGUUAAUUGUUUCCACAAGUAAAAAAAAAAUGUGUACUUUGUGGUAGAAGAAAGUUUGAAGAGCAUUGUUGUUGGUACGAUUUUAGCCUAGCGCUUAUUGGAGUCUGAGGUGAAAAGAAGUAAUCUCUACCCCUUUAUAAGGAGGGGAGAUUGUAACGCCUCGGACCUUAAUUGACCCGUUUAAUUAUCGUCAGUUGGACCGUAAACGACUUCAUUUUUACUUUUACCCUUUCUAAACAAUUUAAGGCUCCAAAAGUUGACUUUUUCUUUCGUUCAAAAUUUGGGAAAACUUCCUCCUUGAAAGUUGUAGAAGACGUUAAUACGAAUCCGUGGACAUGCUAUAUGUUAAGAUCGGAGUUCGGGGGUAUAAAAAUGGCAACUUACUGUUUGAGGUAAGGUAGAAAAUCAAAAACUUACCUUCUCCUUCUCUCUCCUCUUCCCGCGUCUCUCUCCUCCGCCGGAUUCCGGGCCUCCGUCCGGCCGAGUUAGGCGGCAAGGUGGGUAUCAAAUCGAAGCUUGGACCAUCCUCCAUCAAUCUGGGUAGGUUGCUGGACCUAUCUCGUCACCGAGAAGGAGAAACCACGCCGAGAAGAUGCAGCUGUGUGUGGUGGAGUUUCGCUGGAAACUUCCUCCUCCGGCCACCAUCAUUGGAGAUUCUUGUACCAACUUGAAGCACUCCUUUCGGGUAGCAAACCCUCAAAAUAAUUCGACCUAUUUCGAUCUAGGAUACGAGGAGACCUCGCUUAGGUGGCGAUUCAGGUAUCGUCUGGUUUAUGCCUAAAUUUGUGAGUGGACACUUUGUUUUUAAAGGAAUAUGCAUGCAUGAUUUAUUUUGGAAAUUAUCGUUCUAUUUUCCGAGCUUAUAUUAUAAUUUCGGUUUUAUAAUAUGGUUUUGAGAUUUAUUUGAGUUUGAGGCAUUGCUUAAGUGUGGUCAUGAUUUAUGGAUUUGAGCUCGGGUUAUUAAUUGGUAUUUGAGUUUUGAUCUUCUUUAUGAUUUCCGAAUUUAAUUAUUAUUGUUUUAUUUGUUGACUUUGAGAUUUAUAAAAGAUUUUCGAAAAAUGAGAUUUUCGGUAGUUCUCUAUUAUAAUUUUAUCGUUUAUUUUAUAUUUCACAUCAGAUUUUAUAAGUAUGCUUAGUUACAAAAACAUCCAUCAAUUAUUAGGGAAAAAAAAAAAAACUAGCCUCUUCCUUAAAACCUCUCAACUAUUACUACGCAUCAAAAGAAAAGAAAUAAAAACCUCUUCUCUAAAAUUCAUCACCUGAAUUUCGACUACUGGCGUAAUCACAUAUGUACUAUUUACCGAAUCAUUUGGUUUUUUUUAAAUUUUUUUUUAUCAACUUUAGUUUUUAUCUUGUAGACUAAAAACUAGUUUAAUUUUGAAUUAAAUUUAGUUUACCCCACUGUGGUUUAGCGGUGAAUUCAUGUUAGUCCCUAAACUUUCAAUUUCAUCAGAUUACCCCCCGAGCUCUUAUUUUUCUUUCUGCAGUCUCCUAUUACUCAUGUUCCGUCCAAUUGGGAUGUUGAAAUUUGAUGACGUGUGAUGACGUUUUGGGGGGUUGAGAAGAUUACCAGAAAAAAAAAGAGCUCGGGAGGUAAUCCGAUGAAAUUAAAAGUUUAGGGACUAACAUGAAUUCACCUCUAAAUCACAAUGGGGUAAACUGAAAAAAAUUAUGUAUGUUCUAGUAUUUUUAUUUUCUUCAAAUUCUAGCCGAUUAAUGUCAUAUUGAAGAUUUGGAGUUCGAAUAUAAUAUUACUCUUUUAAUUAUAAAUAGAAAAAUAUCAAGAAAAAAUUUCUAACCUAAUAAAAAAAAAAUCUAACAGCAAAUAAAAGAGAAUACGUAAAGAGAGUUGUGAAAUAGUAAAUAUGUAAUAAUUAUAUUAAAUAACAUAUUAUUAUUAGUUUUAGAUAUUGAGGGUAUUUUAGGCAGUUUGAGAUGUGUAUUUAGUAUAAUAUUUAAAUGAAAAACUAGAUGGGUAGUGUAUUAAGUAAGGGGUGUGUAUUAAGAGAUUAAGGAUGUGUAUUUAAUAUUACUCCCAUUGAAAGUAUGCUGGUGAUGGAAGAUACUGAAAAAAGUUUAUUGGAUAAAAUAGCAGACCUGGAUAGGGUGGCGCUAAUUAUCAAUCUCUGUAGAUGCAGGAUGUAAAUGCAACUUAAGUGUGACAGAAGCCAAAGGAUGAUCACUCUUCGAGUCUUGCAAUUUCAGUUUCAAUUAUGCCUUCUCAUAUUUGUUUAAGAUUUUGUAAAUAUUCAUAGUCUAAAAGAUUGCUAUGUGAUUAGUUUGGGUGUGAAUCAGUAAAAUGUUAAACAGAGACGUGUGACCAAAGAGUUUUUAUUUGAGCUUACGUAAAGAUUGAAGAAAAUGAUCUUCAUAGCAAACUAUACUUUGCCUACACAUGUCAAUUAAAAAACGAUUAUACACAUGCGUGAGCACGGCCCGAUGCGUGUACAGAAAGGCUAGUAGUAAAGUAAGUACAAGACAACUGUUCAUAAGGACUUGCCAAAAUGACAAUUCUGCCCUCAUUUACGUCAUAAUUACAGUCUUGGCAUCAUUCUCUAAAUUACAGUUUUGCCCCCGUUUUUCAGAAAUGGCGAUUCUGCCGUCACUUACGUCAUAAUUGCAAUCAUGCUAUCUCGCUCUAAGUUACAGUUUUUACCCCCCCCCUCCCGUUUUCUUACUUAUUUACGCUGCUCUCUCUCUCUCUCUCUCCCUCCCUCCCUCCCUCUCCCUCUCUCCCCACCCACGCCCGCAACGGAGCGCAGGUAAGCUACCUAGUACUUACUAGAGGGUGAGCUGUAUCGGUUCAAUCUGUCAAUUUGGAAUUAAAUAACUUUUGGGUGCUUGAAUAACUAUGGCAUCUGUGAGUAGGCUGACGAUCUUGGCCUAAAUAAAAGUGCAAUCUAUAAUGACCCACGCUCUGUAGGUGGUUUACGCUCUGUUGAAGAAUGUCAACAAAGAGCAUAUUGGCCUAAAUAAAAGUGUAAUUCAGAAAGAGCUAGAUUCUCUGACAAAGAAACAUGUAUUUGGUUUGGUAGUGCUUGUCAUGACCCAUCCCGAAUUUCAUCCUAAAAUCCAGUGUAAAUCUUGCGGGAUCCACCUCAAGGAAAACUUUACUUAAAAUUUGGCAUAACCACGAUCCUACCUGCUAACCAACAAAAACACUUCUAUAUUCGAAUUAAUCCAACCACAACACUUGAAGCCAUUCUGCUCCCAAUUUCACAUUAACACCGCAACACAUCUUAACUAAUUUAAAAACAAUCCCAAAGGUAAUUACCAGAACAAAUCUAAUAAGGAAGGAAAAACAUAGAUAAGAGAGCAAGCGAAAGCGGUAUUAUUGGUUAUGCCUCAGCUCCUUGUACGCCUGACCUCUUCUAAGUUAACCUGCAAUCUGAGCAUUUGAAACCGAAUGGCCCAAGGAAAACAGAAUUGAAAAAACGUUAGAGUGAGUGGACAAAAAUAAAUAGAAGAACUUAACAAAAACGUAAUUUAAAUACUUUCCCAUGUUUAAAAUCGUAAAAACUGUAGUGCAUGCAACUUUCUGAAUCAUUUAGCUUAACGUCCAAAAAUCUCGUAAGAAAAAUAAGCCAGCCCCGGUGGUUAAUCAAGUACAUAAAUGAGGAAUAAUACAAGAAGAAGAGAUAUCACCAUAUCAAAGAGGAGCCUCCCAGACCUGAAUCAAAGUGGAAAAAUAAGAUUCGAACCAAUCCCAUUGGUUUGAAUGAAAUAUAAAAAGGGAAGAAUUUUCACCAUAAAGAUGAGCCUCUCAAGCUAGGGUCAGAGCCUCCCAAGCUCUAGUAGCGACCCACGUUAAGUGCUUGACUCACCUAUGGUGAGGACCACAUAUAAAGGCUAGCUAGCAAUAAUAAAUGUAUAACAACCUUUAUAUAGUGAAAUAAGAAGGUCAAAUAGAGCUCACGAGAAAAGUAUCCUGGCCCACUAGAUAGAGCUCACAAGAUAAGUAUCCUGGUCCAAUCGACCAAUGAAUAUAUCAACACUCAUUGACUUGUCUCGCAUGUCAAAAUAUUCUCGAAUCUAUGAUUAUAAGCAAGAUUAAAUUAUCAAGUAUAAAUCGUAAUUAAAUUCUCAAACCGAAAUUCUCGUUAAAAUAUCUCAAUGUCAAGAUCAAUAACCCACAAAUAUAUGAGAAAAUUAUGAUGGAGAACUACCGAAAAUCCAAUUUUCGGUAAUCUUUUAUAAAUCUCAAAGUCGACAAAUAAAAAUUAUAAUUAUAGAAGAGAUAUUUAUAAAUUAAAUUGUUGCAUGCAAUUUAUUUAAAAUAAAAGCCCACUCACAGAUUUAGGCCUAAGCUCAAUGACAUCCGGAACGCUAUUCGUGUGAGGUCUCCAUGUAUCCUAGUUCGGAUCAAUUCAAUUCCUUCUGGGGUUAUGCUAAACGAGCCAUAAGCUUCAAAACCCGGUACUUGUCUCCCGGAUUGAUGGCUGGAAAAGUGAGAUUUCGACGAAAGAAGGUUAUUGUGCAGACGAGGCUUCUUGACUGAGUUUCUCUCCUAUGGUGGCGUUAUGGAGUCGAUCACCAACCCAGAUCAAUGGACGAUGUCCUAAGCUUCAUUUCGGCCAACUCGGCCGGACGGCGUUGAACGGCAGUGAGGAAUCCGCUAGAGGCGAGAGAUGCGGGGAGAGGAGAGAGAGAGAGAGAGAGUUUCUGAUUCAAAACGAAAGUUUCCCAAAAAAGCAAGUCUCCCUUUCUAUUUAUAACUACUUCCUUAAGCAGUACCUUUAGGUUUUUAGACCGUAACUUCUUCGUACGAACUCCGUUUUGAACAUGCCCACGUGUCAAUGAACUCGGUUUAACGUUUUCUACGACUUUCAUGAAGGAAGUUUUCUCAAAUUUUAGACAAAAGAAAAAGUCAACAUUUAGAGCCUUAAAUAGUUCGGAAACAACGGUAAAAGUAAAGAUGAAGUCGUUUACGGUCCAAUUGACAGUAAACGGGUCAAUUAAGGUCCGGGGCGUUACAGUGCUAACCGUACCAAGUGUAAAGCAUGUAGGACAUAAAUAAGACUUUGUCAAAAAGCGUAAUGAGAAGAAUGAAGCCCUAAAAGACAAGACUCGUCUUGUGGCGCCAAGGUUUCUCGCAACAAUCUAGAUUGACUACAAGAAGACAUGUUCUCCCAUAAUGAAAAUGCAGCUCAUAGAUGUGAUUACUACAUAUCUUCAUGGGGAUCUUGAUGGAGAGAUAUUUUAUGAAAGUGUUUGAUGGCCUUACGCUAUCUAACUCAAUUAACUCUAAACCACGGAGUGCGUUUGCAAUUAGAAUUGAACUAACUUUAUAAAAGUGACUACUUGGUUGGAAAGGGGUACAAAUGAUGAACUAUGCCCAUGCGUACUCAUAAAGGAAACGAGUUCCGGAUUUGCAAUUAUAGCUAUCUAUGCUGAUGAUAUGAACAUAGUAGAUACUUUUGAUGAAGUAAGAGAAACCUCAAGCUAUUUGGAAUCCGAAUUGAGACGAAUAAUCUUGGGAAACUCGGUUAACAACGAGUUUGUGGAAUACUAAUCCACCAGUCUGCAUGUGUCUGACCAAAAGAUUCUUAGGUGAAUUACUCAUAUGCUUGAUCACUACUAGCACUCCCAAUGAUAUGAAAUUUCUUCUCUAAAGUGCAAUAGGCGCAAUAUUGUACUUAACCCAAUGAACUUGACUGUAUUUUGCAUUCUCAAAGAACUUGUAGCUAGACUUAGCUUAGUGUCAACGCAGUGUCAUUGGAAGGUAUAAAGAACGUAUCCUGAUACCUAAAGGAACUACUGACUUGAGUUCAUUCCGGUAAUGCAAGGGAUCCCUAUAGAAAUAUAAAAGGGAAUGCAUAUGGAAUUGCAGCCCCCUACAUCAAUACACCAAACGAUGCUUUGGUUGGUUUUUACUAAUGUGAGGUAUCCAUGACCAAUCUGUCGUUUCCAAAUUGUUUAUGUAUUCACCUGUAGGAACACGACGAUACCUUGUGAGAAACAUCAGACUCUCCUCAAGAUUCAAGUGAAUCAAGAAAGGUCUGAGGAGAAUGGGACAAAUCUGUUUCUCAAAUCACAGCCUAAGGCUAUAUUUAAAAGGAAUGUAAGAAGCAGAGGAAUACGAAGACGUUCCUAGCUCCUUUGAUUGAUGUAAGGAUCAAGGGGAGUGUAGACUUCAUGGGGAGUCUAACACAAUACACUAUCAUAGGUAUGUUGUACUCUUUUUCCCUUCGGCCAAGAUUUAUUUUGUCAUACUAGGUUUUGUUACUUGCCAAGGUUUUUAAUAAGGCAACACCCCACGCACCGUUUUAACUUUGACUUGGCUUAAGGGGGAGUGUUAAAGGAAAAAUACGUUUGUGCCUUCGUGAAAGUAACUGAUGAAGAGCAAAUCAUGAGAUUAGAGGUAACCGAUCAAUCAUAUUUUAUUAGGUUUCGUUAUGUUGUACGUAACUUACCAUUGUAAUACAUGUAAUUCAUCCCAUAUAUAAGAGCAUCUCCAACAGCUCUUGUAAAACUAUGUUUAUCUCUAUUUUAGAGGAAAACCUACCCUUUUUUUUUAGCUCAAACAGCUCAUUUAAACCAUCAUCUAUAAUGACAAAAAAAAAAAAGUGAGAAGAGAGAGAAUAAGAUCCUUUAUAUCUAUAGCAUUCUUAAAAUUUGUAUAUUUCAUAGGCUAAUCUCUAAAAUUUAUUAUUUGCCUUUUAAAAAUCACUAUCUCCCCUAAACAAAAAAAAAGGAAAAAAAUGACAUUAUAUAUCCCUUUAGUGGAAAAUGGAGAAAUUAAAGCAUGUAACAUGUGAUUGUGAUUUGAAUAAAUAUAUAAUACUUAUUGUAAUACCCUAGAUUUUCAUAUCAAUUUUCCUUGUUUUAUUUUUGGAAUUAAAGAAGGAUUAUUUAUGGAAAUUCUUAUUAGAUGUGCGAAGUUGAAGUUUCGGGAGUAUUUUUUCUUAAGUGCUUUGACUUUUAAGAGGCUAAAAGUUGAUUUUAUUUUCCGUGAGUUAUCUUCGAAAACUUCCUUCACGAAAAUUGUAGAGUUUAACGAUACGAGUUCGUAGACACAUGGCACGUGUGAAACAGAUGUCGUAUGUGAAAGUUAUGAUAAGAGGAAGUUAGUUUCCGGGUGUGGAAAGUGUUUAAGUAGAAAAAUGUGUGUGGGUUAUUUUGGAAACCCUAACAUAAAUCAGUUCUCUCUCUUCCCACUCUCCUCACUCUCUUCUCUCUCUUCUCUCUCUCCCUCUCCCGAGCUCACCCACACACCACACUUUGGCCGGAGCUAUCUCCGCCGUCCGGCCACCAAAACGGACGCCACCAGUCCCGUUCGACUCACCCAAGCGUCCACUUCAUUUCUGGGCUGGUGUGGGGCAGUGCUGCAAGCCGGAAAUCAGAGCUUUUGGCCGGAAUUGAGAGCUGCUAUGUCUCCGGUCGGACUUGCCGUUUCCGGCGGUGAUGAAAGGUAUCCUUAGGUGAGUCUUGAUCCUCUCCUCCUUCUAGUGGUGGCUAGGCAUAGAUUGAAGCAAGUUUUUAAGGUUUUGAGGCCGGUUUUGCAGGUUUUGUAGUGUGAUUUGCUGGUUACUGUUCGGGGCAGUUUCCGGCUGGUUCCGGCCAAAUUUGGUCGAAGUCUUAGGUAUGAAAGUUGUUCCCCUUGCUUCAAGCUUCAACUUUGCUGUUGUGAGUUUCUCCUAAAUCAGAAGUUUGGGGUGGCGCGUGGGGCCCACUCGCCGCCGCUUGUGGUGGUGCGUGGCAGCGCGUCCGCUGUGUGGCAGCCUUAAUUUCUUGUGGUUAGCUAGUCCUUGCUGCUGUGAGCUUGUUGAGUGGUAGUAUGGCUAGAUUUUAAGCAAGGUUGCCAUGCUAGGACUUAAGUUUAUUAGUGUUGGCUUGGUUGGGUUAGAGUUUAGGUUUUGAAGAGUUGAGACAGCUCUAUUGUGUCGUUGAGUUCAACGACUUUGGGAAGUUGUCCUCCCUUGAGAUAAGGGUUAGUUUAAGGGUAUUGUGUUAUCCUUUACUGAAGGAGUUGUGUCCUAAAACAAUCAUUUUGAUGUAAUUAUUAUUGUAGUUAUUAUUAAUCAAAAUGGCAAGUUUAUUGUUCAUUGCUUAUAUUUAAUAUUUGAUUGAACAAGGUCCAAGGAAAUUGAGUUAAAGAGAAAGCAAUCUAAAGAGUUAGAUGUAUGAGACCUUUACUCUUUUACACUCUUAUCCUAAAUGUUCAUAGUCAUAGGAUUAUCAUUUGGACAUUGUUAAUCCGGAAAGACUAGCACAUGCUAUGUAUGCUCAAUAUGGAGGAUGAUAUGUCUCUUGUCAUUUGUGUAGAGACACUAAUACAAGUAUGUGAGUGCUCUUAUUUUAAAGAGUACACUGAACGCGAUCGUUAGAGUUCUUAUAUGAAGUUUUACUUACAUGUCAAACUUGAACUCUAAAUUGCAAUAAUACAAAUUAGUUUUUUGACCUGAGACACUAUGGUUGUCUUAUGAAUGAAUGGAUUUACUCUUGAUGAUGCAGUAACAUUAUGUCUCUUAAUGGAUAUGAUCCAUGCACUCAUUGGUGUAAUCAAUUCGCUCAUAGAGACAUGUGAGUGUACAAUAAGGAAUCUCUAUCCUUAAGUAAAUAAGGUGUAUGUUCAAAGAUGUGAUUCAAAUAGUCUUUGGCCAAAACAUUGAAUACGAUUAAAAGAAAUUUAUAAUCACAUUCUACGAAUCACAUUAGGGGAUUGACAUACUACUUCUAUACCCCGAUGAUGUGAUUUAGAACAUCAUAUUAGAGAAGAACCCAAUUGUUUAGGUUCCUUGUCAUUCUAUAUUAACUAGGGUAGUCAUGAUAUGUAGCAAGACGUCACUCAUGACUUGUGAAGUCCCCGAGGAUUGAUAAACGUUUAUAAUCCUAAUAAGAAGGGAGAAUCAAAAUGGAGUUUUGAUUCGUAAACGAAAUAGAAUUGUUCUACAAACUUCACUGCCUUGUUAAUUAAAACCUAAGAGAUCGCACACCAUAUAAGUGGAUCAUUGAGAUUGUAUAUGAAGAAGAUUAAACAAGAGUUGGUUAUGACCAAAUAUUAAUUAGAUUUAUUAUUUGGACAUAAUUAGGAUCUUCGGGUAAAACCAAGCUUAUUGGGCCUAACCGAUUGUCGGGCUUUUUUGGUAUGGGCUUAGGCCUCACUAAAGGCACAUUUUUAAAGCCCAAUAAUACCUAUGGACCAAUCAACUAUUUGGCUUUAUGAAAGUCAAUAUUUCACUUUAAUGUUGAAAUAGUUUCCAAUUAUAUAAAGUGAAAAGAUGGACAUAAGGUAAUAUGAGUUUUCAUUUCUAUCUCUAGUUGAUAGGAGAACUCUCUCUCUUUCUCCAUUUCAUAAGUUGGUAACAAAGGAAGAAAGAAUACUUGCAUACUUCUUUUAUUCCUUUCAUCUUCUUCAUCUCUUGAUUUACUUGGUGAAGAUCCUUAGAGGUCAUAUUAUUUUGUGGCUUUAAUUACUACAUCAAGGAAGAACUUACUAGCACAAGGAGUUCUUAAUUAAGGUGUAUCAAGGUGGAGGAAACACACACAAGGAGAGAUCAAGGAGAAGAGCUUUGGUGGUUCACUUGGAUCGGAUUGAAAUCACGCUCCAAGGGUGAGUAGAACAUAAACUCCCUCUUAGUUCUUCCUUACCAUAUAUGCUAUGUUUAUAUACAUAUCACAAUAAGCCAAGAUCAUGGGUUAAAGGAAUGAAAUUUAUGUUUAGUUAGUAGUUUAAUGGUUAAACUAAUUCCGCACUAAUUAAAAAGUUUUAUUAUCCAUCCAUUCCUUCAAUUGGUAUCAGAGCCUUUGGCUUAAUUUUGAUGUGUUAUAAACAUGGCUAAGUUUAUUAGUUGAUGUGAUUUUCUUAAGCUUAGGGUAAUAUGUAAUUUAGAUCAUAAUAUUUGCCUUAGCAUAAAAGUUAUGAAGCAUGUGAUGUAAGGUAGAUUUUAUGAUAGUUAGAAAAAUAUUCUAGAAAUUACAUAUAUGAAGUGGUUAAAGUUUAAUUAAACUUUAGUGCAUAUGAGAUAUGUAUUAAGGGGUUGCAUGUUUCUUUAUUAAGGUGUUAAUUGUAGAAACAUGAUAGGUUAAUUAUAUUUAAGGGCGUACAUGAUUUUUUGGCUUCAAUGAUUAAGGAAACAAGAGUUCAAUGGAAGAACACAAAGCUGAAAAUUUUGUUUCCAGUUUUGGUACGUGAGAAAACUAAUGAUGUUUUCAUGUUGUUUCCUUCCUUAUUGACCCAUGUAAUCAAUUCCAUGUUUCCCUCACCAAAUACUUGGUAGAGUAAGUCAUCUUUACUAUUGAAAUGUGAUGACUUUCAUGCAUGUUCAAUCACCAAAAGUUGAUGCAUGAAAAGGAAGACAUGUCUCCCUAAAUCACUCACCAAUAGUUGGUGAUAAAAGAUAUAAGACAUCAUCCCUUAAAUCACUCUAAGUUCCAUCAAUCAAAUAGUUUGACAUGAUGAACAAUAAAAUCACUCAAUUAAUUUACUUGCAUUAAAUUAAUGUAAUUUAGUGAUUAAUUUAUUUUGAUUAAGUUAAUAGUACUUGUUUAAUUAACCUAAUUAAUCAUGGUUAAUUAAAGGAUGAUUAUGGACUAAGGCCUUAUAUAAUUGAGCAUGAGAUUAGCCGUCUAUUCAUUUUGAAUGAAUGAGGUUAUGUAAUUAAAGUAGUUAAUUCAUUUGGGUUUGUAAUAAAUUUAAUUUAUUCAUUUGGUUGUGUAACUAAGUAGUUUAAUUUAUUCAAGUUUGAUUAUAUUUAAGUGGGAGCUACUAUGCCCCUUAUCCAUACUUGUAAUCGAAGACGGAGGCACUUAAGGAUGGACUAAAGAAUGAGCUUGAAGUCAUAUAGGAGUUCAAGUGCAAAGUGUAAUAAAUUAGUUUAGCUUAGUUAUUUAAUUUCCGUAAUCGUUACGCGUAAUUAAAAUCAACCACACCCAAACAUGACCUUGAUCCAACAUAUUGGCUCCUGUUGGAUCAAACUUCAAGUCCAUAAUCAUCAUGUGUGCCUUAAUAUGAUUGCAUAUUCAUUUCACUUGAUUAAAUAAUUUUAUACUUCUCUUAAUUUCAUUGAAAAAUGUUUUCCAUGAAAUCAAAUUGUUUUUCGAAAACAAUAAGUGGGAGUAUAUUUACUAGAAAUCAAGUAUAAUGAACAUGUGAUUGCAUUAAUGUCAAAGCAAAUGCUAUUUGAUUGUUAAUAAUAAGAUUAUAAGAGAUGAGACCUUAAAACUCCCUCAAAAUGAUAUUAAGUUGAAAAACGAAGAAAGGAUUAUGAAUACUUCUUUGUGGCCUUCCAUCAUUGCAAUCUUUCAUUAGAUGUUCUUGCAUGUGAAUAUCAUUCCGAACGGAGGUAUUUCUUGCUAUGGAUAUCGAAAGGAGGUUAUUCGACAUUUGAUGUUGUAAGGUAGGGGACAAAUCUUGGUCAAUAUUCUAUUAUGAUGAGAUUUAAUUUUUGAUCCCUAUACUUACAUGAGAUGAUGGGCAUAACUUAACUAGAGUGAGUAGUCAAUAUCCUAUUAUGGUGAGACUUAAUUACUUUAGAGGCCAAAGUUAUGGAUAUUCACAUUUGAUGUGAUUGGAUAAGAGUAUCCUCUCAUUGAAAUUAAGUCGACCUAUAGUUCUAUUAUGAUUCCGUUGGCUUAGUGGAAGUGAGUCUUCCAUACUCGCUAAGAGUUUAUAAGAUCGACUCUCGAAUUCCGUGAGGGACUUGGAAUUUGUUAAAAUAGUGAGCGGUGCCAUUUGAUUCUUAAGACCUGAGUCAUUUGGUUUAAAAUUAAUCUAACUCACUUCAUUUUAUGUUAUGUAGAUUGCAAUAUGUCAGAACAUCCUAUCACCAAAAUUCUCAAUGAGAAUCGUCUUGAGGGCCCAAACUUUAAUGAGUGGCUCCGCAACUUGAGAAUUGUUUUGACAUUCGAUAAGAUCGCUUAUGUCUUACAAAAUGCACCUCCUCACACUCCUUUGGCUGAAAAUGGUGUUGCUUAUCAAAAGCACAAGGAUGAUGACACUCAAGCUAAGUGUGUUAUGCUUGCAUCUAUGAACUCACAGCUUCAGAAGCAACAUGAGAACUAUGAUAAUGCCGCUUCUAUAUUGCUUCAUCUGACUGAACUGUUUGGUGAGAGAAAUAGAAAUGUGCGCUUCACCGUCGUCAAUGAACUUGUCAAGACAAAACAUGUGAGGGGCACACCUGUGCAUCAACAUGGUCUCAAAAUGAUAGGUCUUAUUGAGCAAAUUCAAGACCUAGGAUUUGAACUUGAUGCGGAGCUAUCUCAAGAUCUUCUUCUAUCCUCCCUAGAUGAUUCAUUUUCUCAGUUCAUAAUGAACUACAAUAUGCAACAAAUGGAUCAUACUCUUCCUGAUCUUCUCAACAUGUUGGUAACAGCUGAGAAGCAAAUUAGGAAAGAGAGUGGAAGUGUGGCUAUUGUCACUUCAUCUUCAUCCACCAAGUCUAAAGGAAAGGGCAAAGGGAAGAAGAAACAAGUGGCAAAGCCUAAAGGAGCAAUCCAAAAGAAGAAGAAGAAGGAACAAAAGGAACCAAAAGGUGUUUGUUUCUUUUGCAACAAAGAUGGACAUUGGAAGAGGAACUGCAAGGCUUAUCUUGCAUCCUUGAAGAACAAGUCUUCAGAAGCAGGUAUGAUCAAUGUGAUUGAAUCAAUAUUUACAGUUAAUAAUACUUCCACUUGGAUAUUUGAUUCAGGUGCAUCUCACCAUGUUUGCACUUCGUUGAAGGACCUAGUGGGAGCAAGGAAGCUUAAAGCUGGAGAAAUCUCCCUACGUGUGGGAAAUGGUACAAGAGUUGAUGCCAAGGCCGUAGGGACUUAUAUUUUGAAGCUACCAUCAAGAGAUACAUUGGAGUUGAAGAAUUGUCUUUAUCUUCCUAUAUGUAUAAAGAACCUUAUCUCUAUCUCCAUGCUUUUGAAGGAUGGUUAUAGAGUAGUGUUUGAUAAACUAAGUGGGUUUGUAUCUAUUAAUGGACGUAUGAUAUGUCAUGCUAAUAUUAUUGAUGGACUUUUUCAUCUAGCUUUGGAUGCUAGUAUUAACUGUAUGAAGGAAAAUGCUUUGGGAUCCAAAAGAUCUCGAGAAACGGUUAACCCUAUUAAGAUGUGGCACCUUAAGCUUGGUCAUAUUAGCCAAGAUCGAAUUCACAAGUUAUCCAAAGAAGGAUAUUUAGAGUCUUUAGGAUCUGAUCCUAUGCCUACUUGUGAGUCUUGUCUAAAGGGCAAAAUGACUAAGUCUCAUUUUGGUGGACAAAGAACAAGGGUUAAAGAACUCUUGGGCCUAAUACAUACUGAUGUAUGCGGUCCAAUGUCCACUAUUAGUAGAGGUGGAUUCUCAUACUUCAUAACAUUUACCGAUGACUACUCUCGAUUUGGUUAUGUAUACCUUAUGAAGCAUAAAUCAUAAGCCUUUGAAAUGUUCAAAGAAUAUAAGAAUGAAGUUGAGAAACAAACCGGCAAGAGUAUUAAGGCUCUUAGAUCUGAUCGAGGAGGCAAAUACUUAAGCACAGAGUUUAGUGAUUAUCUUAAACAAGAAGGCAUUGUUUCUUCAUUGGCUCCUCCUGGAACGCCACAACUCAAUGGUGUCUCUAAAAGGAGAAACCGAACAUUGUUAGACAUGGUUCGUUCCAUGAUGAGCUAUACUGAUUUACCUAUAUCAUUUUGGGGAUAUGCACUUCAAACAGCAACUUAUUUGUUGAAUAGAGUGCCUUCCAAGUCUGUCCCACUUACACCAUAUGAGAUGUGGCAUGGGAAGAAACCGAGUCUUAAUCACAUUAAGAUUUGGGGUUGUCCAGCUUAUGUCAAGAGACUAGAAGCAGGUAAGCUUGAAGCUAGAUCAAGCAAGUGUUUAUUUGUGGGAUAUCCUAAAGAUAGUUUAGGCUAUUAUUUCUAUCAACCUGACGAACAAAAGGUGUUACUUUCCUUGAAAGAGACUAUGUCGUUGAUGGGAAUACUCAGCAAAUGGUAGAACUCAAGGAAGUGUCCGACAAGCCACAAGUUAACACUUCAAUUCUUGAUAAACAACUUCCCGAACCAACUAUAGCACAAACUCCAAGGAGAUCUAGUAGGAUCCGGAUACCUCCUGAGAGGUAUGGUUUACGUCAUGAAAGCCUUGGGGAGUUAAAUCUCCUUGGUGACAAUGAAAACUUACAUGAUCCUUCUACUUACACUGAGGCAAUGUUAGACAUUGACUCAAAGAAAUGGCAAGAGGCCAUGCAAUCCGAGAUUGACUCUAUGCAUACCAACCAAGUCUGGACUCUUGUUGACCCUCCACCUGGUAUUAGACCAAUUGGUAAUAAAUGGGUCUUCAAGAAAAAGAUAGGCUCAGAUGGUAAAAUAGAAACCUACAAAGCUAGGUUAGUGGCAAAGGGCUAUAAGCAAAGAGAGGGCAUUGACUAUGAAGAUAUGUUCUCUCCUGUUGCCAUGGUUAAAUCCAUUCGGAUAUUACUUGCUAUAGCUGCUCACUAUGAUUAUGAGAUAUGGCAAAUGGACAUAAAAACUGCCUUUUUGAAUGGCAAUCUUCAGGAAGAGCUAUAUAUGGAUCAACCUGAAAGCUUUGCGUCUAAAGAUAACAUUCAUAAGGUGUGCAAGCUUCACCGGUCCAUCUAUGGACUUAAGCAAGCUUCAAGGAGUUGGAACAUCCGUUUUGAUGAUGCAGUCAAAUCAUUUGGUUUCACACAAAACAUGGAUGAACCUUGUGUUUAUAAGAAGGUUAGUGGGAGUGCUGUUGUGUUCCUUGUACUUUAUGUUGAUGACAUCCUACUAUUUGGGAAUGAUGUAGGGAUGCUAUCUUCAAUUAAAGUUUGGUUGUCCAAGACCUUCCUUAUGAAGGAUCUUGGAGAAGCUUCCUAUGUACUAGGCAUAAAGAUCUAUAGAGAUAGAUCUAAAUGAUUGAUUGGAUUAUCUCAAUCCUUGUACAUAGAUAAGGUGUUGAAAAGAUUUCAUAUGGACAAAUCUAAGAAGGGUUUCCUGCCUGUAAGACAUGGCAUUCACCUUUCUAAGAAAAUGUGCCCACAAACGAUUGAGAAAGUGCAAAAGAUGAGCAAGAUCUCAUAUGCAUAAGCAAUUGGGAGCCUCAUGUAUGCGAUGCUAUGCACUAGACCUGAUAUUAGUUAUGGCGUAAGCAUAACAAGUCGAUAUCAGUCUAAUCCAGGUAUGGAACACUAGAAUGCUGUAAAGAAUAUCCUCAAGUACUUGAGAAGGACUAAGGAUUUAUUCCUUGUAUAUGGAGGAGGUGAUUUGCAAUCAGAGUUGCAAGUGGAAGCAUACAUAGACUCAGAUUUUCAAUCUGAUGUGAAUGACAGAAAAUCCACAUCAGGAUUUGUUUUCACCUUGAAUGGAGGUGCAGUAAGUUGGAGGAGCUGCAAGCAAGGCGUUACAGCAGAUUCCACUACUGAGGCAGAAUAUAUUGCAGCUGCAGAGGCUGCAAAGGAAGCAGUUUGGAUAAAAAAGUUCAUUACUGAACUUGAUGUUGUUCCUACCAUUGAGUCACCAAUUUCACUUUACUGUGACAACAAUGGGGCAAUUGCUCAAGCCAAGGAACCAAGGUCUCAUCAAAAAUCCAAACACAUUGAAAGACACUUCCAUAUCAUAAGAGAGAUAGUUAAUCGUGGUGACAUCAACAUUCUCAAAGUAGCAUCUGUUGAUAACAUAGGAGAUCCAUUCACUAAGCUUUUAUCACAAAUUAAGUUAGAACGACAUCUUGAAAAGAUGGGUGUACGUUUCAUGGCUGAUUGGCUUUAGUACAAGUGGGAGAUUGAAGGAGUUGUGUCCUAAAACAAUCAUUUUGAUGUAAUUAUUAUUGUAGUUAUUAUUAAUCAAAAUGGCAAGUUUAUUGUUCAUUGCUUAUAUUUAAUAUUUGAUUGAACAAGGUCCAAGGAAAUUGAGUUAAAGAGAAAGCAAUCUAAAGAGUUAGAUGUAUGAGACCUUUACUCUUUUACACUCUUAUCCUAAAUGUUCAUAGUCAUAGGAUUAUCAUUUGGACAUUGUUAAUCCGGAAAGACUAGCACAUACUAUGUAUGCUCAAUAUGGAGGAUGAUAUGUCUCUUGUCAUUUGUGUAGAGACUACACAGUUUGUUGUUGUAUGUCAUGAGGGGUAUUUAUUAAUACCUGGGACUCAUGGGUACAUGUUGAUUGAAAAAGUGUUGGAUUUGUGGAUCUUAAUUAUUGAUAUAAAUUGCUCUUGUUAUAUAAUUAGUAGUUGGAUGUUUUGUGUUAUUUGAGAAUUACUCAUGCGGGCUUUUUAGCUUACCGAGUUUGUUGUUUACAACCCGGUGCACCAAUUCUUUGUGUAGGGGUUAGACAUGCAUGUGAGGAUCAACAUGGUUGAGGUGGAGGCAUAGGGGCAGAGUUUUUGUUGAGUUUUGCUGUACUAUUUAUAUUUUUAUAUUUGGGGUAGACAGUAUUAAACUCAUGUGAGCGUUUUCAUUUUCUUAACUUUUAAGUUUAUGUAAUUAAGGAAAUGUAAUAUUUAACUCAGUGUUGAGUUGUGUAAUAUUUACAUUUUCCGCAUUGAGUUUAGUUUGCCUUGAAUUUGUGUGAAACAGGUUUUGGGAUUAUAUUAUUUUAAGUUAUAUCAUGCCAAAAUUUUUGAAAAUUAUCCUUCGAAAAUUGGGGCGUGACACUUAUAUAGGUUCAUUAAAUUAUACUAAAAAAUAUUUAAUUUUAUAGAGUAAAACAGAAAAGUUGUUGGAGUUGAGACUCCUAUAUUAUAUAGAUUUUGUGAUUUCGUCUUCUAUAAUAGAAAAUAUGCUCUAAGGGAGAAUCUCUAAUGAAAUGAGUAAACCCAUUUUAUUAUGUAAUUUACUUUUACAAAAAACACUAUUACAAUAGAAAAAUAAUUCCGUAUUCUAAUAAGAUUCUUACUGAUCUUUUAUCUCUUAUCAAUAAAUAACACAUCUCACCAUUCUUUGGCCAUCUCUUAGGCCUCGUUUGGUUCAUGGAUUGGAAAGGUUGAGAAGAGAAAGUUGUUUCUUUCCUUUGUUUGGCACACCUAAGGAAAUGAAAGAUUUUACUACAAUAUGAGAAAAUAUAUGAGAAAUUAGAUCCUCCCACAUACCAUGAGAUUUUAUUUUCCUCAUAUUUUCCUAACAUUAAUUGCAUAUUAAUUGCAUCUUUUAUAAAUUGUUUUAAUGGAUGUUAUUACCACAUAAUCCACAAAACUUUAGAAUCUUAAAUAUUAUAUAUUUUAUUACUAAAGAUAUAAUUGGUAAAUUAAUGUUAAUUGUUUUCCUAUCCAUGCAUAAACCAAACAUUAGAAAAGAAAGUAAAAUACAUUUCCUAGUUACUUUCCUGACUUUCCUAAACAUCUCGUAGGGAAACUAGUGGGAAAUUUUCUAAUAAGUGCUGCUAAAUGUACCCAGUAAAUGCCUAAGUAGACCCAGCAAACUUUAUACACCCGGCAAAAUCAUCAAAUUUCUAUCCACACCCAGCAACAUAUCAAUAAUACCCUUAAGUUCAUAAACCCAACCACUAGAAAUACACGGUUACCGCUGCUGAUGAUAUGGUUGGGUUCCAAACUCGAUUUUGGCAUAGAGCGGCUAUCGUGGUGGUUGCAAAGACGAAAGCCAGAAUUAGCUCUUAUAAAGGAAGAGUCCUAAAUCUAAACUCCUCAUUGUUGAGUAAUUGAAGAUCGACACAAACCUGACUUUUUGUAUGUAUAUUGUGCCCAGAAAGUAUACGGCUGGAGCUUGGUGGAUUAGGAUAUCAACAAAGGGCCUGUCAACUUGUAUGUCUAGUUUCAAGAUUCCAAUUGAAAUGUCAAUAUGCAUGAAUGCAUCUCCUUGAAAUUGUCAGUUGCAGAUUUGCAGUAGCUUUACUACUAGGAGCUAAUCACCUUGAAAUAUCACUAUCUUCUAUUCACGUUGAAAAAUGUGAAAGGUUUUCAAUACAACUCAAUUAAAGAACUAAUCUGUUUACUUUGCUGGGUAUCAUUGGAGUUAUUAAUCCUAUUCUUUUGCUGGGUUUCGUUGGAGAUGUGUAUUGCUGUUUUUUUUUUUUAUUUCGAUAUCGUUCAUUUUGCUGGGUUUCAUCACAGUAAGGGUAUAAUUAGAAAUUACAAAGUUUUAGGGGGUUUGAAAAUGAUGCUGGGUCUACUCAGUUAUUUGCGGUACAUUUAGGCUCUAACAACACCUUUUUCUAAUUUACUUUACAUGAGAAAGAUUAAGGAAUCAAUUUUCUUUGCAUAACCAAACGAGGCCUUAUAUUUACGUUUCUCCGCCUAUAUAAGAAAAUACGAGUCAGAGAAGAGUCAGAGAAGAGUGACGUCCCCAACCGCCGGCAGCCCUAGGGAGAGUGAGAAUUCUGGUUCAGAGAAGAGUCUAGAUGCCAAGUCUAAAGCCUUGAAAUUGAAGGAAAUUCCUUCGAUAAGAAGGCAUUGGCCAUGUUUCAGAAUUACUAUGAGGAGAAAGCAAAGCGUGAGCACAAGGUUAUGGUUCCGCGCCUCUGAUUAGUUUCAUCUAUGUUUUGUUAUUAUCUAAUUGAUAUUGAGAAGUAGCACUACUGAAUUGGAUGCUAAUCAUGCUAUGGUGAUGGUUGUUAUGUUCAGUUUCAUUGCUUCAAGUUUAGUUGUAGUGUGAAUUAGUGGAAUUUUGAAAAGAAAAUCUACAUAAUAAUUUUCUCUAGUUCAUUCCUAUAAGGCAAUUUUAAAUGUAGAGUUUUAAUCAUAUUGCAGUUUCGAUUAACAUCGAAAUUCUGAAAAUAAUCUUCCUGGCCUUGCUGUUAUACUGCAAGCUGCUGCUUUUAGCACCAAUCCUGAUGGACACAGUCUCCAUCAGGUUCUUGUUAUUUCUUCUAUCUUGAUAAUCCUUUUGGGUUAAUUGGAUAUUUUCUUGGUAUGUAAUAGUGAGUCAUGUUGAUCAGAAGUGUGUUUGAUUGAGUAACUUGAGACUGGUUUUAAGUAAAAGAGACCUGGAUUUAGAAAUCGUAGCUCAUAAUGAUCUUUAGUUAGCUUCCUGUUUAGAUUGUAUAAUUAGAUUGGUUUCAGUGUUCUGUGGGAUAAAAUGUUUUUCUUUUAACCAUCCAAACAAAUUUCAGCAAAAUACGGUUGAGAAGUUUUGCCCUGCUUCUGAGUUUGAAACUAUUGUUGCUAUAUGAUGUUGGUCUCUUCUUGAUUCAAGUGAGAGACCAUUCAUGGGAAGAGGAGGUUUGAGGUGCUAUGAAUUACAGUUUGAAAACAUUAUUAGGCAUGAUUAUGAAUUGAGAAACUUUCUAGAGUUAAUUUUUUCCUCUGAAUGAAACUGAUUUCAAUUUCUAAAAACCAUCAAGAUCAAUUGCUAGUUCUCUGCUGGGAGAUCUAUAUUACAAGAUCACCUGACCUACCAAGCUUUGAAUUCAUUUGCCUUACACAGGUACAUUGUGUCAUUGUCACUUUAUCCCAUGUUUAAUGUUCAGUCUUACAAGUCAUAAGUAACUUGUAUCUCUUGAGAAGCUUAGUUCUCAAAUUUGACCUCCUUGUUUUCAACAGAAUGAUUCUGCUUUCUUCAAUAUAAGCCAGCCAAAAUUUUAUGACUGUUUUGGUUGCUUUUACUAAACAUUUCUUAGAAAAAAAAAAAAAAUCCACAUAUUUUUCAGUAAACUUAAUCCAUCACAUUAGUCAUGCUAUAAGGUCAGGGUGUGACAGUGUCUCACCUCGAGCAUAGGUAUAAGGAACGCCAUCUCAAGCAUUAGUAAAAGAGGGAAGGAUACUUUUUACAGACAAACUUAAUGUAAUAUCAGUUAUUAUAUCAUCAACUCAGCUGGAUAAUCAGGCACGAGGAAGCUGUACCUUAUGGGUGAGUCCCUGUACGAGGCGAAGUUAAAUUGGACCACGAAUUCUGGUACAUUGAUGCUUGAAUGAAUUAGGCUUUAGUCAGUAUCCAAAACCCACGGAUGAGUCUAGCGGUGUUUAUUCUUCUACACCUGUUGAUUGUUGUAGACGAGAAUAAGGUUAUCACAAGCUGAUAAAGACAUGUUCAGGGAGGACGGUCUUGUCUUUGUUACACAGGUUCCCCUAUUGUUAUGGUAUCUUUGCUCGCUGUUUAUUUUUUGUUCUGUUUAGGCUACCACAGUUGAUGUGCUUAUAAAUAAACAGUUUUUUGACUGCGCAAAUUGUCUUUAUCUUUUGGUUUAAGUUGUUAGUUUAAUGUCUUGAGAAAUUAUGUUCCUUAUUUUUUGGUGAACUAUUAUCAUUGUACGGGGUACAACCGUACAACUGGGUGAGUGCCUAAAAGGCAAAUAUCCAUGCCGAUUAUCCUGAGCAGUGGCCACGGCUUUUAGACUGAGUGAAGCACAACUUAUAUGACCAACAAGUUUAUGGAGCUUUGUUUGUUUUCUGUAUUCUUUCUAGAGAACAUGAGUAAGUGUAUCAUAAUCUACUAAUCUUAUAAAGUAAUUCUUUUAUAUGGCUACUGCCUGGAGUUACUCUGCUUCUAAUAGAAACUACAAGUUAGCUAGUAGUUUCCCAUCUGAGGCAAACUUUGUGUUUAAUGUGUAUUUGACCACGCUUGUUAUAGAAAUUAAUCAUAAAUUAUGUUAUCUCACAUUGAUGAAAAUAUUAUUAUCUGGUUUCCUGAUAUCUGAAAUGGUCAUCAGACUCUGCGAGUUCAUAUCCAUUCAUACACCAGUUACACUGAGAUAUCUGUCCAUAGUGAUCAGAUUCUACUAGUUCAUAUCCAUUCAUUUACUGUCAAUUAGCUAAUCACUAUUAUUGUUAGAAUGUAGAUGUAUCUAGUAAAAUGAUAGUAAAACCAGGUCCUGUCUGACCUGCUUCAUAGAAAACUAAAUGAUUAUAGUAUUUACCAGAUUUAUUGGAUUUAGGUGUGACAUCAUACAUGAUUUUUGCUGCUUUAUUCGUACCAGGCUAAGAGGAUACUAAAAAGUUAAAGACUGAAAGUCUCCCUAAAACGUAGUUGGAUUAUUCUCCAAAUAAUGAAGUGGGACAUGAAAAAUGUAUCAGGCAUAUUGAACAGAAGUAUUGAGUUGAGUAAAUGUCUUCUGAAUGAUUCAAAGUUUCAAACAAAGUAGGUACUUAAUUCUAUAUGCCAUAUUCAUCAAGUACACAGGUUGGUAGACAAGUAGACAAACCAAACAAUAUCUCCCACAUAGAAUUAUAUAUAUGUGUGUCUGUGUGUUAUAUGUUAUAAAAGCCAAUAAAUUUGAGAGUAUGAUGAAGUGGUAUUCUGUGAUCUCAGAACACAUUUGCUAUAAUGAGAAAGAGAUGCCACUUCUACUUUCAUGCUUAGGAAGAAGCAUUGAUCAGUGAAAGAUGGCUUUUCCUAAGUUCUUAUUCUCACAUGGUGUCCUGUCUUCGAUGCUCUUCAUUUAUGUGUUUAGCUUGUUCUUCUCUUGCAAAUCAUGAAUCCACUGUUUGCGCUGUUAUUUGCUCUGUUAUUGGAGAAGGUUACAUGGACUCCUAGCGACCAUCAGAAAGUUAGUCUGUCACCUUAGUAUGAAACUUUGAACCCAAACAUCUAUUUACAGUCAGACAGGUAAUUUGAGUAAAAGUUUACCGUAACUCUCGGAGAGGUUUCUUCCGGUAAAGACUAUUAAAAACUAUGAGACAGGUUCCUGUCUUUAUUGUCUAUCAUUGUUAUGGGCUUCAUAGUUUUGUAAUGCAAUUUUGGUUUUUAUCAUUUAUCUUUGUAACACCACUUUCUUAGAGGAUAAUAUGAAGAUUCUGGAUAAUAUGCAUUAUCUUAGACUUCAAUGAAUUUCUGAUUUGCAGGGCAAACAUUUUUUUUUAGUUACAACUUACUGCAUAAAAUGAAAUUUCAUUCUGGUCAUAGAGGGAAGGCACAAGGAGUGGGACAGAAACGGAAUUUCUAGUUGGACAAGCAAGACUAUCUAUUCAUUGCAGACUGCUCAGCUUCCCAUGCAUACAGAUCUCCAAAAAAUUGGAUAAGCUCAACUCAUAUAUUGUCUGGGGAGGGAGGGAUACUGAGCAGCAGAGGCAGAUCCACUUGGUUAACUGGGGUGAAGUAUGUAAAACUAAGGCUAAUGGAGGUAAGGGAAUCAAAAAGGAGAGAUGAUCAAUAAGCUAUGUUAGCCAAGGGAAGCUGGAGAUUGAUGCGUGGUAACCAUGGUCGAUCAUAAGUGUAUUAUAAGCUAUUUCGCAAAAAAGUUUGUUUAUUCAUAUUAAAAACCUCAACUCUGUUCUAGCUCUUGGUCUGGUGUUGUUCAUGGAGCCAAUUUGUUGAUGAAAGGUCUCAAAUCGAGGAUUGGUGAAUGAUGCUAAAGAUUUGUUUCUGGAAUGAUAAUUGCUGCUCUUUGUAAUUUAAUGCACCAAACAGGUAUGUAAUGGCUUUGAUAAACCUUAUUUAUUCCAGCAUGGAAUGACUAUCUGCAAAUCUUAAACAUUUUUUUUUUCUGGAAUUCUGCAUUGGAGUAUUUUUCUUUGUUUUUUUUUGCUCUUGGUUUAUAUGGACGUGGAGGGAUUUGGUUUCUCCCUACUUCAGAUGAAAGGAUUUCCCCGAAAUCGGGUAUGCUUUUACCGCUUUAUUUUGAUUACGUGCUUGUAAAUUGGUGCUGCGGUUGCAGAGGCAAAGGUACGUCUUCCGAAACUUCAAUUCUGCAUCUGUGGGAAUGUUCAUAUGGAGGAGUGUUGGCAUAUAGAUGAUUGAUGCAUGUAUUUGUUGUGGUUGACGUGUGGAUUAGAGAAGGAGGAUGGAUAGAUUUUUGCUUCUGAUAUGAUAUAUGUUAUUUUUGAUAUCUGUGGUGUCUGAUCUCCCAAAAUUUAUAAAUUUCGAUUUUGACAUGUUCAUGAUAUCUGAAAGUAUAUGAAUUGUUGUUUUAGUUUAUGUUUUACACAAAGCAUACUUAAACUAUGAAGACACAGGUUAAGAACUCAUGAAAACACUAAAAAUUGUGCUGUAUUAUAAUGUUCUGCUUAUUUUGGCCUUCAAAGAAGUAUUUGAGUAUGAUUUUAUAAUAUAUGCAGUGGUAUGUGUAUAUGCAGGAAUUUAUCAAGAUUUUCUGAAACUUUUCUUAGUCUAAAGGGUUAGACUGUUUUCACUAAAACUAAAUAACGAAUUCUUAUUGUGUAUGGCAUAUCAAUUCAGAAACUACAGCUUUUUGUAAGAAAUUAUGUCACAAAGGCAUUGAUUAAAGAAAGGUUGUCUAUUUUCAAGGGAUGUUAUGCCGAAUUUCCUGUAGCAUCUCCUUUGGUCCCCGCAGAGUUUAUUCCCCUGAAAUCCGAGGUGGGUCCUGACAAUUGUCGCAUGCCCGAAUGCAGUACUGGAACUAAUACUACAUGAAGCCUGCUUACUAUGGAGACCGGCUUGUUGAUUUGGAUGACUCUCUCAAAAUGUUGUUGAAAAGACUAGAGCUGCAACAAGCUAGGGACGUGAAGGUGACAUUGCAUUUGGCAAGGUCCAUUAGAAGAGCAACACUUCGGCCUCCUCCUCCUCCUCCUCUUUCUCCACCAAAACUUAGAGCUAGCUGGAGUAAAAUAUCGGCUUCGUUUAGAAAAAGGGAAAGGAGAAGGAGUAAAAUAUUGGCCUUGAGUCAAGGCAAAAAGAAGAAGAAAAAGAGGCAAGUCCAACAGAAAAAGGGUGAUACCGACGUCCUCUCUCUCUCUCNNNNNNNNNNNNNNNNNNNNUACUCUCUCUCUCUCUCUCUCUCUCUCUCUCUCUCUCUCUCUCUCUCUCUCUCUCUCUCUCUCUCUCUCUCUCCGAAUUCCAGUGUCGACUCUGCUAGAAAGAUGUCGUCCAGCUCCGGUACCGGUUUGUCAUCAGCUUCGACCAAGUACAUGAAUUUUAAAGAAAUCACCGCCACCGUUAGUUUUCUCCCCCAUUUAGCAAUUUUCACAAGAAAAUACUCAUAAAAUUUGGUGGGCUUAAAUUCUCGACUUGAAUUCUAUAUAAAAUAAACGUCAUUUAUCAAUUCAUUUAAUUAAAGUUAGUAUAAAUAUUAAUUCAAUCAAUCGAAUUGAAUUAAAACUCUACGUAAUAAAAUCCAAUCAAUCGAAUUCUCAAUCAAUCAAUAAAAUUUAAAAUUUCCGUGAAAAUUGCAUUUACUACUCUUGAAAUGAGUAGAGACAUAUUCCGUUCCAUUUUUACUUUUACAAAGUUUACUUCUUCUUUUUUUUUUUCUUUUAGAAAAAAAAGAAAAAGGAAAAAACUUAGAGCUAGCAAGGAGUAAAAUAUUGGGCUUGACCGCUUGAGUCGAGGCAAAAAGAAGAAGAAAAAGAGACAAGUCCAAUAGAAAAAGAAAAAGGGUGAUACCGACGCCGUCUCUCUCUCCGAAUCCCAGUGUCGACUCCGCUGGAAAGAUGUCGUCCGGUACCAGUUUGUCAUCAGCUUCGACCAAGUACAGGAAUUUUAAAGAAAUCACGCGCCACCGUUAGUUUUCUCCCCCAUUCACUUCCUCUUUUUCAAUUUCGCGAAUCUAAUAAUUAGAUCAAGAUUAUCUUUUACUUGUAAAAUCGCUGUAUGGCUUGUCAUCUGAAUCAUAUGAUGAUAAGCGACUGUACUUCCUAAUCGAGAAAACUCCAAAUCUACUACAUACUGUUUUUUUUCUUAUUAUUAUUUAUAUAAUCGAUCUGUUUGCGUCAGAUUUUUUAUUAUAAUUUUGCAUAUGCCAAUGAUUGUAUCUGUAUUUGCUGGGAUUAUUAUUAUUAUUAUUAUAUAUUGUUGUUUUCUUUAUGCUGGCUAAUACCGAGACAGUUGUUGUUUUAUAUAUCCUUCGCGAGCUUAGUGACUAAUCGCCUGGUGAUUGACCUGUUUUCCUCUUUUUUAAUAUUCUUUUAUCCCAUAUUUGAUGCGUAGGAUUAUUGAAUGAAAUGCUUCGGUCUUGCAAAACUUGGAACUCAAAAUCAACAUGGAAGGUACGAAAUGUGAUCCAUCUCCUUUUUAUUUUUAAUUUUUACUUUUUAUUUUUAAUUUUUAAUUUGUGAUGUUUAGAAGUAAUUCUCUCUUAUGAUUGACAAUUAUAACAUGGACUAUUUUUGGUUCAUCAAUUUUAAGUUUUCUAGAAUGGAUUUAGUCAAGCAUUUGUAGCACACUGUAAAUGGUGGGGAUGGGGAAAUGCGAGUUAGGAGUCGUUGUAUCUUUUCUUAGUUUGUAAACCCAUCACAGAUUCACGUUGCAAACUCUUGACAUGCAAUUUUAUUUCUUGUCCUUGAAUCCUAUAUUCUGCAGGUACUCGUUAUGGAUGAAUUUACUGUCAAGAUAAUGUCUCACGCAUGCACAGUCGUUGAUACUACAAAUGAAGGUGUUUCAUGUAAGUUUCAAAACGACUCCUCUGCUAUGUUAUUUAGUAUUAUAUUAUCUCAGCUUUCUUCCUAAUCUUUCGAAAAGACUUAUUUGCCAUUUUAAACUUGCGAGGCUUCUUAAUUGUUCUGUUAAGUCUGUCUAUAAGUAAGCAUCAAUUGCUGUUUUUCUUUUUCUUUUUCUUUCUUACAAGUUACUACAAUGAAUUCAUAUUUUCUUGCAGUGCUUGAGCGCAUAGAUAAAAAAAGGCAGCGAUUGCCAUCUAUGGAUGCAAUAUAUUUUAUCCGGCCUUCUAAAGAAAAGUAAUGCUUUUCACACCUUUUGGGUUAUUAUCGCUAUAAUGUCAUUAAGUAAUUGAUAUCUGCUUUAAAAUCGGGAUUCAAGUUCUUCCUUUCUACCCAGCUAACUAACCAUUUAGUUUCACGCCUGUCCACUGUUACAGUUUAGCUUCUCGUUAAUUUUAUUUACUUAUUUUCAUAUUAUUAGGGGUUGUUAUGAGAGCUAAACCCUAUAAUCUAAGCAGUGGGAUCACAACAAAAAGUUGCAAUCUUGGAAGUAUAAUUUUUUAAAUGUGUCACAGUUGCAUUAUUAAGUGGUGUCCAUGGGGCCAAAAUGAUAGAAGUUGGAAAAUGCAAAACAAGCCGGGUAAAUUAGAAGAUCCUAAACGACUUUGACAUUAGCACCGAUCCAAUUCUAUUCCCGUUCAUGUUAGAACUUGUAACACUACCCCUGUGAUCUCAUGUGGAGCUUACACUGUGAUAAAUGAACCAUCAAGAAUGCUAGGAUGUAUUCAUUUGAUCCAAUCCCUUGGUAUUUUCUCAUAAGUAUGCUACCAAUUUGGUGUGUGAACCUGCAAUCGUUAGUACGCUGGCUAUCUAUGCUUUUGAUGUGGUAUUCUCAUUUAGUUUGCUGAUGAAUCUUGCUAAAGAAUUAAAUAAUUGCUGGCCAACUUCAGCUUUUGGGAACAAUUGUUACUAACAGAACUUACAACUGAGAGCUUUAAUCAUACAUCUUUGGAUCAUUAGCAUCCCGUUAUAUGCUGUAUUCCGUGAUUGCUUUUUUAAUGGAGAGGCCCACAUGUGAGAUAUGUAUUACAAUAUAAAACCACUAUUGGUGCACAUCCUAAAAACUUAAGCUUGAUUGAGGGCUGUUGCACUAACAAAGUUCAUCAUAUCACAUGUCUUAAAAGUAAUUAUGGUGGCAAUUUCACCAGAAUAAUGCUUCUUCAGUAAUUCGUUGAUCUUAUGGGUGGAUAUGGAUCCCGUAAAUAUGUGCUUCCUUACUUUUUCUUGAAACAAGCAGUGCUCGUGUUUAUUCUGUAUUUUGAGUAGAAUGUGAAGUAAGAAAUUUCCAGUUGAAAUGAUGUUGUGGCACUAUUGGAAUAUGAACAUAAACAAUUUUAACCUCCUCUCUUUCUGGUGGUGAAAUUGCAGUGUUAGAUUCUUCUUGUCAGACAUGUCGGGAGGCGUACCUUUCUAUAGGAAGUAUGUGCAUGAAUAUCAGUCUUUUCUCUUGCACUAGUUUGUUUAAUUUAUCAUAAGAUGAUAGAAAUAAAUCUUCCUGUUCUCUUUGUAGGGCGUUUGUUUUCUUCACUUCACCGAUAUCCAAGCAUUUGGUUGGGCAGAUCAAGGCGGAUGCAAGUCUAAGAAGCCGCAUAUCUGCAUUGAGUGAGGUGUAAUUCCUUCCCUUGGCACUUAUUUUGUUUUAGAUUGAGAACUCUGCAGAGGCUUAUGUAUCAGCCAGUUAAAUCCUUCUAUUCUUAAACUUGCAGAUGAACCUGGAGUACUAUGCUAUAGAUAGCCAGGUAUUUGUAGUCAAUUUGUUUAGUCCCAUUUGCAUUAUAUGUUUUUUUUUUUUUCUACUUGUAAAUAUUUUAUCAAUUUGGGGUUUGGGGUUAUCACCCACCAAAUUACAUAGAAUUCAAAAUCCUCUCGCCAAAAUAUUUUAACUGAUAAAAAAGAAAGUAAAUUUCCGGUAGUAAAACAAAAUUAAAAUAAAGAUAAUUUAUGCAUGACUUUGUAAUGUGUGAACCGAAUCCACCUAGUCGACUCAUGCCUCUAUUUAAUUUCAAUCGAGAGAAAGGAGUUUGUGAGUCGGAUUGUUAAUCACCUGCCUAGGUUCAUAUCCUGUCAUAAAGAUGUGCAUGGCUUGUUAGAGACAUAAUAUUGUGAACCAAAUCUAAAUUUUAUAUAAAUCCAUUUAAUAAAGAUAGAAAAGAUUUGACAUAAGUCUCAUAGGAAAUUGAAUUUCUUUGCUAGAAUCUGUGGGAAUACACAUACGUUACGCUUAAUUUAGGUCUGCCACAGUUAUCAACAUAGUAUGCUUAAGCUGGAUCAAAUUUUCUGUCUUUGAUUAUUUUUCAUAUGUUCAUCCCUUUUUAGUGAUGUCUGCUUUUCCUUGCAAAGGGUUUUGUUACCAAUAACCAGAGAGCUUUACAGCAGCUGUAUGGGGACAAGGACGAUUCACGCGAAGCUGAAGCAUGUUUGAAUGAGAUGGCUGCACGUGUUGCCACAGUCUUUGCUUCAUUAAGGGUAGAGGUGAUUUUGAUUUUUAAUGUUGAUCAAAGAUUUCAUGAAAAUGUUCUGAACAACACUAGCUAUUCAUUUUUUCAAUUUCAUAGGAACUUCCUGUUGUUCACUACCGAGCUGCCAAUAGGUUUGAUGCCACCGUGGAGACCACUUUUUGUGAUUUGAUUCCUACAAAGCUUGCUGCUGGUAUCUGGGAUUCUCUCAUGCAUUACAAGAGAACAAUUCCAGAUUUCCCUCAGAGAGAAACUUGCGAGUUACUUAUCCUUGACAGAUCCGUGGAUCAGGUCUUUAGCUAUGUGUCUGUCUUUUUUUUAAAAACACAUCAUACUUGAUGCACCCUUGUCUUUAUUAAGUAAUACUCGUCCUUGUCUGACUUUUCAGAUUGCGCCAAUCAUACACGAAUGGACAUAUGAUGCCUUGUGUCAUGACUUGUUAGAAAUGGAAGGAAAUAAAUAUGUUCACGAGGCAAGUAGUAACUUCCCUUUAUGGCAUUUCUUUCGAAGUUCAUGGUCUCACAAAUUUGGGGAAAGUGUAACAUAGAAUUGUACAUACAGGUUGCAAACAUAACUGGUGGUCCUCCUGACAAGAAAGAUGUUCUUCUAGACGAGUGUGAUCCUGUCUGGCUUGAGCUUCGCGAUCGUCAUUUAGGAUUUGUAAGUCUUGUGCCUACACAUCUUUUUGGGAUUUCUUAUGCAUAAAAGCAUCUCUCUUUGUUUUCUUAAUCACAAAUGAAUGACCUUGUCAGGCCUUGGAAUGGUUAAAGUCAGAACUUUCCAGUCUUAAGCAGAAUAAGGUUGCACGAUUCGAAAAUUCAAGGUAUGUGAUUAGUUGCUACAAUCAGCAAACCAACCUUAGUAUGGAAGAUAACUUUAAUGGUGCAAUGGUUCUCAAAUUUAAUUUGGGCUUUAUUGCAAGUACUUUUGGUCAUAAAUGGUCCGAAUCUGUUUCUUGAAUUGUCUAUUACUAACAAGGACUAUAGUGAAGUAGAUCAUCACCAAGAUAGCUACACAUUAAAAUUGGUAGUUGUCAAGAAACCUAUAUUGAAAGUAAUAUAGAAACGAGCCUGGCUGGAUUUUUCUUUUUCAUUUCAUCUGGGGACAUAUAUUACUACAUGGCACUUGUUAGUUUUGCGAGGUAUUGUUGCAUGACGCGGAAUUUGCCUCAUCUGAUGCAUAUGGAUAGUGCUAGGAAUAUCUCUCUGGUCUGCCAACCCUUAUAUAACUUAUGUGGUGAAUACUGAGUUAAGCAUAUUCACAAAGGGUGAUAAUUACAAGGCUCUAGUCCAGUAAUCAAUGUUUGGGACAUAAUAACCAUUUCUGCUAGCAGACUAAACUUUCUCUUUCUUUUUCCAGAUAUUCACUCCUUAGGAAUUAUUUUACUGAUCUGGUGGCUAGUGACUGCUUUUGACAUCUUCCUUGAAUAAACCGAUAAGCUGAACCCUGAGUAGUCUUAUUACUAUUUUUUUGUUAAACAUGUUGAAAUUAAUGUUUUGUUAAACAUGUUAAAUAGAGAUGGGCAAUCUCCUGAGGUAUCCUCGAGGGAAUUGAAAGACAUAACUGAAGCAUUGCCACAGUAUCUUGAACUAAAAGAGAAGCUCUCCCUUCAUAUAGAGGUCAGUUCUUAAAGGUUUUAUUGUCUCAUUUGUAAUGUUCCAAUGUGUUGAAAACUUAAAUUUGUUGUUUCAAGUUGCUGCCAAGUAUUUAUGAAGACGGCAUAUUUUACAGUUAUUGCUUUAUAUGCAUCGAGACAUGCUUCUUAGGUAAGAACGAAGUUAAAUAAAAAAGAAAUAAAAUCAAAUUUUGGUUGCUUUAUAUGCAUUGAGACAUGCCACUUAAGUCGCUUGUCUGCGAUCUUUCUCUAAAUAUUGCUUUUUUCUAGUCUUAAAAUUGCCAAGCCCAUUGGAAAGUAUAAUUAUGGUAAUCAUGAGGUGGAGCAACUGAAUGAUAGCACAUUUAACAGCCAAGAAGUUUAUACUUGAACUUUGAGCAUAGCAACAGUGGCUCAAGAGAAAUAUAUAAUUUUCUUUUCUCCAGAUUGCAUCGAAACUAAACACAAUUGUCAGGAACUUCAAGCUUCCGUUCCUUUCGGAGCUGGAGCAGAGUCUGGUUUAUGGUGAUGCAGGAAUAAGAGAAGUGAUAAUGUUUCUGAGAAUACACGGGGUAAGGAAUUAUGGAAAUACUAAAUUAUGAGCGCACCAGACUCCUUCUCUUUCUAUUUUGUAUAACACUUUUUCUUCAGCCGUCUAUUGGUCGCGAACAUAUGCUGCGCUUGUUGAUGAUUGCUGCUGCCAUUUAUCCUGAGUUUUUGAAGGACGGGGGAUAUUUACAGAUGAUGAUGAAGGUUAGUAGUAGAUGAGUUCAGUUAGCGUAUCUAGUCUCGUUUCUAUUAGUCAGGUGUUAAUUUGUGGUACUGUUUUUCUUCAGCAUGCGAAUUUACUACCCCAGGAUAUGACUGCUGUGAGGAAUAUGAAGUUGAUUGGGAAGGGCCAAGAAGGCUCAUCUGGAAUCUUUCCUAUGAAGUUUGGUAUUGCCAAGGUGAAUGUAUUUAACAGAUACUUUUUUGAGCCUGUUCAGUUUGUUGAUCAAUAUCUCACAAGCAGUUUUUCUAUAAUUAGAGAGAACGGUAUAGGAAAGAGCGUCCAAGAGAAGAUGAAUGGCGUUAUUCGCGGUUUUCUCCGAUGAUAGAGGUACCUUUUUAGCUGGUUUUCAUUUGUACAGUUCCAAGCUUACAAGUAAGCCACUGUUUUUUGAAUUAACUGUACCCUAUCAUACUUUCUCCUUUCAGGAACUCAUAGAAAAGCUUAGCAAUGGUGCACUGUCAGAGGAGUUGUAUCCUUGUGUGAAUCCCAACGCUUGUGUACCGAAAUCGAGGAGGACACCAACGUGGGCCCACCGUCGGACUUCUGAUGAUGGGCUCUCAAGGUAUAUAUCUUGCUCAAUCUUCUUCUACUGUGCACCUAGGUCAUCUAAUCAGAUCACAUGCUGUAGGUCAUCUAAUCAGAUCACAUGCUGAUUUCAUAUUUUAACCUACAUCGUUAGCCUUCCCAAAUGUUCCGCUUUUAUUAUUUUGUUCUUAUAUCUGAGUCCUGCAUGGUCACAAACCCUAUCAAAGUAAUCAGAGCUUCUUGGGUGACUCGUGCAUUUUGGAAAUCUUCCAUAAAUAGAGUAGUGCUUUGUGUCCUUCCAGUGACUAUUCUUGUUUCCUGCUGUGUAUUAAGGUAUGCAUCCAGUGGUUAUGAAAAGAUGGGCCAACGGAUCUUUGUAGUUAUAGUAGGUGGAGCUACUAGAUCAGAGGUAUGAAAGAUGUUCCCUUUCUUCUGAUUUUGAGAAGGUCGUGGAUACUACUUUUCUUAUUCUGUUUAGAACGCAAACGAAAUUUGCUGAGCUUUUAAUUAAUGUAUUCAGCUUAGGGUGUGCCAUAAGCUCACAGCUAAGCUCAAAAGGGAAGUUAUUCUGGGCUCAUCAUCUCUGGACGAUCCUGCAUCUUUUGUUACGGUAUAUUAUGUUUAAAACUUUUGAUCUUCAAAAAGCUUGAUGAUACUUGUGCUGUCCUCAAACAGCUGAUUUGAUAUGCAGAAUCUGAAAAUGAUCACAGCAGAGAACAAGCCGCUCAUGUUGGAUGAUGUACAGAUCUGACUAUGGAAGUUCAACUAAAUUUUUUUUUUUUUUAUUGAGGUCAAUGUAGUUGUUUCUGAUGUCCGAAAGCACCGCAUCAAUAUCUGUUUCCGAAAAUAUGUGAACGGAUCACUUGUAGAACUGUCUCCUUAUCCCAUUAAUUAGGAUUAUGAUACUUGAAUUUACAUAGUUAUCAAAGUAGUACCUAGACUUGAGUUUUUGUAUAUCCGUCAUAUUUAUCAUACCUAGUGUUAAUAUCAACGUCUGAUGCAUAUGACUCUUUAAACGAUGCAAUAAAGACUUAUUUACCCUUUUCAUUUGUUAAACACACGCUUUCUCAUUGAAACAGAUGAAAUCCAAAGCAGUCACCCAUGCAUCAUUGUUCUUAUUUCAUCCAUCUCAUGAAAUUCAACCUCAUGCAAUUAUUGUGUCGAGUAGUUCUACCAUCACUUAUACCCAUUUGAAGCAUCAUAUAUCUCUCAUCUUUGUAUUCUCCUUCGACCACGUUCUGCACACAGGAGAAAUGUUGAAUGGGUACAUACCAUCUCAAGUGUUGGUUAAAUUAUUGAUUAAUCGUUGGAAUGAGUUUCUUCCAAAUUGAAGCUUAAUCCCAUCACAAAUCUCUCUUCUUUUGGAUGGAUUUUUUUGAAAUGGAUUUCUUUCUUUAUUGGAUUAGAAUUUACUGAUGCGUUAGACUUUUAAGGGAACACGAAUGUUUCAACAACAUGAAUGAUUACUGGGUUUUUUUUUCUUUUUUUAUUUGCUGGGUUUAAGAUGUUGAACAUGAAGUCAUGAAGAGUUGAACAGGAGGAGAAGAGUUGAACAUGAGGAGGAAAAGUGCGUGUCUAAGCUGGAUUUGGAGAUGGAGUUUUGGAAGAAGACCCAAAUCCAAAUUCUAAAAGAUAUAGAAGAUUAUAAUAUACAAGUUUCUUUGAUUUCAUGGUCCAAAAGUUUUGAUGGGGAUAAUAUCCAAUCAUGAUGAUCGGAUUAAGAUAUUAGGAUUUAGUAUUUUUUUUUUAUUUUUUUUUAUUUUUAAGAAUGUUUUGUUAACUGAACAAAGUAAAAAGAAAUUUUUCAGAUUUUAUUUUAAAUUUUAAAUUUAUGUAUUUAGGAUGAAUGGACAGAGAAUGUCUGUUCUGCCCUCAUUUUACAACUGAUGUGCCUCACACAUAGUCAACAAUGACGGUGAAUAAACGGAAAUCGACCCCAGGUAUAACGGAUAUACGAAAAUUUAAGUCUAAGAACUACUUUGAUAACUUUGUAAGUUCGGGUAUCAUAUUAUCAGUCACCCAAGUGUUCAGACACUAUUAGUGCAAAAAAUCUCAUUACUUACAUGUAGCAUCUAUUGAUCUGUUUGACCAUAAACCUUAUAUAUUAUGCAGUUCUGCAGGUUCUAGUAUGUAUUGAAGAACAAAAGUACAGUCAAGAAAAAUCUAGCAAGAAUAGAACAGAAUUGGAUUUGGCCUGUGUUAAACUCAACCUCCAAAACUUCAACCUCCUCUUGUGGCAGGUCAUCUUAAUUUUGCAAAUUAAACUCUGCUGUUCAGUGGAAUUUGAUGACAAGGUGUACUCGGUAACUCCUUAGGUUUUCUGCAUAGAGAAGAGAGGGAAAAAACAAAAGUUGCUUGUAUUAUUUGGUUCAAAUUUAUUCUCAACUGCAUCUGUUUGUCAUAAAUCCAAAACUCCAAAAAGUACUGGAAUGUUGUUGGUUCAAAUGUCUGAUAAAUCAGUUCCGAUCAAAAAAGAAAAAGAAAAAGUGUUGAAUGAGACUUGUCAAGCUGGGGCAUAUUUAUAACUUGAUUGAAUCCAUUCUCAUGUGAGUCAUGGGACAAAGUUUCCACAUUUUAGGGUAUAGUACUCUCUCUCUCUCUCNNNNNNNNNNNNNNNNNNNNCUCUCUCUCUCUCUCUCUCUCUCUCUCUCUCUCUCUCUCUCUCUCUCUCUCUCUCUCUCUCAACCUAUCUGUUUGGAAUUAAUAAAUAUGAAGUGCAAGAGAAGUAGUUAGUAUUGUAUAAUCAAGUUUCUCUAUAAAUAGAACGAGAAGCUGCAGAAGAGAAUAUGAUGGUGAAGUUGGAAGACAGUUUUUCUUUAACUAACUGUAGGUUGCAUUAUUUGUUUUCAAUGUGUUUUUUGUUUCUUUAACUUUGUCAGUGUUGCUUCGAUGGAGGAAGAGGGACGGGGAAGAUCAUAUAUCUUACGACCUGAGUAAAUUUUUUCUUCUCAAGAUGAAGUCUAUCACAUCUAAUUGUUUUACUAUUGUAGGCAAUCUACCGACCCACUAGAUGCAACCACCAAUCUCAAAUCAAAACCUUGACUCCACCAGUCACAAAUCUCAAAUCAAAUUCUCGACUUCGCCGGUCAAAUUCACAAAACCUGAAUCUCUGGCUCCACCAGUCAAAUUCACCCAAACACCACAAAUAUCAAAUACCCAAACCAAAUUCAAGGGCUUUAAACCCUCACAAAUAUCCCAAACACAAAUUCAAAAUAAAUGGGUUUGGACACCCACAACUAUCGCUAAUAAAGAAGACACAUACAUUCGAUUGAUUAGCCUUGUAUACACAAGACGUAUUACAUUAGAUCGAUCAUUACAUACAAGCACCCCUAUAGACAAGAUAAUCAUGUUAGCUUAAUCAUUAGGAACAAAUAACCUUUUAUACAUGGUGGUGUCACAUUAGAUCGAUCAUUACAUACAAGCGCCUUUAUAGACAAGAUAAUCACCUUAGCUCGAUCAUUAGGAACAACUAGCCCUACAUACACGAGAUGUAUUGUUAGCUCGAUUAUUAGGAACGAGUAGCCCUAUAUACACAAGAUUUCACAUUUGUUCGAUCAUUAGGAACAAGUAGCUCUAUAUACACAAGAUGUCACAUUUGUGCGUUCAUUAAGAACAUGAUACACCCCGAACCUAGUAAUUAUUUUUAUACUGUGGUUUCCGAUUUAAUGGUAGCUAAUCAAUUCGGAAAUUUGUUCUUUUAUUUUGAUAGAGGUGGUUUAGACGAGUUCAUAGAUUUUUAGUUACCCGAAUAGAAGUUCGUAAAUAAAGGGUAGCUAAAAUAAUAACAAUGUCCAUUUUUGGGUUGGGGUAUAAGAGGGAAACUUACUAUUUUUGGUUAAGGUAGAAAACAAAUGCGCCUCACUCUCUCUCCCCGACCCCGACCCCGACCCCGACUCCGUCCUCGUCCGAUUCUCCUUUAAGGAUCACCGCCGUCCGACAACGCCUGGCCGCCACACCGGUCUUGUUCGACAACUGGGACACCGCUCGUCCAGCCUGGGGUGGUGAUCGGUCCUAACUCGCCAGCAUUAAGGCGCAGUGACGCCGCUGCCGUCGCGCAACUUGCUUUGUCGGAACUUCCUUCUCCGGUCAUUGAUUCUAGCGAUCUUUGGGGGGUUUUGUAGCUCUUCUAUUGGCCUUUCAACCCUCCAAAAGUGGAAGAGCAAUUUGGGGUAUAUAGCCAAAUCGGAGUAGUUUUUGUGUUCUUGAGCUUGUGAGGUAUUUUCCGGUCAAACCUUUGAUUUGUAGGUUUUGUGUUAGUCAUGAUUGUUGUUGUGCUUGUUGAGAAGAAGAGUUUGAUAUAUGCCUUGUUAAUUUUGGUUGAAGUUGAUAUGGCGGUUGACCGCCACUGCCGGUGGCUGCUACCAUACAUGGUAGUGGUUUUGAGGAAUUUUGGUUGAUUUCUAGAAGGGGGUAAUGUUGUUAUAGUGUAUGGUGAUUUUUGGUGAAGGGUUCUUGGAAUUUGGGAUAGUUUUGGUUGCUCUAUGGAUGGGAAGUGAGUUGAAAAGAAGUAUUGAAAAUUUUGGUGAAGGUUGAUUGGGAUUUAGGAAAUUUUUAAGUUGAUUUUGGUGGAGGAGGAGAGGUGAGUCUCAUCCAUAGGAAUUUCUAUAUUUAUAUUUAUGUGUUAGAACGUUGAGGAAAAUUGGAGAAGAUUAGUAAAAAGGGUUGGAGUUCUUCUUAGUCUUUGGAGAGUGUAGAAUGAGUGAGGAUGACAUUGCUCUAUUUUGUUAAAUUUGAUAUUCUUGUAUUUUUGUCUCGGACCUUAAAUCUCGCUUUGUACAAGACGGGAGGAGACACUACGUGAGGAGAGCUUUGACCGACGUCAGACUUAGCGGUCUAUAUAGUGAGUGGACAUUUUGGUUUUUAAUUAAUAUGCAUGCAUGAUUUUAUAAAUGGUUAAUUAUAUUUUCCAAGCUUAAAUUAUGAUUUCAGCUUUCAAAUUGUUAUGAAAUUUAGUUGAGAUUGACAUAUUGAUUGUGAUUUCAUUAAUGAACUUAUGGAUUUGAGCUUGGGUAAAAGAUUUGGUAUUUAAGUUAUAUUAAUCCUAAUGAUUUUUGGAUUUGAGAUUUACAUCAAGGAUUGGAGGUUUGAAAUAUGUUGAUUAUUUGGCUUAAUUAUUACAUUGAGCAUUUUAACGUGUGGGACACGUUAUUAAAUUUAAUUUAUUUCUUUUAUUUUGGAAUUUUUCCGCGUACGAUUGGGAAUCGUAUUUAUGCUUUAGUUAUGAGUUUCAGGGAAACUCAGAUGAAUCGUAUUUAUGCUUUAGUUAUGAGUUUCAGGGAAACUCACAUGAAUUUUUUUUUGGUGUCAUAUUUGUUGGAUUAUAUAUGAUGUCAAUGCUAGCAUGUUGUUCCACUUUUCGAGAUGAUGUGACUUCCACAUUCCAAGUGGGGUCAUGCAAGCCCCACCCUAGUGGUGAUGUGAUGUUGUCGGCGACAUCACGCAAGCCCUGUAUCCUCUCUGUCAACUCGACAUGAAGAUACAUGGAGUAUGGGAGUACUUUGCCUGAGAGACAACCGAGUCUGGGAGACUUACUUAUAUGACCAUAUAGGGUUCUUUUAUUUUUAAGUUGUUAAUUUGACUAUUUGACUAGCGGGGCUUUGAAAGUUUCUUAUAUGAGGAAUCUAUUUAUUUUUCUUGUUGUUUUAUGACUAGUGGGGCUUGUUUGAAUUUUUGAUGAGCUUAUAAUAUUUUCAUGCAUAAUAUUUUCAUGCAUAAUAUUUUCAUGUAUGGAAUUUCUUAAAUUCCGUAUAAAUGGAAAGGCAUAUAAAAUUUAAUUUCGUAUUAUUUUGUUCUUGGUCACUCAUUAAUUAAUUUAUUUUCCGUCCGCUCACACUAACGUUUUAAAUGCUUUUCCCUGGGCCCUUUGUUUUCAUAUGCUCAGAUUGCAGAGUUUCUGUUCGGCUUCACUAAGAGUUGAGGCAUAGUAUCUUCUGCUGCAUCUUGUUGAACGUAGGUUAUCUGUUAAUCUAUGUGUUAAUAUUUUAUUUUCUUCCUGUAGUGCUCUGAUGACCAUGGGGAAAUGUAAAUUAUGUUAGAGUUUUUAAAGGUUAUGACCCAAGUAGAGAGGUUUACUCUGGUGGUUGUUCAUGUUUAUGUAAUGUAGUUGAAUAUUUGGUUUGGAUUGCUUAAGUGUUGUUAUGACUUGGUUCAUGUUGUGAGGAGCGAAGGGCUCCAGGAGUUGUGGUUGAUUAUUAUAGUUGAAGUAUCUUAGUUUUAUUUCAGGUUGGGUUGUCCAUUUUUAGGGUUAUGCCAAAAUUUCAGUAUAAUCUCUUUUAGAGUGGACCCCGCAAGACUUGCAUGUUUUCUUAUGUGUUUUCGGGGUGGGUCUUGUUAGAACAAGUAGCUCUAUAUACUCUUCAAGAGAUGUCACAUUUGUUCAAUCAUUAGGAGAAAGUAGCCUCCUAAGAACAAAGAUAAAAAUAGUAGACUUAACUCAUCUAAAUAGUAGACAUGACUUAUGAUAACAGUAUACUUAACUCAUGUAAAUAGUAGACAUGAGUCAUGAUAAUAGUAACACUCAAAGAACCACUCCAUUGGCCUAACCUCCACUUCCCUUGGAUUGCCAGCGUGUCAUCGCUCUUGGCCGUCAAUUCUAAACUCAACCCUAAAAUCUCGAUCGCUCAUUCAUUUCACAUAAAGCACUACUCUCCAUUGGUCGAUCCCCAUGUCACUUGGAUCGCCACGUGUCAUGCUCUCAGCCGUCCACUCUAUAGCCUAAUUCAAAUCUCAACCGAUCAUUCAUUUCAUACAAAACACUACACUCCAAUUGGCCGAACCACAUAUGACCCGGAUCGCCAGCGUGUCAUCGACACAUUUAUUAUUAGAAAAAUCUAUUGUUUUCAUGAGAACUGUCUACCAUUUACAUGAGCAAAAACACCAAAAAGUAGACUUUCUGGAAAUCAAAAUGGUACUUGUGUUCGAAUAAUUUAGAUGGCAAAAGUUGCAAAAUCUACAACAUAAGCAACAUCUACCAUCUACAUAAACAAAAUCACAAAUAAAUAGACUUUCUGGAAAUUAAAAUGGUUCUUAUGUUCGAAUCACUUAGAUGGCAAAAGUUGCAAAGUCUACAACAAACAUAAGAAACAUUUACUGUUUUAAUAAGAAAGAUCUACCAUUUACAUAAACAAAAUCACAAAGAAGUAGCCUUUCUGGAAAUCAAAAUGGUUCUUGUGUUUGAACCAUUUAGAUGGCAAAAGUUACAAAGUCUACAACUAACAUAAACAACAUAUACUGUUUUAAUUAGAAAAAUCUACCAUUUACAUAAACAAAAUCACAAAGAAAUAGACUUUCUGGAAAUCAAAAUGGUACUUGUGUUCAAACCAUUUAGAUGACAAAAGUUGCAAAGUCUACAACUAACAUAAUAAAACAUCUACCAUUUACAUAAACAAAAUCUCAAAGAAGUAGACUUUCUGGAAAUUAAAAUGGUACUUGUGUUCGAACCAUUUGGAUGGCAUAAGUUGUUAAGUAUACAACUAACAUAAGACAUAUUUACUGUUUUCAUUAGAAAUAUCUACCAUUUACAUAAACAAAAUCACAAAGAAGUAGACUUUCUGGAAAUCAAAAUGGUACUUGUGUUCGAACCAUUUAGAUGGCAAGAGUUGCAAAGUCUACAACUAACAUAAGACACAUCUACUAUUUUCAUUAGAUAUAUCUACACAUAAGCAAAAUCACAAAGAAGUAGACUUUCAGGUAAUCAAAUCGGUACUUGUGUUUGAACCUCUGAAGGAAAAAUUUGCAAAGUCUACAUUUAUCAUUAGAAACAUCUACUGGUUUCAUGAAAAAUAUAUGCAGGGUUGUUUCCCUUUUUUUACACGUUGUUUUUUUGACACAUAAACUACAAUAUAUGUGGCAUAAUAUCAUCACUACAAGGAAUCACUACUCACUAUAGGGUUUUUUUACAUGUAACGUAUGUGUGCCCAGCCUGUUUGCAGUUACGGCAGUGUACAGUUCUCUUUGCAGGUGUUGCUACUAAAGGAGGGUCGUCGCUUCCUAACCCUGCUUCCGCUUUUUCAUGCUCUUUUCUUACCGGACAUGUUUGAAUAUUGUGUCCACCGCCUUUGUAAUAACCACAGGUAACCGUCCGUCUCGAUGGCUCAUUCUUUUUGUCGCUCUUUUCUCUGCCUUUGGUCUUAGAUGGGAUAGGAUCUCUCACAAUGAAACCUUUCUUGGUGGGUGUAGCCGUACCUUGCACUUUUUCUUGAUCUCUCGCCAAACCUUCCAUAAUUGCUGCUAGUCUAUCGAUCUCCAUAUUCAACAUGUUGUAGCCUUCUUGCAUCUUUGAAGCAUAAAAGCACAACCGAUUGCAAUCAGCAGUCAAAGCAUCAUACAUGCUACGACGAAAGAAAAGAAAACAAAUGUGUUCACAGACUAAUAUUACAGGUUCCUAUAUUACAUCUGACGAACCCUUACAUGUGUCCGUAAUUAAAACAACUAAAAUUCAAGCCAUGAACAUACCUACUCACUUGCACGGCUUCUUGGGGCAUUUCUUUGUUUGGAUAUAGGAUUUCACAAACACUUCUUGCGUCCCUCGACCACCUCUUCACUAUUAGUGACUUGUGAAGAUGAAAGAUGUUUUCGUUUUUCAUCACCGAGAACAUGUGACGACACGACACUCCCCUAUACUCAAACAUUCCGCAAGAGCACACCAUAAUCGGGUCUGCUGCACUUUCAGUCUCUUUCCGAGGGUAGUAGGUAACAGUGUGUUCAAAAUCAGGACGCUUGUAAACUGAUACCUUGUAAAGCCGGGAACCAUCUUCUUGACAUUUUGUUCCUUGCUUUAGUGUGAUAUGAGCCUCUUUCAUGAUCUCCCUAAAAAUACACUUAAACACGUCGUGUGUGAAUACAGAAGAUGCUUGUUUCUCCAAAUCUUCCAAGUGAGUUUUCGCACUAUGAAAUGAAUUUAUAGUGUUGAAAUCAUCCCUUUCUUGAUUGUUUCUAAUUCUCAUAAGUGUUCGGUCCACCAACGAAACAACCUGCACAAGGGUUUUGCUUUUCGAUAGGACAAGCUUGAAGUCUUUAUUCAUUCCCUCACACCUUUGUGUGCUUCUCAUGCCAGCCAUAAAUAUAUCAUGGAAGAAUGCUUAACAAAACUUUUCUCUCUUUUCAUACAUACUGUUGAUCCAAUCAUUGUCAUAGAGAUCAAAUUCGUCUAGCAUAUAUAUCCUGCCACAACCUAUCAAAUUGCUCAACCAUUUGAUACUUCCUAAUGCACCUGUUGAAAGCCUUCAACUUUUUCGUUAAUUUUAAGUGGCCAUUAGCAUUUUGACCUAUGUGCCAAAUACAGAGACGAUGCCUUGCUUCCAACAUCAUGGUUUGAAUUGCAGUACGCAUGGCCUCGUCUCCGUCUGUGAUUACAGCCUUUUGCAUUUUCCCGUUCAUCAAAUCCAGGAAUUUUCUAAGCAACCAAGUGUAAGUCUCCACAGUCUCAUCUGAAAGAAGAGCAGCACCGAACACAAUACUACCCCGAUGAUUAUUCGUCCCAACAAACAAAACCAAUGACAUGUUGUAGACAUUGGUUUUGUAAGUGCUGUCGAAUAUCAACACAUCCCCAUAAUAGUCAACAAAUGAAUGCACAUCUCGCCAAAACAUGUCCACCAUCCUAUCUUCUAAAUCUGCCGUGAAUCGGUAGAAGAAGUGAGAGUCUUUUGCUGCCAGUGCAUUCAUAUACGAAAGUGCGCCUUUAGAAUCACUCUCAAAUGGGGCGGUCCUUCGUUGCUGGUCAAUCUUGUUGUAGAGGUCCUUCACGGUAAAUCCCACUCUCCUAUAUCCCCCGCUCUGUUCGAC